UAAGAGAAUAAAGAACAAGAGAGAAUACUCAAAACUCCAUUAGAUUGAUUAAUGAGAGAGUUUACAACAUAUAUAGAGUAGGGAUACAUAAAAACGUCCAGGUUCAGUCUAGCUAGGAUAAGAAGCAUGUGUAGUCAAAGAUGCCUUAUUCAAACUAGCCAAUAAGGUUCCUCACAUGCUUGGGUAUCUUGCUUUAGCUUUCCAGCUGUGCCAGCCUGUCUAAAGCUUUCUUCCCUUGACCAGACCUUAUCCAAACUCCUCCUUGCUUAUCCAUACUCCCCCUGGCGUGUUUCACCCUCCAAAUAGGUGCAAGGUAACUUCCCAAGUCUUAUAACUCAGUUACCACAGUAACAAUAAAGUUACUGUGGUAAAUCACCAAAGUUACUGCCUGCUCCAAAUCCCUUCCUCUAUCCAUGUAUCAACUCUUCAUCUCCUCAUCUCAACACUUACAAAGUGAUUCAUCCUGGUUUGUAUGGAACGACGAAGAAGCUGUGCUAUUCCCAAACUGGGAAACUGGAAUCACCUGAUUUGAAAGUGGGAUAACUUCUUCAUGCCAACUUGAUAUGAUCAUGGACCAGCCAAACAAAGAAGAUGAUGAGAGCAUGGAUGUUCCAACUGAUGGAGGAGCUCUAGCCAUAUCUGAAGGUCAUAUGACUCGAGCCAGAAGCAAGCAACUCAAAGAAGCCAUUGGAGGAUUACUUAAGACAUCACUGAAGCAAGAAGAGAGUCUUGGAAGAAGCUUGAUCAACCAAGACACACUUGCCACAAUUCAUGCCAUCUCAGCUCCAAGAUAGACAUCAAAUGAGCAAGUAACAUAUGUGUGCUCUUUUUCCCUAUCUUUGGUUUUGUCCCACUGGGUUUUCCAAAGAUAGGUUUUUAAUGAGGCCAUAUGUUGCUUUCCUAUCACUCAUUUGAUGAUCUCAGUUCAAGACUUUAUUUUAAUUAUUUAUCUUUGUUAACAUGAAGCAGAAUUAGGCUGCUAAACUUGAGAAUUAAGCUGCCAGACUUGAGAACCCUUAUAUGGUUUUAUAAGGUUUUUUAUAAGGUUUUAUAAGGUUUAUUUUUAAGGCUCAUUUAGAGACCAAGGAGCCUGUUAUGAGUUUUAGUAAUGUUUAGAGUAAUCUGAGUGUUUAGGAAAGACUAGAAACGAUUUAGUGAAGAUUAGAGUAUGGAAUGAGAUUAGGAGUCUAAUAUGGAACCAUUGAGAUUUAAAGACUAAGAGAGAGUCUCAAAACUUGCUUAAUUUAUUAAUGAGUGAGGUUACAUAUUUAUAAGGGAGACACAAGGGUUUACAAGAAGGGAAAUCGCCACUGUUUAACCGUGUGGAGUCAAUGGGAGCCUUUUGAAUGAUUGGCCAGGAUGGCUCACAUGCUUAUGGCAUCUUGGACUACUUUCCAGCCUGUUCCAGCCUGGCACGCGCGUCCCUUAUCCUACUACCAGUCUUAUCCCUUCACUAAGCCCUUAAGGUAACUUCUACCUUGUUACGGUUUCACUUGGUCAGGUUGGGUAACUUCUGGUCGAGGCAUUUAGUACGGACGGUACGGCCAUGUACGGCCUUGUACGGCCGUCCGUACCAUGCUUGCCCAAAGUCCCCUCAUUCCUUUCUCCUCUUCUCUUCAACACCUUAUCUCUUCAUAUCCAUAUACUCAACUCAUCUCAACACCUGUUCCUUGCCUUCUCUAUAAAUAUGUGUCUGAAAACCCUAAUAGAACUAUCCAAUCUUUAUUUCUAAACUCUUGUUUCUCUCUAGUCGGCCGCAAGCUUGUCUUGUAGAUCUGAGAUUUCUUGAGUCUUUGUUAGUGUGUCAUAUCUAACAAAACCACAAGAGUGAUUGUCUUGGUGUGUCAUAUCCAAGGGAUUCACUUAGGAGUAUCAAGGAGACCUCUCACAUCUCUUUGUGUCACCAUUCAUUCCACAAACCUUGAAGCAGAUUGAGUCUUUGAUUCUCUGUUUGCAAGGAUCUAUCCCAUUCCAACCAGAGAACCAUCCUAGGAGUGUAUUAUGUGGUAUCAGAGCAACUCUGGCUAGGGAAGUUCUCGUUUUCUUUAAGUUUUCACUCAAAUCUGUCUCUUGGUUUCAUAACUAUUGAUAGAUCUGAGUUUUGUUGUGUUGUUUCUGUCGAUUUGAUUCACUCUGAGUUCAGUAUUGCUAGAUCUGUUGCUGUGUGUUUUUAAAUUGAUAGAUCUGAAAGUUUCUAUUUUAGAUCUGUGAUAGAUCCGAUCAUCUCUUGUUGUUUCUUUGAUAGAUCUGUUGUUGUUUUGUUAAAAUCUGAUAAAAGUAGAGGUGUUGAUCGUGUGAAUUCGAAAAGACUUUUGAGAUUCUUAUUGGAUAAGUUACCGGAAAUUCAAAUCUGAUAGAAAUCUCUUUUCCCGCCUAUUUAAUCUUUUGUUCUUGUUUCCUUAUUUGAAUUAAUUUCUUUUUGUUUCUUGAACUUCUUACUGUCGAUUUUCUUCUGUUGUUUCAGGUACUAUGGCAGGAGAUCCAGAAGAGGAUGAAGGAGUUAGUCUCGAACACAAAGCUUUGCUGGAAGCUUUGACUCGCCGUAUGCAAAACAUGAUGGAAACGAGAAUGAUUUCUUUCCGCGAAGAACUUGAUGCCCAGUCUUCAGAACAGAGGCGUGAACCAAGGCAGAACCGACGAGAUAAUACUAGACAAGAGCAUGGUGGAUCACAGGAGACUGAUAACUAUUAUGAGCGCCACAGAGUUGAGAAGAGUGGUUCAUCAUCAUCAUCGCGAGAUAAUAGAAGGAGAUAUCAUCGUGAUCGUGAUGGGAGAAGAUCUUACCGUGAUGAGUUUGCUGGUUUGAAGAUUAAAAUUCCUCCCUUCCAUGGCAAGGUUGAUCCAGACGCUUAUCUCGAGUGGGAGAAGAAGAUUGAGCUCGUUUUCAACUGCCAACACUACACCAAUGCUCAAAGAAUCCAGAUUGCUGCUACUGAGUUUCAUGAUUAUGCCUUGAGCUGGUGGGAUCAAUUGGUUACUACAAGGAGGUUGAAUCAGGAGUAUCCAGUUGAGUCUUGGCAUGAGAUGAAGUCUCUUAUGCGGAAGAGGUUUGUGCCUAGCCAUUAUCACCGCGACUUGCAUCAGAAAUUGAGAAGACUUACACAAGGAUCUAAGACCGUGGAGGAGUACUAUCAGGACAUGGAACUACUGAUUUUGAGAGCUGGUAUAUCUGAGGACAGAGAGGCUACUAUGUCAAGGUUUCUUGGAGGACUUAACCGCGAGAUACAGGACAGUGUGGAGAUGCAACACUAUGUGGAGAUAGAAGAGAUGUUGCACAAAGCUAUUCUGGUGGAGCAGCAGAUCAAAAGGAAGCAUCACUCCCAUAGCAACUAUAGCUCCAGCAAGUACCAACAUUUUAAAGAUGAGAAACCAUCCUACCUGAAAGACAGUAAGCCUCCGCAGAAAGAAGAUAGUAAGCCGGGUAGCAUAUUCAGCAAAGACCGAGACAAAGACAAAGGCAAAGCAGAAGCUACUAGUUCCAGAUCCCGAGAUGUUAAGUGUUUCAAGUGCCAAGGGCGUGGGCAUUAUGCCAAUGAGUGCACCAACAAAAAGGUCAUGAUUCUUCUUGAGAAUGGAGAGUAUGAAUCAGAAGAAGAGAAGUCUGAAUCUGAUCUUGAUCAAUCUGGAGAAGAAAGUGAAGUAGAACCAGUGAGAGGAAGGUUGUUGGUGACAAGAAGACUCUUGAACUUGCAAACUAAGAAUAGAGACCUUGAGCAGCGUGAGAAUCUGUUUUACACAAGGUGUAUGGUUCAGGGAAAGGUGUGCAGUCUCAUUAUUGAUGGAGGAAGUUGUGUCAAUGUAGCUAGUGAGACAAUGGUGAAGAAAUUGGGUUUGAAGAUUCAGAAACACCCAAAACCAUACAGAUUGCAGUGGCUUAAUGAGGAGGGCGAAAUGAGAGUGUCAACUCAAGUGCUGGUUCCUAUAGCCAUUGGUAGAUAUGAAGAUGAAGUCUUGUGUAACGUGUUGCCAAUGGAAGCCAGUCAUAUACUCCUUGGAAGACCCUGGCAGUAUGAUAGACGUGUGAAUCAUGAUGGCUUCACCAACAAGCACUCAUUUGAAUUCAAUGGAAAGAAGACUGUACUGGUGCCUUUAUCUCCUAAAGAGGUUCAUGAAGAUCAACUCCAGCUUCAGAAAAAGAAGGAGAAAGAGAUAGACCUCAAACCUGAUCAGAACAAGCAUCACAGCCUCUAUGCCAAUCAGGGAGAUAUCAAAAGAAUUCUUUACUCUCAAAAUUCUAUUAUCUUGCUUAUGUUUAAGGAGACUUUACUAACAGUUACUGAUCACACACCGGAUCAUCCGAGUGAACUAGUCUCUCUUUUACAGGAAUAUGCAGAUGUGUUUCCCGAAGAUAGCCCCAUUGGAUUGCCUCCAGUUCGUGGGAUUGAGCACCAAAUCGACUUUGUACCUGGUUCAACACUACCAAACAGACCUGCAUACAGAACUAAUCCAGUGGAGACUAAAGAAUUGCAAAGACAAGUAGAGGAGCUGAUGGAGAAGGGUCAUAUCCGAGAGAGCUUGAGUCCCUGUGCAGUUCCAGUGCUCCUUGUGCCUAAGAAAGAUGGGAGCUGGCGCAUGUGUGUUGAUUGUAGAGCAAUCAACAACAUAACAGUGAAGUAUCGCCACCCUAUUCCUAGAUUAGAUGAUAUGCUUGAUGAGUUACAUGGUUCUUGCUUCUUUUUUAAGAUAGAUUUGAAAAGUGGAUAUCAUCAGAUUAGGAUGAAAGAAGGAGAUGAGUGGAAAACUGCUUUUAAAACUAAACAUGGCUUGUAUGAGUGGUUAGUUAUGCCAUUUGGAUUAACCAAUGCUCCUAGUACAUUCAUGAGACUGAUGAAUCAUAUCCUUAGGUCUUUCAUAGGCAUCUUUGUUGUUGUGUACUUUGAUGAUAUAUUAGUUUACAGCAAAUGCUUAGAAGAUCAUAUAGAACAUCUUAGGGCUGUUUUGGAUGUUUUGAGAAAAGAAAAACUUUAUGCCAAUCUGAAGAAGUGCACUUUUUGCACAGAUAACUUGGUCUUUCUAGGUUUUGUUGUAAGUGCAGAUGGUGUAAAGGUGGAUCAGGAGAAGAUCAAAGCAAUACAAGAGUGGCCGAGUCCAACUACAGUGGGAGAAGUAAGGAGUUUCCAUGGACUGGCAGGUUUCUAUAGGCGCUUUGUGAAGGAUUUCAGCACUCUAGCAGCUCCCCUGACUGAGAUAAUCAAGAAGGAUGUAGGAUUCAAGUGGGGAGAAGUUCAAGAAGCCGCAUUCCAACUCCUUAAAGAGAAGCUUACUCAAUCUCCUCUUCUCAUACUUCCUGAUUUUUCUAAAACAUUUGAAAUAGAGUGUGAUGCCUCAGGAAUUGGAAUUGGUGCUGUGUUGAUGCAAGAUAAAAGACCUAUUGCUUAUUUCAGUGAGAAACUCAGUGGAGCUACUCUCAACUAUGCCACUUAUGACAAAGAACUCUACGCCUUGGUGAGAGCUCUACAGACUUGGCAGCAUUAUCUCUGGCCAAAGGAGUUUGUCAUUCACACAGACCAUGAAUCUCUCAAGUACCUCAAAGGACAAAGCAAGCUCAGCAAGAGACACGCCAGAUGGGUAGAAUUCAUUGAAACCUUCCCUUAUGUGAUCAAAUACAAACAAGGUAAGGAAAAUAUAGUUGCUGAUGCACUAUCCAGAAGGUAUGUCCUCUUGAAUACUCUUGAUGUUAAGUUGCUAGGCUUUGAGCAGAUUAAAGAAAUGUAUGAAUCUGAUCCUGACUUUCAAGAAGCUUAUAAUUCAUGUGCUAAGUAUGCUGCUGGACAUUACUUUAGGCAUGAUGGAUUCUUUUCUAUGACAAUCGUUUAUGUGUGCCUAAUUGCUCUUUGAGAGAUCUAUUUGUCAAGGAAUCCCAUGGAGGAAGCUUGAUGGGUCAUUUUGGUAUAGCAAAAACUCUUAAAGUCUUGCAGGAUCACUUUUACUGGCCACAUAUGAAACGAGAUGUUGAGAGAAUCUGUGGUAGAUGCACCACUUGCAAGCUUGCCAAAUCUAAGGUUCAACCACAUGGUUUGUACACUCCUUUACCUAUUCCUACUCACCCGUGGAAUGAUAUAUCCAUGGAUUUUAUUGUGGGUUUGCCAAGGACCACGACAGGUAAGGAUUCUAUCUUUGUAGUUGUGGAUAGGUUUUCAAAAAUGGCACAUUUCAUUGCUUGCCAUAAAACUGAUGAUGCAUUGCAUGUUGCUAACCUGUUCUUUAAAGAUAUUGUGCGCAUUCAUGGCAUGCCUAAGACUAUAGUUUCUGAUAGAGAUACUAAGUUUCUUAGUUAUUUUUGGAAGACUCUUUGGUCUAAGCUAGGUACUAAGCUGUUAUUCUCUACUACAUGUCAUCCACAAACUGAUGGGCAAACUGAGGUAGUUAAUAGAACUCUUGGAACUCUCUUGCGUGCAUUCAUUAAAAAGAAUAUGAAAUCAUGGGAAGAGUACUUGCCUCACUGUGAAUUUGCUUAUAAUCAUGCUCAGCAUUCUGCUUCUAAGUAUUCUCCUUUUGAAAUUGUUUAUGGGUUCAAUCCCAUCUCACCUUUGGAUCUAAUGCCUUUACCUGAGUGUGAAAGGGUGAGCAUGGAUGGGAAAAAGAAAGCAGAAAUGGUACAGCAGAUUCAUGAGCAGGCAAGAAGAAACAUUGUGGAGAAAACCAAGCAGUACACUAAAAGAGCAAACAAAGGCAGGCGUGAGAUGAUCUUUGAUGUAGGUGAUAAAGUGUGGGUUCACUUGCGCAAGGAGAGGUUUCCAAAUGAAAGAAAAUCUAAGCUCAUGCCGCGGAUUGAUGGCCCUUUUGAAGUCAUCCAGAAAAUCAAUGACAAUGCCUACAAGCUUGAUCUUCAAGGUAAGUAUGAUAUAAGUAAUAGCUUUAAUGUUACUGACUUGGCUCCUUUUGUUGCAGAUGAGCUAGAUUUGAGGACAAAUCCUGUUCAAGAGGAAGGGGAUGAUAUGAUCAUGGACCAGCCAAACAAAGAAGAUAAUGAGAGCAUGGAUGAUCCAACUGAUGGAGAAGCUCUAGCCAUAUCUGAAGGUCCUAUGACUCAAGCCAGAAGCAAGCAACUCAAAGAAGCCAUUGGAGGAUUACUUAAGACAUCACUGAAGCAAGAAGAGAGUCUUGGAAGAAGCUUGAUCAACCAAGACACACUUGCCACAAUUCAAGCCAUCUCAGCUCCAAGAUAGACAUCAAAUGAGCAAGUAACAUAUGUGUGCUCUUUUUCCCUAUCUUUGGUUUUGUCCCACUGGGUUUUCCAAAGAUAGGUUUUUAAUGAGGCCAUAUGUUGCUUUCCUAUCACUCAUUUGAUGAUCUCAGUUCAAGACUUUAUUUUAAUUAUUUAUCUUUGUUAACAUGAAGCAGAAUUAGGCUGCUAGACUUGAGAAUUAAGCUGCCAGACUUGAGAACCCUUAUAAGGUUUUAUAAGGUUUUUUAUAAGGUUUUAUAAGGUUUAUUUUUAAGGCUCAUUUAGAGACCAAGGAGCUUGUUCCUUGCCUUCUCUAUAAAUAUGUGUCUGAAAACCCUAAUAGAACUAUCCAAUCUUUAUUUCUAAACUCUUGUUUCUCUCUAGUCGGCCGCAAGCUUGUCUUGUAGAUCUGAGAUUUCUUGAGUCUUUGUUAGUGUGUCAUAUCUAACAAAACCACAAGAGUGAUUGUCUUGGUGUGUCAUAUCCAAGGGAUUCACUUAGGAGUAUCAAGGAGACCUCUCACAUCUCUUUGUGUCACCAUUCAUUCCACAAACCUUGAAGCAGAUUGAGUCUUUGAUUCUCUGUUUGCAAGGAUCUAUCCCAUUCCAACCAGAGAACCAUCCUAGGAGUGUAUUAUGUGGUAUCAGAGCAACUCUGGCUAGGGAAGUUCUCGUUUUCUUUAAGUUUUCACUCAAAUCUGUCUCUUGGUUUCAUAACUAUUGAUAGAUCUGAGUUUUGUUGUGUUGUUUCUGUCGAUUUGAUUCACUCUGAGUUCAGUAUUGCUAGAUCUGUUGCUGUGUGUUUUUAAAUUGAUAGAUCUGAAAGUUUCUAUUUUAGAUCUGUGAUAGAUCCGAUCAUCUCUUGUUGUUUCUUUGAUAGAUCUGUUGUUGUUUUGUUAAAAUCUGAUAAAAGUAGAGGUGUUGAUCGUGUGAAUUCGAAAAGACUUUUGAGAUUCUUAUUGGAUAAGUUACCGGAAAUUCAAAUCUGAUAGAAAUCUCUUUUCCCGCCUAUUUAAUCUUUUGUUCUUGUUUCCUUAUUUGAAUUAAUUUCUUUUUGUUUCUUGAACUUCUUACUGUCGAUUUUCUUCUGUUGUUUCAGGUACUAUGGCAGGAGAUCCAGAAGAGGAUGAAGGAGUUAGUCUCGAACACAAAGCUUUGCUGGAAGCUUUGACUCGCCGUAUGCAAAACAUGAUGGAAACGAGAAUGAUUUCUUUCCGCGAAGAACUUGAUGCCCAGUCUUCAGAACAGAGGCGUGAACCAAGGCAGAACCGACGAGAUAAUACUAGACAAGAGCAUGGUGGAUCACAGGAGACUGAUAACUAUUAUGAGCGCCACAGAGUUGAGAAGAGUGGUUCAUCAUCAUCAUCGCGAGAUAAUAGAAGGAGAUAUCAUCGUGAUCGUGAUGGGAGAAGAUCUUACCGUGAUGAGUUUGCUGGUUUGAAGAUUAAAAUUCCUCCCUUCCAUGGCAAGGUUGAUCCAGACGCUUAUCUCGAGUGGGAGAAGAAGAUUGAGCUCGUUUUCAACUGCCAACACUACACCAAUGCUCAAAGAAUCCAGAUUGCUGCUACUGAGUUUCAUGAUUAUGCCUUGAGCUGGUGGGAUCAAUUGGUUACUACAAGGAGGUUGAAUCAGGAGUAUCCAGUUGAGUCUUGGCAUGAGAUGAAGUCUCUUAUGCGGAAGAGGUUUGUGCCUAGCCAUUAUCACCGCGACUUGCAUCAGAAAUUGAGAAGACUUACACAAGGAUCUAAGACCGUGGAGGAGUACUAUCAGGACAUGGAACUACUGAUUUUGAGAGCUGGUAUAUCUGAGGACAGAGAGGCUACUAUGUCAAGGUUUCUUGGAGGACUUAACCGCGAGAUACAGGACAGUGUGGAGAUGCAACACUAUGUGGAGAUAGAAGAGAUGUUGCACAAAGCUAUUCUGGUGGAGCAGCAGAUCAAAAGGAAGCAUCACUCCCAUAGCAACUAUAGCUCCAGCAAGUACCAACAUUUUAAAGAUGAGAAACCAUCCUACCUGAAAGACAGUAAGCCUCCGCAGAAAGAAGAUAGUAAGCCGGGUAGCAUAUUCAGCAAAGACCGAGACAAAGACAAAGGCAAAGCAGAAGCUACUAGUUCCAGAUCCCGAGAUGUUAAGUGUUUCAAGUGCCAAGGGCGUGGGCAUUAUGCCAAUGAGUGCACCAACAAAAAGGUCAUGAUUCUUCUUGAGAAUGGAGAGUAUGAAUCAGAAGAAGAGAAGUCUGAAUCUGAUCUUGAUCAAUCUGGAGAAGAAAGUGAAGUAGAACCAGUGAGAGGAAGGUUGUUGGUGACAAGAAGACUCUUGAACUUGCAAACUAAGAAUAGAGACCUUGAGCAGCGUGAGAAUCUGUUUUACACAAGGUGUAUGGUUCAGGGAAAGGUGUGCAGUCUCAUUAUUGAUGGAGGAAGUUGUGUCAAUGUAGCUAGUGAGACAAUGGUGAAGAAAUUGGGUUUGAAGAUUCAGAAACACCCAAAACCAUACAGAUUGCAGUGGCUUAAUGAGGAGGGCGAAAUGAGAGUGUCAACUCAAGUGCUGGUUCCUAUAGCCAUUGGUAGAUAUGAAGAUGAAGUCUUGUGUAACGUGUUGCCAAUGGAAGCCAGUCAUAUACUCCUUGGAAGACCCUGGCAGUAUGAUAGACGUGUGAAUCAUGAUGGCUUCACCAACAAGCACUCAUUUGAAUUCAAUGGAAAGAAGACUGUACUGGUGCCUUUAUCUCCUAAAGAGGUUCAUGAAGAUCAACUCCAGCUUCAGAAAAAGAAGGAGAAAGAGAUAGACCUCAAACCUGAUCAGAACAAGCAUCACAGCCUCUAUGCCAAUCAGGGAGAUAUCAAAAGAAUUCUUUACUCUCAAAAUUCUAUUAUCUUGCUUAUGUUUAAGGAGACUUUACUAACAGUUACUGAUCACACACCGGAUCAUCCGAGUGAACUAGUCUCUCUUUUACAGGAAUAUGCAGAUGUGUUUCCCGAAGAUAGCCCCAUUGGAUUGCCUCCAGUUCGUGGGAUUGAGCACCAAAUCGACUUUGUACCUGGUUCAACACUACCAAACAGACCUGCAUACAGAACUAAUCCAGUGGAGACUAAAGAAUUGCAAAGACAAGUAGAGGAGCUGAUGGAGAAGGGUCAUAUCCGAGAGAGCUUGAGUCCCUGUGCAGUUCCAGUGCUCCUUGUGCCUAAGAAAGAUGGGAGCUGGCGCAUGUGUGUUGAUUGUAGAGCAAUCAACAACAUAACAGUGAAGUAUCGCCACCCUAUUCCUAGAUUAGAUGAUAUGCUUGAUGAGUUACAUGGUUCUUGCUUCUUUUUUAAGAUAGAUUUGAAAAGUGGAUAUCAUCAGAUUAGGAUGAAAGAAGGAGAUGAGUGGAAAACUGCUUUUAAAACUAAACAUGGCUUGUAUGAGUGGUUAGUUAUGCCAUUUGGAUUAACCAAUGCUCCUAGUACAUUCAUGAGACUGAUGAAUCAUAUCCUUAGGUCUUUCAUAGGCAUCUUUGUUGUUGUGUACUUUGAUGAUAUAUUAGUUUACAGCAAAUGCUUAGAAGAUCAUAUAGAACAUCUUAGGGCUGUUUUGGAUGUUUUGAGAAAAGAAAAACUUUAUGCCAAUCUGAAGAAGUGCACUUUUUGCACAGAUAACUUGGUCUUUCUAGGUUUUGUUGUAAGUGCAGAUGGUGUAAAGGUGGAUCAGGAGAAGAUCAAAGCAAUACAAGAGUGGCCGAGUCCAACUACAGUGGGAGAAGUAAGGAGUUUCCAUGGACUGGCAGGUUUCUAUAGGCGCUUUGUGAAGGAUUUCAGCACUCUAGCAGCUCCCCUGACUGAGAUAAUCAAGAAGGAUGUAGGAUUCAAGUGGGGAGAAGUUCAAGAAGCCGCAUUCCAACUCCUUAAAGAGAAGCUUACUCAAUCUCCUCUUCUCAUACUUCCUGAUUUUUCUAAAACAUUUGAAAUAGAGUGUGAUGCCUCAGGAAUUGGAAUUGGUGCUGUGUUGAUGCAAGAUAAAAGACCUAUUGCUUAUUUCAGUGAGAAACUCAGUGGAGCUACUCUCAACUAUGCCACUUAUGACAAAGAACUCUACGCCUUGGUGAGAGCUCUACAGACUUGGCAGCAUUAUCUCUGGCCAAAGGAGUUUGUCAUUCACACAGACCAUGAAUCUCUCAAGUACCUCAAAGGACAAAGCAAGCUCAGCAAGAGACACGCCAGAUGGGUAGAAUUCAUUGAAACCUUCCCUUAUGUGAUCAAAUACAAACAAGGUAAGGAAAAUAUAGUUGCUGAUGCACUAUCCAGAAGGUAUGUCCUCUUGAAUACUCUUGAUGUUAAGUUGCUAGGCUUUGAGCAGAUUAAAGAAAUGUAUGAAUCUGAUCCUGACUUUCAAGAAGCUUAUAAUUCAUGUGCUAAGUAUGCUGCUGGACAUUACUUUAGGCAUGAUGGAUUCUUUUCUAUGACAAUCGUUUAUGUGUGCCUAAUUGCUCUUUGAGAGAUCUAUUUGUCAAGGAAUCCCAUGGAGGAAGCUUGAUGGGUCAUUUUGGUAUAGCAAAAACUCUUAAAGUCUUGCAGGAUCACUUUUACUGGCCACAUAUGAAACGAGAUGUUGAGAGAAUCUGUGGUAGAUGCACCACUUGCAAGCUUGCCAAAUCUAAGGUUCAACCACAUGGUUUGUACACUCCUUUACCUAUUCCUACUCACCCGUGGAAUGAUAUAUCCAUGGAUUUUAUUGUGGGUUUGCCAAGGACCACGACAGGUAAGGAUUCUAUCUUUGUAGUUGUGGAUAGGUUUUCAAAAAUGGCACAUUUCAUUGCUUGCCAUAAAACUGAUGAUGCAUUGCAUGUUGCUAACCUGUUCUUUAAAGAUAUUGUGCGCAUUCAUGGCAUGCCUAAGACUAUAGUUUCUGAUAGAGAUACUAAGUUUCUUAGUUAUUUUUGGAAGACUCUUUGGUCUAAGCUAGGUACUAAGCUGUUAUUCUCUACUACAUGUCAUCCACAAACUGAUGGGCAAACUGAGGUAGUUAAUAGAACUCUUGGAACUCUCUUGCGUGCAUUCAUUAAAAAGAAUAUGAAAUCAUGGGAAGAGUACUUGCCUCACUGUGAAUUUGCUUAUAAUCAUGCUCAGCAUUCUGCUUCUAAGUAUUCUCCUUUUGAAAUUGUUUAUGGGUUCAAUCCCAUCUCACCUUUGGAUCUAAUGCCUUUACCUGAGUGUGAAAGGGUCAAAGAGAGUCUACUGGCUCAGAUGAGAGUGGAGAGUGGGAAGGAGAUCCUAAUGGGUCAAAUGAGAGUGGUGCUCAAUCAAGUGAAGAUGAGCAAGAGCCACAAGAAGAACAUGUUCAGGAGCUAAUGAGGAGCACAAGGGUGAAGAGAGAUGCUUCCAACUGGGUAAACACGAGAGUGUACUACAAUGCCCAGGCUGUGGAGCAUCCUUCUCAAGCUAUGUGUUCCUUUGCAGAGUUUCCGGACGAGCAUACAUCCUUCACAGUAAGCUUGGAUGAGAGCUAUAUUCCAAGGACAUAUGAAGAAGCUAUGUGAUGUGAUCAUGGACCAGCCAAACAAAGAAGAUAAUGAGAGCAUGGAUGAUCCAACUGAUGGAGGAGCUCUAGCGAUAUCUGAAGGUCCUAUGACUCGAGCCAGAAGCAAGCAACUCAAAGAAGCCAUUGGAGGAUUACUUAAGACAUCACUGAAGCAAGAAGAGAGUCUUGGAAGAAGCUUGAUCAACCAAGACACACUUGCCACAAUUCAAGCCAUCUCAGCUCCAAGAUAGACAUCAAAUGAGCAAGUAACAUAUGUGUGCUCUUUUUCCCUAUAUUUGGUUUUGUCCCACUGGGUUUUCCAAAGAUAGGUUUUUAAUGAGGCCAUAUGUUGCUUUCCUAUCACUCAUUUGAUGAUCUCAGUUCAAGACUUUAUUUUAAUUAUUUAUCUUUGUUAACAUGAAGCAGAAUUAGGCUGCUAGACUUGAGAAUUAAGCUGCCAGACUUGAGAACCCUUAUAAGGUUUUAUAAGGUUUUUAUAAGGUUUAUUUUUAAGGCCCAUUUAGAGACCAAGGAGCCUGUUCCUUGCCUUCUCUAUAAAUAUGUGUCUGAAAACCCUAAUAGAACUAUCCAAUCUUUAUUUCUAAACUCUUGUUUCUCUCUAGUCGGCCGCAAGCUUGUCUUGUAGAUCUGAGAUUUCUUGAGUCUUUGUUAGUGUGUCAUAUCUAACAAAACCACAAGAGUGAUUGUCUUGGUGUGUCAUAUCCAAGGGAUUCACUUAGGAGUAUCAAGGAUACCUCUCACAUCUCUUUGUGUCACCAUUCAUUCCACAAACCUUGAAGCAGAUUGAGUCUUUGAUUCUCUGUUUGCAAGGAUCUAUCCCAUUCCAACCAGAGAAGCAUCCUAGGAGUGUAUUAUGUGGUAUCAGAGCAACUCUGGCUAGGGAAGUUCUCGUUUUCUUUAAGUUUUCACUCAAAUCUGUCUCUUGGUUUCAUAACUAUUGAUAGAUCUGAGUUUUGUUGUGUUGUUUCUGUCGAUUUGAUUCACUCUGAGUUCAGUAUUGCUAGAUCUGUUGCUGUGUGUUUUUAAAUUGAUAGAUCUGAAAGUUUCUAUUUUAGAUCUGUGAUAGAUCCGAUCAUCUCUUGUUGUUUCUUUGAUAGAUCUGUUGUUGUUUUGUUAAAAUCUGAUAAAAGAAGAGGUGUUGAUCGUGUGAAUUCGAAAAGACUCUUGAGAUUCUUAUUGGAUAAGUUACCGGAAAUUCAAAUCUGAUAGAAAUCUCUUUUGCCGCCUAUUUAAUCUUUUGUUCUUGUUUCCUUAUUUGAAUUGAUUUCUUUUUGUUUCUUGAACUUCUUACUGUCGAUUUUCUUUUGUUGUUUCAGGUACUAUGGCAGGAGAUCCAGAAGAGGAUGAAGGAGUUAGUCUCGAACACAAAGCUUUGCUGGAAGCUUUGACUCGCCGUAUGCAAAACAUGAUGGAAACGAGAUUGAUUUCUUUCCGCGAAGAACUUGAUGCCCAGCCUUCAGAACAGAGGCGUGAACCAAGGCAGAACCGACGAGAUAAUACUAGACAAGAGCAUGGUGGAUCACAGGAGACUGAUAACUAUUAUGAGAGCCACAGAGUUGAGAAGAGUGGUUCAUCAUCAACAUCGCGAGAUAAUAGAAGGAGAUAUCAUCGUGAUCGUGAUGGGAGAAGAUCUUACCGUGAUGAGUUUGCUGGUUUGAAGAUUAAAAUUCCUCCCUUCCAUGGCAAGGUUGAUCCAGACGCUUAUCUCGAGUGGGAGAAGAAGAUUGAGCUUGUUUUCAACUGCCAACACUACACCAAUGCUCAAAGAAUCCAGAUUGCUGCUACUGAGUUUCAUGAUUAUGCCUUGAGCUGGUGGGAUCAAUUGGUUACUACAAGGAGGUUGAAUCAGGAGUAUCCAGUUGAGUCUUGGCAUGAGAUGAAGUCUCUUAUGCGGAAGAGGUUUGUGCCUAGCCAUUAUCACCGCGACUUGCAUCAGAAAUUGAGAAGACUUACACAAGGAUCUAAGACCAUGGAGGAGUACUAUCAGGACAUGGAACUACUGAUGUUGAGAGCUGAUAUAUCUGAGGACAGAGAGGAUACUAUGUCAAGGUUUCUUGGAGGACUUAACCGCGAGAUACAGGACAGUGUGGAGAUGCAACACUAUGUGGAGAUAGAAGAGAUGUUGCACAAAGCUAUUCUGGUGGAGCAGCAGAUCAAAAGGAAGCAUCACUCCCGUAGCAACUAUAGCUCCAGCAAGUACCAACAUUCUAAAGAUGAGAAACCAUCCUACCUGAAAGACAGUAAGCCUCCGCAGAAAGAAGAUAGUAAUCCGGGUAGCAUAUUCAGCAAAGACCGAGACAAAGACAAAGGCAAAGCAGAAGCUACUAGUUCCAGAUCCCGAGAUGUUAAGUGUUUCAAGUGCCAAGGGCGUGGGCAUUAUGCCAAUGAGUGCACCAACAAAAAGGUCAUGAUUCUUCUUGAGAAUGGAGAGUAUGAAUCAGAAGAAGAGAAGUCUGAAUCUGAUCUUGAUCAAUCUGGAGAAGAAAGUGAAGUAGAACCAGUGAGAGGAAGGUUGUUGGUGACAAGAAGACUCUUGAACUUGCUAACUAAGAAUAGAGACCUUGAGCAGCGUGAGAAUCUGUUUUACACAAGGUGUAUGGUUCAGGGAAAGGUGUGCAGUCUCAUUAUUGAUGGAGGAAGUUGUGUCAAUGUAGCUAGUGAGACAAUGGUGAAGAAAUUGGGUUUGAAGAUUCAGAAACACCCAAAACCAUACAGAUUGCAGUGGCUUAAUGAGGAGGGCGAAAUGAGAGUGUCAACUCAAGUGCUGGUUCCUAUAGCCAUUGGUAGAUAUGAAGAUGAAGUCUUGUGUGACGUGUUGCCAAUGGAAGCCAGUCAUAUACUCCUUGGAAGACCCUGGCAGUAUGAUAGACGUGUGAAUCAUGAUGGCUUCACCAACAAGCACUCUUUUGAAUUCAAUGGAAAGAAGACUGUACUGGUGCCUUUAUCUCCUAAAGAGGUUCAUGAAGAUCAACUCCAGCUUCAGAAAAAGAAGGAGAAAGAGAUAGACCUCAAACCUGAUCAGAACAAGCAUCACAGCCUCUAUGCCAAUCAGGGAGAUAUCAAAAGAAUUCUUUACUCUCAAAAUUCUAUUAUCUUGCUUAUGUUUAAGGAGACUUUACUAACAGUUACUGAUCACACACCGGAUCAUCCGAGUGAACUAGUCUCUCUUUUACAGGAAUAUGCAGAUGUGUUUCCAGAAGAUAGCCCCAUUGGAUUGCCUCCAGUUCGUGGGAUUGAGCACCAAAUCGACUUUGUACCUGGUUCAACACUACCAAACAGACCUGCAUACAGAACUAAUCCAGUGGAGACUAAAGAAUUGCAAAGACAAGUAGAGGAGCUGAUGGAGAAGGGUCAUAUCCGAGAGAGCUUGAGUCCCUGUGCAGUUCUAGUGCUCCUUGUGCCUAAGAAAGAUGGGAGCUGGCGCAUGUGUGUUGAUUGUAGAGCAAUCGACAACAUAACAGUGAAGUAUCGCCACCCUAUUCCUAGAUUAGAUGAUAUGCUUGAUGAGUUACAUGGUUCUUGCUUCUUUUCUAAGAUAGAUUUGAAAACUGGAUAUCAUCAGAUUAGGAUGAAAGAAGGAGAUGAGUGGAAAACUGCUUUUAAAACUAAACAUGGCUUGUAUGAGUGGUUAGUUAUGCCAUUUGGAUUAACCAAUGCUCCUAGUACAUUCAUGAGACUGGUGAAUCAUAUCCUUAGGUCUUUCAUAGGCAUCUUUGUUGUUGUGUACUUUGAUGAUAUAUUAGUUUACAGCAAAUGCUUAGAAGAUCAUAUAGAACAUCUUAGGGCUGUUUUGGAUGUUUUGAGAAAAGAAAAACUUUAUGCCAAUCUGAAGAAGUGCACUUUUUGCACAGAUAACUUGGUCUUUCUAGGUUUUGUUGUAAGUGCAGAUGGUGUAAAGGUGGAUCAGGAGAAGAUCAAAGCAAUACAAGAGUGGCCGAGUCCAACUACAGUGGGAGAAGUAAGGAGUUUCCAUGGACUGGCAGGUUUCUAUAGGCGCUUUGUGAAGGAUUUCAGCACUCUAGCAGCUCCUCUGACUGAGAUAAUCAAGAAGGAUGUAGGAUUCAAGUGGGGAGAAGUUCAAGAAGCUGCAUUCCAACUCCUUAAAGAGAAGCUUACUCAAUCUCCUCUUCUCAUACUUCCUGAUUUUUCUAAAACAUUUGAAAUAGAGUGUGAUGCCUCAGGAAUUGGAAUUGGUGCUGUGUUGAUGCAAGAUAAAAGACCUAUUGCUUACUUCAGUGAGAAACUCAGUGGAGCUACUCUCAACUAUGCCACUUAUGACAAAGAACUCUACGCCUUGGUGAGAGCUCUACAGACUUGGCAGCAUUAUCUCUGGCCAAAGGAGUUUGUCAUUCACACAGACCAUGAAUCUCUCAAGUACCUCAAAGGACAAAGCAAGCUCAGCAAGAGACACGCCAGAUGGGUAGAAUUCAUUGAAACCUUCCCUUAUGUGAUCAAAUACAAACAAGGUAAGGAAAAUAUAGUUGCUGAUGCACUAUCCAGAAGGUAUGUCCUCUUGAAUACUCUUGAUGUUAAGUUGCUAGGCUUUGAGCAGAUUAAAGAAAUGUAUGAAUCUGAUCCUGACUUUCAAGAAGCUUAUAAUUCAUGUGCUAAGUAUGCUGCUGGACAUUACUUUAGGCAUGAUGGAUUCUUAUUCUAUGACAAUCGUUUAUGUGUGCCUAAUUGCUCUUUGAGAGAUCUAUUUGUCAGGGAAUCCCAUGGAGGAAGCUUGAUGGGUCAUUUUGGUAUAACAAAAACUCUUAAAGUCUUGCAGGAUCACUUUUACUGGCCACACAUGAAACGAGAUGUUGAGAGAAUCUGUGGUAGAUGCACCACUUGCAAGCUUGCCAAAUCUAAGGUUCAACCACAUGGUUUGUACACUCCUUUACCUAUUCCUACUCACCCCUGGAAUGAUAUAUCCAUGGAUUUUAUUGUGGGUUUGCCAAGGACCACGAUAGGUAAGGAUUCUAUCUUUGUAGUUGUGGAUAGGUUUUCAAAAAUGGCACAUUUCAUUGCUUGCCAUAAAACUGAUGAUGCAUUGCAUGUUGCUAACCUGUUCUUUAAAGAUAUUGUGCGCAUUCAUGGCAUGCCUAAGACUAUAGUUUCUGAUAGAGAUACUAAGUUUCUUAGUUAUUUUUGGAAGACUCUUUGGUCUAAGCUAGGUACUAAGCUGUUAUUCUCUACUACAUGUCAUCCACAAACUGAUGGGCAAACUGAGGUAGUUAAUAGAACUCUUGGAACUCUCUUGCGUGCAUUCAUUAAAAAGAAUCUGAAAUCAUGGGAAGAGUACUUGCCUCACUGUGAAUUUGCUUAUAAUCAUGCUCAGCAUUAUGCUUCUAAGUUUUCUCCUUUUGAAAUUGUUUAUGGGUUCAAUCCCAUCUCACCUUUGGAUCUAAUGCCUUCACCUGAGUGUAAAAGGGUGAGCAUGGAUGGGAAAAAGAAAGCAGAAAUGGUGCAGCAGAUUCAUGAGCAGGCAAGAAGAAACAUUGUGGAGAAAACCAAGCAGUACACUAAAAGAGCAAACAAAGGCAGGCGUGAGAUGAUCUUUGAUGUAGGUGAUAAAGUGUGGGUUCACUUGCGCAAGGAGAGGUUUCCAAAUGAAAGAAAAUCUAAGCUCAUGCUGCGGAUUGAUGGCCCUUUUGAAGUCAUCCAGAAAAUCAAUGACAAUGCCUACAAGCUUGAUCUUCAAGGUAAGUAUGAUAUAAGUAAUAGCUUUAAUGUUACUGACUUGGCUCCUUUUGUUGCAGAUGAGCUAGAUUUGAGGACAAAUCCUUUUCAAGAGGAAGGGGAUGAUAUGAUCAUGGACCAGCCAAACAAAGAAGAUAAUGAGAGCAUGGAUGAUCCAGCUGAUGGAGGAGCUCUAGCCAUAUCUGAAGGUCCUAUGACUCGAGCCAGAAGCAAGCAACUCAAAGAAGCCAUUGGAGGAUUACUUAAGACAUCACUGAAGCAAGAAGAGAGUCUUGGAAGAAGCUUGAUCAACCAAGACACACUUGCCACAAUUCAAGCCAUCUCAGCUCCAAGAUAGACAUCAAAUGAGCAACUAACAUAUGUGUGCUCUUUUUCCCUAUCUUUGGUUUUGUCCCACUGGGUUUUCCAAAGAUAGGUUUUUAAUGAGGCCAUAUGUUGCUUUCCUAUCACUCAUUUGAUGAUCUCAGUUCAAGACUUUAUUUUAAUUAUUUAUCUUUGUUAACAUGAAGCAGAAUUAAGCUGCUAGACUUGAGAAUUAGGCUGCUAGACUUGAGAAUUAAGCUGCCAGACUUGAGAACCCUUAUAAGGUUUUAUAAGGUUUUUAUAAGGUUUUAAUAAGGUUUAUUUUUAAGGCCCAUUUAGAGACCAAGGAGCCUAUUCCUUGCCUUCUCUAUAAAUAUGUGUCUGAAAACCCUAAUAGAUCUAUCCAAUCUUUAUUUCUAAACUCUUGUUUCUCUCUAGUCGGCCGCAAGCUUGUCUUGUAGAUCUGAGAUUUCUUGAGUCUUUGUUAGUGUGUCAUAUCUAACAAAACCACAAGAGUGAUUGUCUUGGUGUGUCAUAUCCAAGAGAUUCACUUAGGAGUAUCAAGGAGACCUCUCACAUCUCUUUGUGUCACCAUUCAUUCCACAAACCUUGAAGAAGAUUGAGUCUUUGAUUCUCUGUUUGCAAGGAUCUAUCCCAUUCCAACCAGAGAAGCAUCCUAGGAGUGUAUUAUGAUCAAUGACAGGUUUGCUCUUGUUCAAAACUUCAAAUGGAGACAGAUUCUUCAAUAUCUUGGUUGGAACCCGGUUGAUGAGAUAGCAAGCAGUCUGCACAGCAUCACUCCAAAAACGUUUUGGGACAUUUGCAUGAAACAUCAUCGAUCUAGCAACCUCCAUCAAGUGCAUGUUCUUCCUCUCAGCUACACCAUUCUGCUGUGGUGUAUAAGGGCAGCUAGUCUGAUGCACAAUCCUAUGCUUGGCUAGAUGACUCUUGAAGGCAUUGCUGAUGUAUUCACCUCCAUUAUCUGAUCUCAGUACCUUCACAGUAGCAUUGUAUUGAUUAGAUACAUAUGCUUGGAAGUUCAUAAAUGCUUCUAGCACCCUAUCUUUAGAUGGAAGCAAUGUAAGCCAAGUAUACUUAGACUUCUCAUCAAUGAAUGUCACAAAGUACUUCUGGCUUUCUCUAGACAAACAAGGAGCCGUCCACACAUCUGAAUGAACUAGAUCAAAGCAAUGCUCAUAAGUAGUUUCUGAUGUUGGAAAAACAGUCCUACAAUGCUUUCCUAAUAUGCAUGCUUCACACUCCAAGUGAUUAAAUGACAUAUUAGGAAUUAUCAAUUCAAUAGCACGAGCAUGAGGAUGUCCCAAUCUAGCAUGCCAAGUAAUACUAUCAAUCUUCUCAUAAGUACUACUCAAACACAUAGAAUCAAUGGGUUCAGAGAUCUUAGCCAAUUGGAGUUGGUAUAGAUUAUUCUUGCCGUCUCCUCUCCCAAUGACCCUUCCAGUCUUCAAAUCUUGGAACUCAACAUCAUCUGGCCUGAAUACUACUUGACAGCCAAGAUCAAUUGGGGCUUUCCUCACAGAUACCAGAUUUGAAGCAAAUUGUGGCAUGUAGAAGGCAUCUGAGUCUUUGUCAAAUAGCUUGAGCUUUCCAACCCCCUCUAUUGGAAUCCUAUCUCCAUUAGCUAUCAUCACACCCCCAGUGGCUUUCUUUACAUCACUCAUUAAGCUUCUAUCACUAAUCAUGUGAUGACUUGCUCCAGAAUCAACAAUGAUGGGUUUGUUGGAUGUGGAUGAUUUGGCAGGAGCACCUUGUCUCUGGGUCGUAGCCAAAGCAUACACAUACUUGACAAACUCAUCCCAUUCCUCCUUUGUGACACGCUCAUCUGCUCCUUUGGUCUCUAGCUUCCUCAUGACCCCACUACUCUCUACAGAUUCUCCCAUGUAAGCUGAGUAAGAACACUCUCCCAUAAGAAUCUGUUGUGCUUCUUCUCUGCCCAUCUUCAUAGUACCAUAGCUACCUUGAUAACCAGACAGUUUGCUUCUUUUCCAACACCUUCCUCUUCUGAUCUGAGCCUUAGAACGUCGUCUCAGCCUUCCCUUCUUCCUUUUAGCACCCUCCUUACUCCAAGUUAUCUCUUUGUUCUCUUCCAUCACUUGAUGAAGCCUCUGAACCAGUACACACACUUCUUCCAUGCUGGGUAGCUUAUCUUCCUUGAGAAUAAGCUUUACCAACCAGCCAUAAGAUGAAUCCAAGCUUGCAAAGAGGCUGAAGACAACAUCUUGCUCUCGCCACUCUUCUAGCACUCUUGGAUCACAACUUCUUGGUCUCAAGCUUUGUAACUCCGACCACAAACAUCUCAGCUUCUUCACAUGCUGAUUGAAACCUUCUUUCCCUUGUUUUAACUCACAGAUCAUCUUCCUGACUUCAUACAUCCUCCUUAGAUUGAUCUUGUUCUCAUAAACAUCUUCAAUCUUCUCAAGAGAUAUUCUUUCUUCAAGACUCAACUGAUCUUCACACUUCAACCUUGCUGUCUGACCCCCAUCAGCAGCUCUCUCCAUUAAAGGUUCUCCCUUUACAUGAUUACUCCAAAUCUCACAGCUUCCUAAGGCUGUCUUUACCCAUCUUGGCCAAACCCACUUGUUUUCUUCUUGAAUCUUCACUGCUCCACUAGAUUCGUGCUUCAUAUCCAUGUUUCCACCAGAGAAUCUCAAAUAAACCCAGCCACAAAAGAAUAGACAACACACAUACCCAGAAACCUCAACAACCCCAAGAACACUCAAGAACACUCUGAUUUUGAGAAAAAGAAAUCACACUCACCCUCUUUUUGCCAACCUGGCUCUGAUACCAUAUACACUUUUGUGUAUUAGAGCAUGAUUCAAAUAAUCAGAGAUAAUCAGAUGAAAAGUCUCACAUAAUUAAGAGAUUAUCCACUAGAUUCGUGCUUCAUAUCCAUGUUUCCACCAGAGAAUCUCAAAUAAACCCAGCCACAAAAGAAUAGACAACACACAUACCCAGAAACCUCAACAACCCCAAGAACACUCAAGAACACUCUGAUUUUGAGAAAAAGAAAUCACACUCACCCUCUUUUUGCCAACCUGGCUCUGAUACCAUAUACACUUUUGUGUAUUAGAGCAUGAUUCAAAUAAUCAGAGAUAAUCAGAUGCUUCUUCAUGCCAACUCCUAUGAGAUUUAUAUACACUUUUGUGUAUUAGAGCAUGAUUCAAAUAAUCAGAGAUAAUCAGAUAAAAAGAUUAAAGAGAUUAAGAGAUUUUAGUGAGAGAAUAAGGAGAGAGACUCAAAACUCCAUUAAUUAUUAAAGAUGAGGUUUACAACAUAUUUAUGAGAGAGAGACAAUACAUUUCGAAAUCAUAGAGAUAAGAAAGAGAUUCAGAGCAUGUGUAGUCAAAGAGAGCCAUCCAAAAGCAUCCAAUGGGAGUCUUCACAUGCUUGAUCCCUUUGGCAUCUUUUACUAGAUGCUGUCUACUUUACAGCCUGUCUCCAGCCUCUCUAGCUUGAGGAAACCUUAUCCAGACUGCUCCUUCCUUAUCCAAGAGCUCCUUGGUCGUGGGUAACUCUCCAAAGUGAAGCAAGAUCACUUUCCAAGCUUUAACUGAGUUACCACAGUAAAACUAAAGUUACUGUGGUAAAACUCCAAAGUUACUGUAUGCCUCAAUCCUCUUUCUCUAUCAAUGUAUCCUCUCUUUAUUACCUCAUCUCAACACUCCCCCUCAAGCUUGACCAUGUGAAACAAGUCAAGCUUGGAAACCAUGAAGACCUCCCUCAUUAAAAACCUCACCUAAGAAAACCCAUUGGGAUAAAACUUUGAUGAGGGAAAAAGAGUGGAGACUCCAUGGUUAAGGGGCUCAGCUCCUGGGAGUAAGAUCAAUGAGUCCAAGCCUGGAUAGUAUGGACUCCAUUGUCUUCAAUCUCGCUGCCUUGGUAAACACAUCUGCAAGCUGAUCUUCACUUCUUGUAUAACAUGGCAGAAUCACUCCUAGGAUAAUCAUCUGCCUCACUUUAUGACAAUCCACCUCUAUGUGCUUUGUUCUCUCAUGAAACACUGAGUUGGAGGCAAUGUGGAUAGCUGCUUGAUUGUCACAAUGCAUAGUUAUAGGAGCACUCUGCUCAAUCUCUAGAUGCUUCAAGAUCCCCUUGAUCCACACCAACUCGUUUGUCAACUUCAACAUGGCUCUAUACUCAGCUUCAGCACUUGAACAAGAGAUAACCUUCUGCUUCUUACUCUUCCAAGUAACCAAGUUCCCUCCAAUGAAUGUACAAUACCCAGUAGUUGAUCUUCUGUCCACUCUAUCUCCUGCCCAAUCAGCAUCACAAUACCCAACCACUUCUGUACUGCCAUUACAGCCCAUCCAAACUCCUUGUCCAGCCGUCCCACUCAAAUACCUCAGUAUCCUAUCAACCAUCUUCCAGUGAUGGACCUUUGGCGCCUGCAUAUGUUGACUCACUUGAUUCACAGCAAAGCAUAUAUCUGGCCUGGUAAUAGUCAAGUAGAUCAGCUUGCCAACCAUCUUCCUAUACAGCUUAGCAUCCUCAAACAACUGGUUCUCUUCAACCUCCCCCUCACGUAAGACCUUAUACCCCUCUUCAAGAGGUGUCUUGGCUACCUUUCCUCCAAGUACAUCAGUCUCCUUCAACAUAUCCAUUGUAUACUUCCUUUGACACAUAAACAAACCCUCCUUGGAUCUGCAUAUCUCAAUCCCCAAGAAAUACUUCAUCUCUCCCAAGUCUUUGAUAUCAAACACAGACUUGAGGAACUCUUUAGUGGCUUUAAUCCCAGUCUUAUCACUCCCUGUGAUAAUCAAAUUAUCCACAUAUACCAGUAUCACAAUGAUCCCUGAUGGAGUAACCAAAGUGAAGAGUGUAUGAUCCAGUUCAGACUUCCUGAAUCCUCUCCCAUUGAGAGUUGUACUCAGCUUCCUGUACCAAGCUCUAGGAGACUGCUUCAGCCCAUAUAUUGCCUUCUUCAAUCUCAAAACAUUUCCUGGUUUUACUAGAUGCUCAAGACCAGGAGGAGGAAGCAUGUAUACCUCAUUUUCUAGCUCACCUUGUAAGAAAGCAUUCUUCACAUCCAUCUGCCACAAAUCCCACUCCAAGUUUGUUGCAAUGGACAACACAAUCCGAACUGUGUGCAGCUUAGCUACUGGUGCAAAGGUAUCAAUCUAAUCCUCUCCAUAGGUUUGUGUAAAUCCUCUUGCAACCAAUCUGGUCUUAUUCCUAUCAAUCUGUCCAUUUGCUAGAUACUUGAUUGUGAAGAUCCAUCUACUAGAUACAACCUUCUUUCCCUUAGGCAGCUCACUCUCAUACCAUGUAUCAUUCUUGAUCAUAGCACCUGCUUCAGCUCCCACUGAUUCUUUCCAUUCCUUGUCUAACAUAGCUUCUUCAUAAGUCCUUGGUACAUAACUCUCAUCCAGACUAAUCAUAAAGGCAUAAUGCUCCUCUGGAAACUCAGCGAAGGAACACACGGCUUGAGAAGGAUGCUCCACAGCCUGGGCAUUGUAGUACACUCUCGUGUUUACCCAGUUGGAAGGAUCCCUCUUUAUCCUUGUGCUCCUCCUCAAAGCUUGAACCUGAUCUUCAGUUUGCACACUAGCCGGCGGCUCCACUUGCUCUUCUUCUGAACUGGCCGGUCCAACUUGUUCUUCUCCACUAGACUGAACCUCAUCUACUUCUCCACUAGACUGAACAUUGUUCUCAACUUCUUGUGAUGUAUCUUGAUCAUGAAGGCCUGAAUCCUCUUGGUUUUGCUCUUGCUCACCAAAUUCAGUUCCAUUCCCCCUCUCAUGAUCAAGAGGAGUUGUUCUUCCAGCUCCACCAGUCUGAUUGGAAGGCUCUCUCCUUCCGGGUUCCUGAUCCUGGGAUAUCCCUAUCCCGAGCUUCUCCAACAACACUCUCAGUAUUGUUGCCUUAUCAGAUGGAGCUUGAGACAAAUCCUUCAGAUUUUCCCACUCCUUUUCUUCAUAAUAGCCUUUAGUUUCAACAAACUUCACUUCUCUAGAUACCAUCACCCUCCUUGCUGUUGAGAUGAGGUGAUGAGGAGUGGAUACAUUGAUAGAGGAAGAGUAUUGGGGUGGUCAGUAAGUUUGGGAUUUACCACAGUAACUUUAAAGUUACUGUGGUAACUAAGUGAAAGGAAGAGAAGUUACCAGGAUGGGUUAAAUUGGAGUCUAACUGAUGUUAAUCCUCUCUUAUCUUAAGAAGGACGUGGGAAGAGGAUAAGGAAGGGAUAAGGGCUUACUUUGACAGCCUGUAUGAUGCUGGAAAGGAGAGGAUGCUUUUUACUAGUGCAAGCAUGUGAGAAAGCACAGCCAAGUGAUUCAAAAGGAGUUCCAGCCUGUCCAUUGACUCCACAUGCUUAUACAUUUCGAAAACCCUUGUUGCUCUCUCUAUUAAUACUUGUAAACCUCAUCAGAUAUUAAUCAAUGGAGUUUUUGAGUCUCUCUCUCUCUAUUCUUUAAAAUCUCUUAAUCUCUUUAAUAUCUCUUAAUCUCUUUAAUAUCUUGAUCUGAUUAUCUCUCAUUGUUUGAAUCAUACUCUUAAAACACAAAAGUGUUUAUGGUAUCAGAGCCAGGUUGUUCAAACAGGGGAGAGUGUGAUUUCGUUUUUCAUAAAAAUCUGAGUGUUCUUGAGUGUUCUUGAGUGUUCUUGGUGUUCUUGAGUUCUGGUCUUUAUUAUCUGAGUGGUGUGAGAUAUUCUGAUGGAUUCAAACUAUCUCAACAUGGAAAUGAAGCACAGAUCUAGUACAACCAUGGAGUGUGAAGAAGAGAGAGAUGGCGAUUGGUCAAGAUGGGCAAAGAGAGCUUUGGAAAGCUGUGGGUUAUGGAGUAGUCAUGGAAAGGGGAAACCUUUCAUGGAAAUGGCUACUGAAGAAGGUCAGACAAGAGGUCUGAAGCUGGAAAAUGAAGUUGUUCAAGGAAACACUACAAGGAGUGAGAUUGAAGCAACUUUAGGCAAGUCCAAGCUUGUGAGAGUCAUUGAGGACAGAGGGGUGAUCCGCGGCUUGAGACAAGGAAAGGAUGAGUGUUAUCAGCUUGUGGGAAGGCUGAGAGAAGUAUGGUCAGAGCUAGAUGUGGUGAAGACACACACAUCAAAUCCGAGAUGUUGUCAAGAAAGGAGGAAGCAAGAUGUGAUCUUCAGCUUCCUUAUGGAAGAGGUAUGUGAGCUUGUUAAAUAUACAUAUGAUGUGUGGGAAAUAAACAGGAAGCCAGAAAGAUGGAAGGGAGGUACAAGCUGUAAGAGGGGAAGGUUGAGAAAACUUUCUAAGGAGUGGUUAAUGAAGAGAAGAGCAUGGAGAAAGGAUAGCGAGUCUGAACACUUAAGUGACAGGAUGAGUGUAAUCUUGAAGAGAAUCAAGGAUGUACUUCAGCAGAUGGUUAUAGGAGAGUGUUCAUACUCAGCUUACAUGGGAGAGACAGUAGGAGACAGUGCGGACAUGAGAGGAAUGGAUACCAAGAGGGCAGAUGAGUUUGUGACAAAGAAGGAAUGGGAUGAGUUGGUUAAGCAUGUGUAUGCUUUGGCUACGACCCGGAGUCUGGGUGCUCCUGCCAAAGCAUCCACAUCUAAACCCAUCAUCAUUGAUUCUGGAGCAACACACCACAUGAUCAGUGACAAGAGACUAAUCAGUGAGGUUAAAGCAGCAACAGGGAGUGUCAUGAUAGCCAAUGGUACCAGGAUCCCAAUAGAAGGAGUGGGAAACCUCAAGCUGUUUGAGAAGAACUCCACUGCCUUCUACCUACCUCCGUUUACAUCCAAUCUAAUCUCAGUUAAGAAGGCUACAGUUGAUCUGGAUUGUCAAGUGGUUUUCAGACCAAAUGAAGUUGAGUUCCAGGAUUUAAAGACUGGAAGAGUUAUUGGCAGAGGAGACAGCAAGCAUCAGCUCUAUCAUCUCCAAACAACUGAGGCGCCUAGUCUUGUGGAGUCUGUGUGUUUAAGCAGCACAACGGAUAGAUGUGAUAAUCUCACAUGGCAUGCAAGGCUGGGACAUCCUCAUGCCAAGGCAAUUGAACUGAUUCUACCAAGUAUGGCGUUCAAUCACUUGGAGUGUGAAGCCUGUAUACUUGGAAAGCACUGUAGGACGGUCUUCCCAACAUCAGAGACCAGAUAUGAGAAUUGCUUUGAUCUGGUGCAUUCAGACGUGUGGACAGCUCCCUGUAUGUCUAGAGACAGCCAUAAGUACUUUGUGACCUUCAUUGAUGAGAAGUCCAAGUACACAUGGAUCACCAUGAUUCCCUCCAAAGACAGAGUCCUGGAAGCCUUCAUGAACUUCCAAGCAUAUGUUACUAACCAGUACAAUGCCACUGUGAAGAUUCUGAGGUCUGAUAAUGGAGGAGAAUACACUAGCAAUGCUUUCAAGAGUCAUCUUGCAAAGCAUGGGAUUGUGCAACAAACUAGCUGUCCUUACACACCACAACAAAAUGGGGUGGCUGAGAGGAAGAACAGACAUUUGAUGGAGGUUGCGAGAUCAAUAAUGUUCCACAUGAAUGUCCCUAAGAAGUUUUGGAGUGAUGCUGUUCAGACUGCUUGCUAUCUCAUCAAUAGAGUGCCAACACGUGUCUUGAAGAAACUGUCUCCCUUUGAAGUAUUAAACAAGGCCAAGCCACACAUAGAUCAUUUGAGAGUCUUUGGGUGCUUAUGUUAUGUGAUGAUUCCCGGAGAAAGAAGGAACAAGCUAGAAGCAAAGAGUACUAAAGCUAUGUUCAUUGGGUACUCAAUCACUCAGAAAGGGUACAAGUGCUAUGAUCCAGCAACCAGGAGAGUGUUGGUGUCUAGAGAUGUUAAGUUCAUAGAGACCAAGGGGUAUUAUGAAGAAAAGAAUUGGAAAGACUUGGAAGAUCUGUCUCAAGAACCAAGAAACAUGGCAGAGAAUCUGAGGAACAUAUUGGAAAGGCUUGGGGUAAACAUGUCCCAUGAUAAGGUUAGAGAACCUGAAAGAACAACUCUCCUUGAUCAUGAGGGGGGAAAUGAGUCUGAAUCAGGAGUGCAAGAGCAGCACCAAGGGGAUUCAGGUCAUCAUGAUCAAGUGGUGACACAAGAAGUAGAGAAUUUUCCUCAGGUCAGUGUGGAUGAGCAAGGAGAGGUUCAUGAUCAAGAGGAGGUGAGUGAGACAGAACCAGAGGGUCACGCAGAGGUUCAUACUGAGGAACAGGUUCAACCAUUGAGGAGGAGCACACGGAUAAAGAGGGAUGCUUCCAACUGGGUAAACACGAGAGUGUACUACAAUGCCCAGGCUGUGGAGCAUCCUUCUCAAGCUGUGUGUUCCUUUGCUGAGUUUCCAGAGGAGCAUCAUGCCUUUAUGAUUAGUCUGGAUGAGAGUUAUGUACCAAGGACUUAUGAAGAAGCUAUGUUAGACAAGGAAUGGAAAGAAUCAGUGGGAGCUGAAGCAGGUGCUAUGAUCAAAAAUGAUACAUGGUAUGAGAGUGAGCUGCCUAAGGGAAAGAGGGCUGUAUCUAGUAGAUGGAUCUUCACAAUCAAGUAUCUAGCAAAUGGACAGAUUGAUAGGAAGAAGACCAGAUUGGUUGCAAGAGGGUUUAAACAGACCUAUGGAGAGGAUUACAUUGAUACCUUUGCACCAGUAGCUAAGCUACAUACAGUUCGGAUUGUGUUGUCCAUUGCAACAAACUUGGAGUGGGAUUUGUGGCAGAUGGAUGUGAAGAAUGCUUUCUUACAAGGUGAGCUAGAAGAUGAGGUAUACAUGCUUCCUCCUCCUGGUCUUGAGCAUCUAGUAAAACCAGGAAAUGUUUUGAGAUUGAAGAAGGCAAUCUAUGGGCUGAAGCAGUCUCCUAGAGCUUGGUACAGGAAGCUGAGUACAACCGUGAAUGGCAGAGGAUUCAGGAAGUCUGAACUGGAUCAUACACUCUUCACUUUGGUUACUCCAUCAGGGAUCAUUGUGAUACUGGUAUAUGUGGAUGAUUUGAUUAUCACAGGGAGUGAUAAGGCUGGGAUUAAAGCCACUAAAGAGUUCCUCAAGUCUGUGUUUGACAUCAAAGACUUGGGAGAGAUGAAGUAUUUCUUGGGGAUUGAGAUAUGCAGAUCCAAGGAGGGUUUGUUUAUGUCUCAAAGGAAGUAUACAAUGGAUAUGCUAAAGGAGACUGAUGUACUUGGAGGAAAGGUAGCAAAGACACCUCUUGAGGAGGGGUAUAAGGUUUUGCGUGAGGGGGAGGUUGAAGAGAAGCAGUUAUUUAAGGAUCCUAAGCUAUACAGGAAGAUGGUUGGCAAGUUGAUCUACUUGACCAUCACACGGCCAGAUAUAUGUUUUGCAGUGAACCAAGUGAGUCAGCAUAUGCAGGCGCCAAAGGUACAUCAUUGGAAGAUGGUUGAUAGGAUACUGAGGUAUUUGAGUGGCACGCCUGGUCAAGGAGUUUGGAUGGGUUGCAAUGGCAGUACGGAAGUGGUUGCGUAUUGUGAUGCUGAUUGGGCAGGAGAUAGAGUGGACAGGAGAUCAACUACUGGAUAUUGUACAUUCAUUGGAGGGAACUUGGUUACUUGGAAGAGUAAGAAGCAAAAGGUUAUCUCUUGUUCAAGUGCUGAAGCUGAGUAUAGAGCCAUGUUGAAGCUGACAAACGAGUUGGUGUGGAUCAAGGGGAUCUUGAAGCAUCUAGAGAUUGAGCAGAGUACUCCUAUGACUAUGCAUUGUGAUAAUCAAGCAGCUAUCCACAUUGCCUCCAACUCAGUGUUUCAUGAGAGAACAAAGCACAUAGAGGUGGAUUGUCAUAAGGUGAGGCAGAUGAUUAUCUUAGGAGUGAUUAUGCCAUGUUAUACAAGGAGUGAAGAUCAGCUUGCAGAUGUGUUUACCAAGGCAGCGAGAUUGAAGACAAUGGAGUCCAUACUAUCCAGGCUUGGACUCAUUGAUCUUACUCCCAGGAGCUGAGCCCCUUAACCAUGGAGUCUCCACUCUUUUUCCCUCAUCAAAGUUUUAUCCCAAUGGGUUUUCUUUGGUGAGGUUUUUAAUGAGGGAGGUCUUCAUGGUUUCCAAGCUUGACUUGUUCCACAUGGUCAAGCUUGAGGGGGAGUGUUGAGAUGAGGUGAUGAGGAGUGGAUACAUUGAUAGAGGAAGAGUAUUGGGGUGGUCAGUAAGUUUGGGAUUUACCACAGUAACUUUAAAGUUACUGUGGUAACUAAGUGAAAGGAAGAGAAGUUACCAGGAUGGGUUAAAUUGGAGUCUAACUGAUGUUAAUCCUCUCUUAUCUUAAGAAGGACGUGGGAAGAGGAUAAGGAAGGGAUAAGGGCUUACUUUGACAGCCUGUAUGAUGCUGGAAAGGAGAGGAUGCUUUUUACUAGUGCAAGCAUGUGAGAAAGCACAGCCAAGUGAUUCAAAAGGAGUUCCAGCCUGUCCAUUGACUCCAUAUGCUUAUACAUUUCGAAAACCCUUGUUGCUCUCUCUAUUAAUACUUGUAAACCUCAUCAGAUAUUAAUUAAUGGAGUUUUUGAGUCUCUCUCUCUCUAUUCUUUAAAAUCUCUUAAUCUCUUUAAUAUCUUGAUCUGAUUAUCUCUGAUUGUUUGAAUCAUACUCUUAAAACACAAAAGUGUUUAUGGUAUCAGAGCCAGGUUGUUCAAACAGGGGAGAGUGUGAUUUCGUUUUUCAUACAAAUCUGAGUGUUCUUGAGUGUUCUUGAGUGUUCUUGGUGUGCUUGAGUUCUGGUCUUUAUUAUCUGAGUGGUGUGAGAUAUUCUGAUGGAUUCAAACUAUCUCAACAUGGAAAUGAAGCACAGAUCUAGUACAACCAUGGAGCUUGAAGAAGAGAGAGAUGGCGAUUGGUCAAGAUGGGCAAAGAGAGCUUUGGAAAGCUGUGGGUUAUGGAGUAGUCAUGGAAAGGGGAAACCUUUCAUGGAAAUGGCUACUGAAGAAGGUCAGACAAGAGGUCUGAAGCUGGGAAAUGAAGUUGUUCAAGGAAACACUACAAGGAGUGAGAUUGAAGCAACUUUAGGCAAGUCCAAGCUUGUGAGAGUCAUUGAGGACAGAGGGGUGAUCCGUGGCUUGAGACAAGGAAAGGAUGAGUGUUAUCAGCUUGUGGGAAGGCUGAGAGAAGUAUGGUCAGAGCUAGAUGUGGUGAAGACACACACAUCAAAUCCGAGAUGUUGUCAAGAAAGGAGGAAGCAAGAUGUGAUCUUCAGCUUCCUUAUGGAAGAGGUAUGUGAGCUUGUUAAAUAUACAUAUGAUGUGUGGGAAAUAAACAGGAAGCCAGAAAGAUGGAAGGGAGGUACAAGCUGUAAGAGGGGAAGGUUGAGAAAACUUUCUAAGGAGUGGUUAAUGAAGAGAAGAGCAUGGAGAAAGGAUAGCGAGUCUGAGCACUUAAGUGACAGGAUGAGUGUAAUCUUGAAGAGAAUCAAGGAUGUACUUCAGCAGAUGGUUAUAGGAGAGUGUUCAUACUCAGCUUACAUGGGAGAGACAGUAGGAGACAGUGCGGACAUGAGAGGAAUGGAUACCAAGAGGGCAGAUGAGUUUGUGACAAAGAAGGAAUGGGAUGAGUUGGUUAAGCAUGUGUAUGCUUUGGCUACGACCCGGAGUCUGGGUGCUCCUGCCCAAGCAUCCACAUCUAAACCCAUCAUCAUUGAUUCUGGCUCCUGCCAAAGCAUCCACAUCUAAACCCAUCAUCAUUGAUUCUGGAGCAACACACCACAUGAUCAGUGACAAGAGACUAAUCAGUGAGGUUAAAGCAGCAACAGGGAGUGUCAUGAUAGCCAAUGGUACCAGGAUCCCAAUAGAAGGAGUGGGAAACCUCAAGCUGUUUGAGAAGAACUCCACUGCCUUCUACCUACCUCAGUUUACAUCCAAUCUAAUCUCAGUUAAGAAGGCUACAGUUGAUCUGGAUUGUCAAGUGGUUUUCAGACCAAAUGAAGUUGAGUUCCAGGAUUUAAAGACUGGAAGAGUUAUUGGCAGAGGAGACAGCAAGCAUCAGCUCUAUCAUCUCCAAACAACUGAGGCGCCUAGUCUUGUGGAGUCUGUGUGUUUAAGCAGCACAACGGAUAGAUGUGAUAAUCUCACAUGGCAUGCAAGGCUGGGACAUCCUCAUGCCAAGGCAAUUGAACUGAUUCUACCAAGUAUGGCGUUCAAUCACUUGGAGUGUGAAGCCUGUAUACUUGGAAAGCACUGUAGGACGGUCUUCCCAACAUCAGAGACCAGAUAUGAGAAUUGCUUUGAUCUGGUGCAUUCAGACGUGUGGACAGCUCCCUGUAUGUCUAGAGACAGCCAUAAGUACUUUGUGACCUUCAUUGAUGAGAAGUCCAAGUACACAUGGAUCACCAUGAUUCCCUCCAAAGACAGAGUCCUGGAAGCCUUCAUGAACUUCCAAGCAUAUGUUACUAACCAGUACAAUGCCACUGUGAAGAUUCUGAGGUCUGAUAAUGGAGGAGAAUACACUAGCAAUGCUUUCAAGAGUCAUCUUGCAAAGCAUGGGAUUGUGCAACAAACUAGCUGUCCUUACACACCACAACAAAAUGGGGUGGCUGAGAGGAAGAACAGACAUUUGAUGGAGGUUGCGAGAUCAAUAAUGUUCCACAUGAAUGUUCCUAAGAAGUUUUGGAGUGAUGCUGUUCAGACUGCUUGCUAUCUCAUCAAUAGAGUGCCAACACGUGUCUUGAAGAAACUGUCUCCCUUUGAAGUAUUAAACAAGGCCAAGCCACACAUAGAUCAUUUGAGAGUCUUUGGGUGCUUAUGUUAUGUGAUGAUUCCCGGAGAAAGAAGGAACAAGCUAGAAGCAAAGAGUACUAAAGCUAUGUUCAUUGGGUACUCAAUCACUCAGAAAGGGUACAAGUGCUAUGAUCCAGCAACCAGGAGAGUGUUGGUGUCUAGAGAUGUUAAGUUCAUAGAGACCAAGGGGUAUUAUGAAGAAAAGAAUUGGAAAGACUUGGAAGAUCUGUCUCAAGAACCAAGAAACAUGGCAGAGAAUCUGAGGAACAUAUUGGAAAGGCUUGGGGUAAACAUGUCCCAUGAUAAGGUUAGAGAACCUGAAAGAACAACUCUCCUUGAUCAUGAGGGGGGAAAUGAGUCUGAAUCAGGAGUGCAAGAGCAGCACCAAGGGGAUUCAGGUCAUCAUGAUCAAGUGGUGACACAAGAAGUAGAGAAUUUUCCUCAGGUCAGUGUGGAUGAGCAAGGAGAGGUUCAUGAUCAAGAGGAGGUGAGUGAGACAGAACCAGAGGGUCACGCAGAGGUUCAUACUGAGGAACAGGUUCAACCAUUGAGGAGGAGCACACGGAUAAAGAGGGAUGCUUCCAACUGGGUAAACACGAGAGUGUACUACAAUGCCCAGGCUGUGGAGCAUCCUUCUCAAGCUGUGUGUUCCUUUGCUGAGUUUCCAGAGGAGCAUCAUGCCUUUAUGAUUAGUCUGGAUGAGAGUUAUGUACCAAGGACUUAUGAAGAAGCUAUGUUAGACAAGGAAUGGAAAGAAUCAGUGGGAGCUGAAGCAGGUGCUAUGAUCAAAAAUGAUACAUGGUAUGAGAGUGAGCUGCCUAAGGGAAAGAAGGCUGUAAUGAAGCAGGUGCUAUGAUCAAAAAUGAUACAUGGUAUGAGAGUGAGCUGCCUAAGGGAAAGAGGGCUGUAUCUAGUAGAUGGAUCUUCACAAUCAAGUAUCUAGCAAAUGGACAGAUUGAUAGGAAGAAGACCAGAUUGGUUGCAAGAGGGUUUACACAGACUUAUGGAGAGGAUUACAUUGAUACCUUUGCACCAGUAGCUAAGCUACAUACAGUUCGGAUUGUGUUGUCCAUUGCAACAAACUUGGAGUGGGAUUUGUGGCAGAUGGAUGUGAAGAAUGCUUUCUUACAAGGUGAGCUAGAAGAUGAGGUAUACAUGCUUCCUCCUCCUGGUCUUGAGCAUCUAGUAAAACCAGGAAAUGUUUUGAGAUUGAAGAAGGCAAUCUAUGGGCUGAAGCAGUCUCCUAGAGCUUGGUACAGGAAGCUGAGUACAACCCUGAAUGGCAGAGGAUUCAGGAAGUCUGAACUGGAUCAUACACUCUUCACUUUGGUUACUCCAUCAGGGAUCAUUGUGAUACUGGUAUAUGUGGAUGAUUUGAUUAUCACAGGGAGUGAUAAGGCUGGGAUUAAAGCCACUAAAGAGUUUCUCAAGUCUGUGUUUGACAUCAAAGACUUGGGAGAGAUGAAGUAUUUCUUGGGGAUUGAGAUAUGCAGAUCCAAGGAGGGUUUGUUUAUGUCUCAAAGGAAGUAUACAAUGGAUAUGCUAAAGGAGACUGAUGUACUUGGAGGAAAGGUAGCAAAGACACCUCUUGAGGAGGGGUAUAAGGUGUUGCGUGAGGGGGAGGUUGAAGAGAAGCAGUUAUUUAAGGAUCCUAAGCUAUACAGGAAGAUGGUUGGCAAGUUGAUCUACUUGACCAUCACACGGCCAGAUAUAUGUUUUGCAGUGAACCAAGUGAGUCAGCAUAUGCAGGCGCCAAAGGUACAUCAUUGGAAGAUGGUUGAUAGGAUACUGAGGUAUUUGAGUGGCACGCCUGGUCAAGGAGUUUGGAUGGGUUGCAAUGGCAGUACGGAAGUGGUUGGGUAUUGUGAUGCUGAUUGGGCAGGAGAUAGAGUGGACAGGAGAUCAACUACUGGAUAUUGUACAUUCAUUGGAGGGAACUUGGUUACUUGGAAGAGUAAGAAGCAAAAGGUUAUCUCUUGUUCAAGUGCUGAAGCUGAGUAUAGAGCCAUGUUGAAGCUGACAAACGAGUUGGUGUGGAUCAAGGGGAUCUUGAAGCAUCUAGAGAUUGAGCAGAGUACUCCUAUGACUAUGCAUUGUGAUAAUCAAGCAGCUAUCCACAUUGCCUCCAACUCAGUGUUUCAUGAGAGAACAAAGCACAUAGAGGUGGAUUGUCAUAAGGUGAGGCAGAUGAUUAUCUUAGGAGUGAUUAUGCCAUGUUAUACAAGGAGUGAAGAUCAGCUUGCAGAUGUGUUUACCAAGGCAGCGAGAUUGAAGACAAUGGAGUCCAUACUAUCCAGGCUUGGACUCAUUGAUCUUACUCCCAGGAGCUGAGCCCCUUAACCAUGGAGUCUCCACUCUUUUUCCCUCAUCAAAGUUUUAUCCCAAUGGGUUUUCUUUGGUGAGGUUUUUAAUGAGGGAGGUCUUCAUGGUUUCCAAGCUUGACUUGUUCCACAUGGUCAAGCUUGAGGGGGAGUGUUGAGAUGAGGUGAUGAGGAGUGGAUACAUUGAUAGAGGAAGAGUAUUGGGGUGGUCAGUAAGUUUGGGAUUUACCACAGUAACUUUAAAGUUACUGUGGUAACUAAGUGAAAGGAAGAGAAGUUACCAGGAUGGGUUAAAUUGGAGUCUAACUGAUGUUAAUCCUCUCUUAUCUUAAGAAGGACGUGGGAAGAGGAUAAGGAAGGGAUAAGGGCUUACUUUGACAGCCUGUAUGAUGCUGGAAAGGAGAGGAUGCUUUUUACUAGUGCAAGCAUGUGAGAAAGCACAGCCAAGUAAUUCAAAAGGAGUUCCAGCCUGUCCAUUGACUCCACAUGCUUAUACAUUUCGAAAACCCUUGUUGCUCUCUCUAUUAAUACUUGUAAACCUCAUCAGAUAUUAAUUAAUGGAGUUUUUGAGUCUCUCUCUCUCUAUUCUUUAAAAUCUCUUAAUCUCUUUAAUAUCUUGAUCUGAUUAUCUCUGAUUGUUUGAAUCAUACUCUUAAAACACAAAAGUGUUUAUGGUAUCAGAGCCAGGUUCUUCAAACAGGGGAGAGUGUGAUUUCGUUUUUCAUAAAAAUCUGAGUGUUCUUGAGUGUUCUUGAGUGUUCUUGGUGUUCUUGAGUUCUGGUCUUUAUUAUCUGAGUGGUGUGAGAUAUUCUGAUGGAUUCAAACUAUCUCAACAUGGAAAUGAAGCACAGAUCUAGUACAACCAUGGAGCUUGAAGAAGAGAGAGAUGGCGAUUGGUCAAGAUGGGCAAAGAGAGCUUUGGAAAGCUGUGGGUUAUGGAGUAGUCAUGGAAAGGGGAAACCUUUCAUGGAAAUGGCUACUGAAGAAGGUCAGACAAGAGGUCUGAAGCUGGGAAAUGAAGUUGUUCAAGGAAACACUACAAGGAGUGAGAUUGAAGCAACUUUAGGCAAGUCCAAGCUUGUGAGAGUCAUUGAGGACAGAGGGGUGAUCCGCGGCUUGAGACAAGGAAAGGAUGAGUGUUAUCAGCUUGUGGGAAGGCUGAGAGAUGUAUGGUCAGAGCUAGAUGUGGUGAAGACACACACAUCAAAUCCGAGAUGUUGUCAAGAAAGGAGGAAGCAAGAUGUGAUCUUCAGCUUCCUUAUGGAAGAGGUAUGUGAGCUUGUUAAAUAUACAUAUGAUGUGUGGGGAAUAAACAGGAAGCCAGAAAGAUGGAAGGGAGGUACAAGCUGUAAGAGGGGAAGGUUGAGAAAACUUUCUAAGGAGUGGUUAAUGAAGAGAAGAGCAUGGAGAAAGGAUAGCGAGUCUGAGCACUUAAGUGACAGGAUGAGUGUAAUCUUGAAGAGAAUCAAGGAUGUACUUCAGCAGAUGGUUAUAGGAGAGUGUUCAUACUCAGCUUACAUGGGAGAGACAGUAGGAGACAGUGCGGACAUGAGAGGAAUGGAUACCAAGAGGGCAGAUGAGUUGGUGACAAAGAAGGAAUGGGAUGAGUUGGUUAAGCAUGUGUAUGCUUUGGCUACGACCCGGAGUCUGGGUGCUCCUGCCAAAGCAUCCACAUCUAAACCCAUCAUCAUUGAUUCUGGAGCAACACACCACAUGAUCAGUGACAAGAGACUAAUCAGUGAGGUUAAAGCAGCAACAGGGAGUGUCAUGAUAGCCAAUGGUACCAGGAUCCCAAUAGAAGGAGUGGGAAACCUCAAGCUGUUUGAGAAGAACUCCACUGCCUUCUACCUACCUCAGUUUACAUCCAAUCUAAUCUCAGUUAAGAAGGCUACAGUUGAUCUGGAUUGUCAAGUGGUUUUCAGACCAAAUGAAGUUGAGUUCCAGGAUUUAAAGACUGGAAGAGUUAUUGGCAGAGGAGACAGCAAGCAUCAGCUCUAUCAUCUCCAAACAACUGAGGCGCCUAGUCUUGUGGAGUCUGUGUGUUUAAGCAGCACAACGGAUAGAUGUGAUAAUCUCACAUGGCAUGCAAGGCUGGGACAUCCUCAUGCCAAGGCAAUUGAACUGAUUCUACCAAGUAUGGCGUUCAAUCACUUGGAGUGUGAAGCCUGUAUACUUGGAAAGCACUGUAGGACGGUCUUCCCAACAUCAGAGACCAGAUAUGAGAAUUGUUUUGAUCUGGUGCAUUCAGACGUGUGGACAGCUCCCUGUAUGUCUAGAGACAGCCAUAAGUACUUUGUGACCUUCAUUGAUGAGAAGUCCAAGUACACAUGGAUCACCAUGAUUCCCUCCAAAGACAGAGUCCUGGAAGCCUUCAUGAACUUCCAAGCAUAUGUUACUAACCAGUACAAUGCCACUGUGAAGAUUCUGAGGUCUGAUAAUGGAGGAGAAUACACUAGCAAUGCUUUCAAGAGUCAUCUUGCAAAGCAUGGGAUUGUGCAACAAACUAGCUGUCCUUACACACCACAACAAAAUGGGGUGGCUGAGAGGAAGAACAGACAUUUGAUGGAGGUUGCGAGAUCAAUAAUGUUCCACAUGAAUGUUCCUAAGAAGUUUUGGAGUGAUGCUGUUCAGACUGCUUGCUAUCUCAUCAAUAGAGUGCCAACACGUGUCUUGAAGAAACUGUCUCCCUUUGAAGUAUUAAACAAGGCCAAGCCACACAUAGAUCAUUUGAGAGUCUUUGGGUGCUUAUGUUAUGUGAUGAUUCCCGGAGAAAGAAGGAACAAGCUAGAAGCAAAGAGUACUAAAGCUAUGUUCAUUGGGUACUCAAUCACUCAGAAAGGGUACAAGUGCUAUGAUCCAGCAACCAGGAGAGUGUUGGUGUCUAGAGAUGUUAAGUUCAUAGAGACCAAGGGGUAUUAUGAAGAAAAGAAUUGGAAAGACUUGGAAGAUCUGUCUCAAGAACCAAGAAACAUGGCAGAGAAUCUGAGGAACAUAUUGGAAAGGCUUGGGGUAAACAUGUCCCAUGAUAAGGUUAGAGAACCUGAAAGAACAACUCUCCUUGAUCAUGAGGGGGGAAAUGAGUCUGAAUCAGGAGUGCAAGAGCAGCACCAAGGGGAUUCAGGUCAUCAUGAUCAAGUGGUGACACAAGAAGUAGAGAAUUUUCCUCAGGUCAGUGUGGAUGAGCAAGGAGAGGUUCAUGAUCAAGAGGAGGUGAGUGAGACAGAACCAGAGGGUCACGCAGAGGUUCAUACUGAGGAACAGGUUCAACCAUUGAGGAGGAGCACACGGAUAAAGAGGGAUGCUUCCAACUGGGUAAACACGAGAGUGUACUACAAUGCCCAGGCUGUGGAGCAUCCUUCUCAAGCUGUGUGUUCCUUUGCUGAGUUUCCAGAGGAGCAUCAUGCCUUUAUGAUUAGUCUGGAUGAGAGUUAUGUACCAAGGACUUAUGAAGAAGCUAUGUUAGACAAGGAAUGGAAAGAAUCAGUGGGAGCUGAAGCAGGUGCUAUGAUCAAAAAUGAUACAUGGUAUGAGAGUGAGCUGCCUAAGGGAAAGAAGGGGAAAGAGGGCUGUAUCUAGUAGAUGGAUCUUCACAAUCAAGUAUCUAGCAAAUGGACAGAUUGAUAGGAAGAAGACCAGAUUGGUUGCAAGAGGGUUUACACAGACUUAUGGAGAGGAUUACAUUGAUACCUUUGCACCAGUAGCUAAGCUACAUACAGUUCGGAUUGUGUUGUCCAUUGCAACAAACUUGGAGUGGGAUUUGUGGCAGAUGGAUGUGAAGAAUGCUUUCUUACAAGGUGAGCUAGAAGAUGAGGUAUACAUGCUUCCUCCUCCUGGUCUUGAGCAUCUAGUAAAACCAGGAAAUGUUUUGAGAUUGAAGAAGGCAAUCUAUGGGCUGAAGCAGUCUCCUAGAGCUUGGUACAGGAAGCUGAGUACAACCCUGAAUGGCAGAGGAUUCAGGAAGUCUGAACUGGAUCAUACACUCUUCACUUUGGUUACUCCAUCAGGGAUCAUUGUGAUACUGGUAUAUGUGGAUGAUUUGAUUAUCACAGGGAGUGAUAAGGCUGGGAUUAAAGCCACUAAAGAGUUUCUCAAGUCUGUGUUUGACAUCAAAGACUUGGGAGAGAUGAAGUAUUUCUUGGGGAUUGAGAUAUGCAGAUCCAAGGAGGGUUUGUUUAUGUCUCAAAGGAAGUAUACAAUGGAUAUGCUAAAGGAGACUGAUGUACUUGGAGGAAAGGUAGCAAAGACACCUCUUGAGGAGGGGUAUAAGGUGUUGCGUGAGGGGGAGGUUGAAGAGAAGCAGUUAUUUAAGGAUCCUAAGCUAUACAGGAAGAUGGUUGGCAAGUUGAUCUACUUGACCAUCACACGGCCAGAUAUAUGUUUUGCAGUGAACCAAGUGAGUCAGCAUAUGCAGGCGCCAAAGGUACAUCAUUGGAAGAUGGUUGAUAGGAUACUGAGGUAUUUGAGUGGCACGCCUGGUCAAGGAGUUUGGAUGGGUUGCAAUGGCAGUACGGAAGUGGUUGGGUAUUGUGAUGCUGAUUGGGCAGGAGAUAGAGUGGACAGGAGAUCAACUACUGGAUAUUGUACAUUCAUUGGAGGGAACUUGGUUACUUGGAAGAGUAAGAAGCAAAAGGUUAUCUCUUGUUCAAGUGCUGAAGCUGAGUAUAGAGCCAUGUUGAAGCUGACAAACGAGUUGGUGUGGAUCAAGGGGAUCUUGAAGCAUCUAGAGAUUGAGCAGAGUACUCCUAUGACUAUGCAUUGUGAUAAUCAAGCAGCUAUCCACAUUGCCUCCAACUCAGUGUUUCAUGAGAGAACAAAGCACAUAGAGGUGGAUUGUCAUAAGGUGAGGCAGAUGAUUAUCUUAGGAGUGAUUAUGCCAUGUUAUACAAGGAGUGAAGAUCAGCUUGCAGAUGUGUUUACCAAGGCAGCGAGAUUGAAGACAAUGGAGUCCAUACUAUCCAGGCUUGGACUCAUUGAUCUUACUCCCAGGAGCUGAGCCCCUUAACCAUGGAGUCUCCACUCUUUUUCCCUCAUCAAAGUUUUAUCCCAAUGGGUUUUCUUUGGUGAGGUUUUUAAUGAGGGAGGUCUUCAUGGUUUCCAAGCUUGACUUGUUCCACAUGGUCAAGCUUGAGGGGGAGUGUUGAGAUGAGGUGAUGAGGAGUGGAUACAUUGAUAGAGGAAGAGUAUUGGGAGAAGAUCAAGAAGUGAAGAGAUGAAGCUUUGAGGUUCAAUAGAGUGUAGAGGCUGAGACAGUAACUUUAGAGUUUUACUGUGGUAACUUUAUUUUAACCACAGUAACUACUUGGGAAGUUACCUGAAGUGAUGAGAAGGUAACUUGGUGAAGAGAGGAGGUAGAACUCGUCCAAGGAGUGUGGAGGAUAAGGUUUACCUUUGCUGGAAAGGAUAAGCAACUUUACAGCAUGUGACAGCCUGUCCAAGCAUGUGAAGCAUCUCAGCCUAUUAUUUCUAUUGACUCCACAUGCUUAUAGGUCUAGAUUGAAUACAUUGCACCUAGACAUGAUUGUGAUCUCUUUAUAACUUGUAAUCUCUCAUCUGAAUCAAUUAAUGGAGUUUUGAGUAUUCUCUCUUGUUCUUUAUUCUCUUAGUCUCUCUUAAAUCUCCAAAUCAUUCUUGCAAGGUGAACUUGAAGAUGAAGUAUACAUGCAUCCACCUCCUGGUCUUGAGCAUCUAGUAAAGCCAGGGAAUGUUUUGAGAUUGAAGAAAGCAAUAUAUGGGUUGAAGCAGUCACCUAGAGCUUGGAACAGGAAGUUGAGUACAACACUCAAUGGGAGAGGCUUUAGGAAGUCUGAACUAGAUCACACUCUCUUCACCUUGACAGGACCUUCUGGGAGCAUUGUGAUUCUAGUGUAUGUGGAUGAUUUGAUUAUCACAGGAAGUGAUAAGGCAGGGAUUCAAGCUACUAAGGAGUUUCUCAAAUCUGUGUUUGACAUCAAGGAUUUGGGAGAGAUGAAGUAUUUUCUAGGCAUUGAGAUAUGCAGAUCAAAGGAGGGUUUGUUUAUGUCUCAAAGGAAGUAUACUAUGGAUAUGUUGAAGGAGACUGAUGUGCUUGGAGGAAAGAUAGCUAAGACACCCCUUGAGGAGGGAUAUAAGGUUCUGCGUGAGGGGGAGGUUGAAGAGAAGCAGUUGUUUGAGGAUCCUAAGCUAUACAGGAAGAUGGUUGGCAAGCUGAUCUACUUGACCACCACACGGCCAGAUAUAUGUUUUGCUGUGAACCAAGUGAGUCAACAUAUGCAGGCGCCAAAGGUACAUCACUGGAAGAUGGUUGAUAGGAUACUGAGGUAUUUGAGUGGCACGCCUGGUCAAGGAGUUUGGAUGGGAUGCAAUGGCAGCACAGAAGUAGUGGGCUAUUGUGAUGCUGAUUGGGCAGGAGAUAGAGUGGACAGGAGAUCAACUACUGGCUAUUGUACAUUCAUUGGAGGGAACCUGGUUACUUGGAAGAGUAAGAAGCAGAAGGUCAUCUCUUGUUCAAGUGCUGAGGCUGAGGAUAGGGCUAUGUUGAAGUUGACAAACGAGUUGGUGUGGAUCAAGGGUAUCUUGAAGCAUCUGGAGAUUGAGCAGAGUACUCCUAUGACAAUGCACUGUGACAAUCAAGCAGCUAUCCAUAUUGCUUCUAACUCAGUCUUUCAUGAGAGAACGAAGCACAUAGAAGUGGAUUGUCACAAGGUGAGGCAGAUGAUUAUCUUAGGAGUGAUUCUGCCAUGUUAUACAAGGAGUGAGGAUCAACUGGCUGAUGUGUUUACUAAGGCAGCGAGAUUAAAGACAAUGGAGUCCAUACUUUCUAGGCUUAGGCUCAUUGAUCUUACUCCCAGGAGCUGAUCCCCUUACCCAUGGAGUCUCCACUCUUUUUCCCUCAUCAAGGUUUUAUCCCAAUGGGUUUUCCUUGGUGAGGUUUUUAAUGAGGGAGAUCUUCAUGGUUUCCAAGCUUGACUUGUUCUACAUGGUCAAGCUUGAGGGGGAGUGUUGAGAUGAGGUGAUAAGGAGUGGAUACAUUGAUAGAGGAAGAGUAUUGGGGCAGUUAGUAACUUUGGGGAUUUACCACAGUAACUUUAGUUUUACUGUGGUAACUAAGUUAAACAAUUGGGAAGUUACCUUUCACCCAUUUGGAGAGUGGAUCACGCCUAAGGAGAGUUUGGAUAAGGAAGGAGCAGUCUGGAUAAGGUCUGGUCAUAGCUGGAAAGGAAAACACCUUUACAGCCUGUCCAAGCAUGUGAGAACACCCAUUGGCUGCUUUUGGAUGGCUCUCCUUGACUCCACACGUUCUGGAUCUCCUCUGACCCUAUGAUUUCGAAUUGUAUCAUGUAUUACUCAUAUAAAGCCUUGUAAACCUGAUUGAUAAUAAUUAAUGGAGUUUUGAGUCUCUCUCUCUCUAGAAUCUCUCUAUUCUCUCUAAAUUCUACUCUAAUCUUCUCUGAUUAUUAUUAAACACACUCUAAAACACAAAAGUGUUUAGAGAAUCACCAGGAAUUUGAAUAAAUCUCAUAGGAGUUAGGAUGAAGAAGUUAUCCCACUUUCAAAUAAGGUGAUCCUAGUUUCCCUGUUUGGGAAUAUGAAUACUUCUUCGUCAUCCUAUUCAAACCAGAAUGAAUCGCGAUGUAAGAACCUUCAUUUGGAUACAUAAAGUAGUGGAGAAUCACCAGGAAGUUGAAUAAAUCUCAUAGGAGUUAGGAUGAAGAAGUUAUCCCACUUUCAAAUAAGGUGAUCCUAGUUUCCCUGUUUGGGAAUAUGAAUACUUCUUCGUCAUCCUUGAACUGCUUCGUCGUCGUUCCAAACAAACCACGAUGAAUCACUUUGUAAGAAGCUUUUGUCCAAGCUUAGGCUUUCACAAAGCCAAGCUUGAGGGGGAGUGUUGAGAUGAGUUAUGAGAUAAGAAGAAGCAUGAAGGGAUUAGAGAUUGUGAGAAGGAUGAGGCAUGAAGGGGUUAGGAUGGCUUUAGGAGGAGUGGACCGUACAAGGCCGUACCAUCCGUACAAGGCCGUACAUGAUGGUAACUAUAAGUUACCCGAGUAACUCAUCCGGAUGAAAGGAGCUUGGAGGUAAAGUCUUGGGAGCUUAUCUGAUCCAUCAGACCGUUGAGGAAGUAGAUAAGAGGCGCCUUGACAGGCUGUCACAGCUGGAAAGGCAAAAGCUACUUUAGCCAAAGAUCCCAAAGGCAUCAAACGUGUGAGAGCCUUCAUUGGACAGAUUCAAACUCAGCCAGCCUUUACCUAUUGACUUCACAUGCUUAUGGUCUCUCAUUAGGUUUUCGAAACCCUUGUUGCUCAGACUAUAUAUAUGUAACCUCAUCUCUUAAUAAAGAUUAGACAGUUCAGAUUAUCCUUAGCCUCCAUGGCUUUUCUCUUAAUCUCUUAAUCUCAGAUUCUACUCUAAAUCAUCUCUAAUACUUCUCUAAUCUCUCCUAAACUCUCAGAUUACUCUUUAUACUCUAAAACUUAUAGUAAGAAGCUUGAUUUGGAUAUAUAAAGUGGUGGAGAAUCACCAGGAAGUUGAAUAAAUCUCAUAGGAGUUGGCAUGAAGAAGUUAUCUCACUUUCAAAUCAGUUGAUUCCAGUUUCCCAGUUUGGUAAUAAAACUGCUUCGUCGUCGUUCCAAACAAACCACGAUGAAUCACUUUGUAAGUGUUGAGAUGAGUUAUGAGAUAAGAAGAAGCAUGAAGGGAUUAGAGAUUGUGAGAAGGAUGAGGCAUGAAGGGGUUAGGAUGGCUUUAGGAGGAGUGGACCGUACAAGGCCGUACCAUCCGUACAAGGCCGUACAUGAUGGUAACUAUAAGUUACCCGAGUAACUCAUCCGGAUGAAAGGAGCUUGGAGGUAAAGUCUUGGGAGCUUAUCUGAUCCAUCAGACCGUUGAGGAAGUAGAUAAGAGGCGCCUUGACAGGCUGUCACAGCUGGAAAGGCAAAAGCUACUUUAGCCAAAGAUCCCAAAGGCAUCAAACGUGUGAGAGCCUUCAUUGGACAGAUUCAAACUCAGCCAGCCUUUACCUAUUGACUUCACAUGCUUAUGGUCUCUCAUUAGGUUUUCGAAACCCUUGUUGCUCAGACUAUAUAUAUGUAACCUCAUCUCUUAAUAAAGAUUAGACAGUUCAGAUUAUCCUUAGCCUCCAUGGCUUUUCUCUUAAUCUCUUAAUCUCAGAUUCUACUCUAAAUCAUCUCUAAUACUUCUCUAAUCUCUCCUAAACUCUCAGAUUACUCUUUAUACUCUAAAACUUAUAUGGUAUCAGAGCCAGGUUCUUGAGAAUCUGAGUUCUUUGCGUGGGCUAAAGACUAAAGCUUUGAAGGUUCCUCGGAGUCUCUAGCCUCAAGUCUUCCUUGGUUACAUUGUGGUUACAAGAUUGAAUCUUUUGCGUGUGUGUUGUGAGUUCUUGACGUGUUGGUGCAGUCUAGUCUCAAGUUCAAAGUCUUCUACAAGUAGUUCAAGAACAAGCGGUUGAAGAUGGAUGGAGGGAUAAGCAUGCACAUGAAGGUGGCAGUUACUUUCAAGGGGAGUAACUAUUUGGUGUGGUCUCGGAUGGUGAGAACCACAGUGGGAAGUAAGGGUUUGUGGAAGCAUCUUACGGAUGGUGAAGCUCCACAGCUCAUUACUCAGGGAGAAGACUCGGAAGAGGUCUCAAAUGAAACGGCCGUAGAGAAGUGGCAGCGAGAAGACAUGCUUGUGAUGUCCGUUCUUCAUGCCUCUCUAGAGCCGGCGAUCCUAGAGGCUUACAGCUAUUGUGAGUCAGCUAAGGAGCUAUGGGACACCUUGAAGAAGGUGUAUGGGAAUGUUUCAAACCUUCACCGAGUGUUUGAAGUAAAGAAAGCCAUAAACGGCUUGGUACAAGAUGACAUGGAAUUCACCAAGCAUUUGGGGAGGUUCCGGUCCUUAUGGUCAGAGCUAGAGAUGCUGAGGCCAAGCACAACCGAUCCAGAGCUGCUUAAUGAGAGGAGGGAGCAGGAUAAGGUCUUUGGACUAUUGCUUACCUUGAAUCCGGCUUACAACUCACUGAUUAAACACAUGUUGAGAGCGGAUAAGCUACCAGACCUUGAGGAGGUGUGCUCUCAAAUUCAGAAGGAGCAGGGGUCUAUUGGAUUGUUUGGAAGCAAAGGGGAGAUGUCACUUGCAAAUAAGGCUGCGCAAGUCAACUCUGAUGAAGCUCCUCAAGCAAACAAGGCCGGUUACAACAAGUUUGAAGACAGGAAGUUCAAUGGGAGCUGUGAUCAUUGCAAGAAGCAUGGUCACAAGAAGAGCCAGUGCUGGAUACUCCACCCCCAUCUAAAGCCGGCCAAGUUCUUGAAGGAGAGGGAUGCCAGGGCAAAUGUGAGUGAAGGAUCAAGCGGUGCUGGUACCUCAGGAAAGAGCAAUGAUGAAGGAGGAAGGGAGAGUGAUGGCAGGUCAUUGGUGGCAUAUGCAGGCAAUCCAAAUCACCGAGGAGGGGAGCAAGACUACAUUAGGAGAUCAGACAUUGACUCCCUCAUCAAGAUGCUUAAGGAAAACGGUAACACUUAUGGUUAUUCCUUUGGUGCAUCAAUGAUAGUUAAGAAUGAUGAUAAUAGUCUUGAGAAGCAUGGAAUUACUAGUCUUGCUAGGACUGAUCACUCUCUCAAGUCAUCUAGUACACUUUGUCUUAUGGCUAAUAACAUGACUAAAGCAUUAGUAGUUGAUUCUGGUGCAUCUCAUCACAUGAUUAGUGAUACUAGUUUGAUUAAAGAUAUUGAACCUGCUAAUGGACAUGUGAUGAUUGCAAAUGGAGAUAAGAUUCCUAUUAGAGGAAUAGGAAACUUAAAACUAUUUAAUAAACAUACUAGAGCAUUCUAUAUGCCAGAAUUCACAUCAAACUUACUAUCAGUAAAGAAAUGUACUACUGAUCUUCAUUGCAAUGUUAUCUUUAGUCCUAAUGAUGUGAAGUUUCAGGAUAUUGAGAGCAGCCAGUUGAUUGGAAAAGGAGUUACUAAAGGGGAUCUUUACAUGCUUGAAGAAUUAGCUCCUGUUUCUGAAUCAAGCUGUUUAUUUACUACUACUUCAAAUUUGAAUAAGAAUGCUUUGUGGCAUGCUAGACUAGGACAUCCUCAUAGUAGAGCCUUGAAUUUAAUGUUGCCAGGUGUUAAUUUUGAGAAUAAAGACUGUGAAGCUUGCAUUUUAGGCAAACAUUGUAAAACUGUGUUUCAAAGGUCAUCUACUGUUUAUGAAAAAUGCUUUGAUUUGAUUCAUUCUGAUGUAUGGACUGCACCUUGUUUAUCUAGGGAGAAUCAUAAGUAUUUUGUCACAUUCAUUGAUGAAAAAUCCAAAUACACCUGGUUAACCUUAAUCCCAUCUAAAGAUAGAGUUCUUGAUGCAUUUAAAAACUUUCAAGCUUAUGUGACUAACCAUUAUCAUGCUAAGAUUAAAAUUUUUAGAUCAGAUAAUGGAGGAGAAUACACUAGCCAUGCAUUCAAGUAUCAUCUAGCUCAUCAUGGGAUUCUUCAUCAAACAAGCUGUCCUUACACACCUCAACAGAAUGGUGUGGCUGAGAGGAAGAAUCGACAUCUCAUGGAGACUGCUCGGUCAUUAAUGUUUCAAGCAAAUGUUCCCAAAAGGUUUUGGAGUGAUGCUGUGGCCACCGCUUGCUACUUGAUCAACCGGACACCUACAAAAAUCCUUGAAGAUCAGGCACCAUUUGAGGUCUUGAAUAAACACAAGCCGUCAGUAGAACACUUGAGAGUCUUUGGGUGUUUGUGCUAUGUGUUGAUUCCGGGACAGAUGAGGAGCAAGUUGGAAGCAAGGAGUACAAAGGCUGUAUUCAUAGGCUACUCUACAACACAGAAGGGAUACAAAUGCUAUGAUCCAGAAGGAAGAAAAGUUCUAGUAUCAAGGGAUGUGAAGUUUGUAGAAGAAAGAGGAUACUAUGAAGAAAAGAACCAAGAAGACUUGAAAGAUCUAACCUCAGAUAAGGCUGGGGUGUUAAGGAUUAUCCUAGAGGGGCUAGGAAUCAAGAUGUCCCAGGAUCAGAACUCUGGUCAAAGGGAACAACAUGGAGACUCUCACCAUGAUUGUGAGGGGGGAAAUGAGCCUGAAGUUCAAGAAAGUGGCCAAGAAGGAGCCGGCUUGAAUGAGGAAGGGUUGGAGACAAGUUUAGGCCAAGAUGGAGCCGGCUUGAAUCAGGAACAAAGGGAGAUAAGUUCAGGCUCUCACAAUCAAGGUGAGCAGGAACAAAGAGAAGUAGACGCAUCAGUUGAGGAUGUAGAAGAAGAAGAAGAAGAACCAGAUGCUCAAGAGCAAGCCGUGAGAGUUCAACAACCAGAAUUGAGGAGAAGCACAAGAGUGAGGAAGGAUCCUUCCUCUUGGGUAAACACGAGAGUGUACUACAAUGCCCAAGCAGUGGAGCAUCCUUCUCAAGCUGUGUGCUCCUUUGCUCAAUAUCCUAAAGCACAUUGCGCAUUUAUGGUAAAUCUGGAUGAGGGUUAUAUCCCAAGAAGCUAUGAAGAGGCAAUACAAGACAAGGAGUGGAAGGAAUCAGUUGGAGCUGAGGCAGGAGCUAUGAUCAAGAAUGAUACAUGGUAUGAGAGUGAGUUACCUAAAGGGAAGAAGGCUGUGACUAGUAGAUGGAUAUUCACAAUCAAGUAUAAGGCUGAUGGUCAGGUUGAGAGGAAGAAGUCAAGACUGGUUGCAAGAGGCUUUACUCAAACAUAUGGAGAAGAUUACAUUGAGACCUUUGCACCAGUGGCUAAGCUACACACAAUCCGAAUUGUAUUAAGCUUGGCUGUGAAUCUUGGAUGGGGCUUAUGGCAAAUGGAUGUGAAGAAUGCAUUUCUACAAGGAGAGCUUGAGGAUGAAGUGUAUAUGCAUCCACCUCCGGGCUUGGAACACUUAGUAAAGAAAGGGAAUGUGUUGAGACUGAAGAAAGCUAUCUAUGGGCUGAAGCAAUCACCAAGAGCUUGGUAUAACAAGCUGAGCACUACUCUUAAUGGCCGAGGCUUCAAGAAGUCUGAGCUAGAUCACACUCUCUUCACUCUAACUACUCCCUCAGGUAUGAUUGCACUUCUUGUGUAUGUUGAUGAUAUCAUUAUCACAGGGAGUGAUAAGGAAGGUAUCAUAGCAACCAAGGAGUUCCUUAAAUCCAUGUUUGAUAUUAAAGACUUGGGAGAAAUGAAAUACUUUCUUGGAAUUGAGAUAUGUAGAUCCAAGGAGGGUUUGUUCAUGUCCCAAAGAAAGUAUACACUUGAUCUUUUGAAAGGUGCAGGAGCUUAUGGAGGCAAGACAGCAAGGAUGCCUAUGGAGGAUGGCUACAAAGUCCCACGAGAGGGGGAGAUUGAAGACAGCAAACCUUAUCAGGAUCCUAAACUCUAUAGAAAACUAGUUGGCAAAUUGAUUUAUCUUACCAUAACUAGGCCUGACAUUUGUUUUGCUGUGAAUCAGGUGAGUCAACACAUGCAGGUGCCUAAGGAGCAUCAUUGGCGGAUGGUGGAGAGGAUCUUGAUGUAUCUCAAUGGCUCACCUGAUCAAGGAGUAUGGAUGGGCUGCAAUGGAAGCACAGAAGUUGUUGGAUACUGUGAUGCUGAUUGGGCUGGUGAUAGAGCUGACAGGAGAUCAACAACCGGCUAUUGCACAUUCAUUGGAGGCAACUUGGUGACUUGGAAGAGCAAGAAGCAAAAGGUGGUAUCUUGCUCAAGUGCAGAAGCUGAGUAUAGAGCCAUGCUGAAGCUUACAAACGAGCUAGUAUGGAUCAAGGGCAUUUUGAAGCAUUUGGGGAUUGAUCAAGCCAAGCCAAUGACCAUGCAUUGUGAUAACCAAGCCGCAAUCCACAUAGCUUCCAACUCGGUGUUCCAUGAAAGAACCAAGCACAUUGAGGUUGAUUGCCACAAGGUGAGGCAGAUGAUUGUACUAGGAGUCAUCUUGCCAUGCUACACUAGGAGUGAAGAUCAGUUGGCUGAUGUGUUCACUAAGGCAGCAAGACAGAAGACUAUGGAGUCCAUUCAUAUCAGAUUGGGACUCAUAGAUCUUGGGAAGGGAAGGAGCUAAUCCUCUAAGUCAUGAGGUCUUUACUCUUUUUCCCUCAUCAAGGUUUUGUCCCAAUGGGUUUUCCUUGGUGAGGUUUUUAAUGAGGAAGAUCUCAUGGCUGUCCAAGCUUAGGCUUUCACAAAGCCAAGCUUGAGGGGGAGUGUUGAGAUGAGUUAUGAGAUAAGAAGAAGCAUGAAGGGAUUAGAGAUUGUGAGAAGGAUGAGGCAUGAAGGGGUUAGGAUGGCUUUAGGAGGAGUGGACCGUACAAGGCCGUACCAUCCGUACAAGGCCGUACAUGAUGGUAACUAUAAGUUACCCGAGUAACUCAUCCGGAUGAAAGGAGCUUGGAGGUAAAGUCUUGGGAGCUUAUCUGAUCCAUCAGACCGUUGAGGAAGUAGAUAAGAGGCGCCUUGACAGGCUGUCACAGCUGGAAAGGCAAAAGCUACUUUAGCCAAAGAUCCCAAAGGCAUCAAACGUGUGAGAGCCUUCAUUGGACAGAUUCAAACUCAGCCAGCCUUUACCUAUUGACUUCACAUGCUUAUGGUCUCUCAUUAGGUUUUCGAAACCCUUGUUGCUCAGACUAUAUAUAUGUAACCUCAUCUCUUAAUAAAGAUUAGACAGUUCAGAUUAUCCUUAGCCUCCAUGGCUUUUCUCUUAAUCUCUUAAUCUCAGAUUCUACUCUAAAUCAUCUCUAAUACUUCUCUAAUCUCUCCUAAACUCUCAGAUUACUCUUUAUACUCUAAAACUUAUAUGGUAUCAGAGCCAGGUUCUUGAGAAUCUGAGUUCUUUGCGUGGGCUAAAGACUAAAGCUUUGAAGGUUCCUCGGAGUCUCUAGCCUCAAGUCUUCCUUGGUUACAUUGUGGUUACAAGAUUGAAUCUUUUGCGUGUGUGUUGUGAGUUCUUGACGUGUUGGUGCAGUCUAGUCUCAAGUUCAAAGUCUUCUACAAGUAGUUCAAGAACAAGCGGUUGAAGAUGGAUGGAGGGAUAAGCAUGCACAUGAAGGUGGCAGUUACUUUCAAGGGGAGUAACUAUUUGGUGUGGUCUCGGAUGGUGAGAACCACAGUGGGAAGUAAGGGUUUGUGGAAGCAUCUUACGGAUGGUGAAGCUCCACAGCUCAUUACUCAGGGAGAAGACUCGGAAGAGGUCUCAAAUGAAACGGCCGUAGAGAAGUGGCAGCGAGAAGACAUGCUUGUGAUGUCCGUUCUUCAUGCCUCUCUAGAGCCGGCGAUCCUAGAGGCUUACAGCUAUUGUGAGUCAGCUAAGGAGCUAUGGGACACCUUGAAGAAGGUGUAUGGGAAUGUUUCAAACCUUCACCGAGUGUUUGAAGUAAAGAAAGCCAUAAACGGCUUGGUACAAGAUGACAUGGAAUUCACCAAGCAUUUGGGGAGGUUCCGGUCCUUAUGGUCAGAGCUAGAGAUGCUGAGGCCAAGCACAACCGAUCCAGAGCUGCUUAAUGAGAGGAGGGAGCAGGAUAAGGUCUUUGGACUAUUGCUUACCUUGAAUCCGGCUUACAACUCACUGAUUAAACACAUGUUGAGAGCGGAUAAGCUACCAGACCUUGAGGAGGUGUGCUCUCAAAUUCAGAAGGAGCAGGGGUCUAUUGGAUUGUUUGGAAGCAAAGGGGAGAUGUCACUUGCAAAUAAGGCUGCGCAAGUCAACUCUGAUGAAGCUCCUCAAGCAAACAAGGCCGGUUACAACAAGUUUGAAGACAGGAAGUUCAAUGGGAGCUGUGAUCAUUGCAAGAAGCAUGGUCACAAGAAGAGCCAGUGCUGGAUACUCCACCCCCAUCUAAAGCCGGCCAAGUUCUUGAAGGAGAGGGAUGCCAGGGCAAAUGUGAGUGAAGGAUCAAGCGGUGCUGGUACCUCAGGAAAGAGCAAUGAUGAAGGAGGAAGGGAGAGUGAUGGCAGGUCAUUGGUGGCAUAUGCAGGCAAUCCAAAUCACCGAGGAGGGGAGCAAGACUACAUUAGGAGAUCAGACAUUGACUCCCUCAUCAAGAUGCUUAAGGAAAACGGUAACACUUAUGGUUAUUCCUUUGGUGCAUCAAUGAUAGUUAAGAAUGAUGAUAAUAGUCUUGAGAAGCAUGGAAUUACUAGUCUUGCUAGGACUGAUCACUCUCUCAAGUCAUCUAGUACACUUUGUCUUAUGGCUAAUAACAUGACUAAAGCAUUAGUAGUUGAUUCUGGUGCAUCUCAUCACAUGAUUAGUGAUACUAGUUUGAUUAAAGAUAUUGAACCUGCUAAUGGACAUGUGAUGAUUGCAAAUGGAGAUAAGAUUCCUAUUAGAGGAAUAGGAAACUUAAAACUAUUUAAUAAACAUACUAGAGCAUUCUAUAUGCCAGAAUUCACAUCAAACUUACUAUCAGUAAAGAAAUGUACUACUGAUCUUCAUUGCAAUGUUAUCUUUAGUCCUAAUGAUGUGAAGUUUCAGGAUAUUGAGAGCAGCCAGUUGAUUGGAAAAGGAGUUACUAAAGGGGAUCUUUACAUGCUUGAAGAAUUAGCUCCUGUUUCUGAAUCAAGCUGUUUAUUUACUACUACUUCAAAUUUGAAUAAGAAUGCUUUGUGGCAUGCUAGACUAGGACAUCCUCAUAGUAGAGCCUUGAAUUUAAUGUUGCCAGGUGUUAAUUUUGAGAAUAAAGACUGUGAAGCUUGCAUUUUAGGCAAACAUUGUAAAACUGUGUUUCAAAGGUCAUCUACUGUUUAUGAAAAAUGCUUUGAUUUGAUUCAUUCUGAUGUAUGGACUGCACCUUGUUUAUCUAGGGAGAAUCAUAAGUAUUUUGUCACAUUCAUUGAUGAAAAAUCCAAAUACACCUGGUUAACCUUAAUCCCAUCUAAAGAUAGAGUUCUUGAUGCAUUUAAAAACUUUCAAGCUUAUGUGACUAACCAUUAUCAUGCUAAGAUUAAAAUUUUUAGAUCAGAUAAUGGAGGAGAAUACACUAGCCAUGCAUUCAAGUAUCAUCUAGCUCAUCAUGGGAUUCUUCAUCAAACAAGCUGUCCUUACACACCUCAACAGAAUGGUGUGGCUGAGAGGAAGAAUCGACAUCUCAUGGAGACUGCUCGGUCAUUAAUGUUUCAAGCAAAUGUUCCCAAAAGGUUUUGGAGUGAUGCUGUGGCCACCGCUUGCUACUUGAUCAACCGGACACCUACAAAAAUCCUUGAAGAUCAGGCACCAUUUGAGGUCUUGAAUAAACACAAGCCGUCAGUAGAACACUUGAGAGUCUUUGGGUGUUUGUGCUAUGUGUUGAUUCCGGGACAGAUGAGGAGCAAGUUGGAAGCAAGGAGUACAAAGGCUGUAUUCAUAGGCUACUCUACAACACAGAAGGGAUACAAAUGCUAUGAUCCAGAAGGAAGAAAAGUUCUAGUAUCAAGGGAUGUGAAGUUUGUAGAAGAAAGAGGAUACUAUGAAGAAAAGAACCAAGAAGACUUGAAAGAUCUAACCUCAGAUAAGGCUGGGGUGUUAAGGAUUAUCCUAGAGGGGCUAGGAAUCAAGAUGUCCCAGGAUCAGAACUCUGGUCAAAGGGAACAACAUGGAGACUCUCACCAUGAUUGUGAGGGGGGAAAUGAGCCUGAAGUUCAAGAAAGUGGCCAAGAAGGAGCCGGCUUGAAUGAGGAAGGGUUGGAGACAAGUUUAGGCCAAGAUGGAGCCGGCUUGAAUCAGGAACAAAGGGAGAUAAGUUCAGGCUCUCACAAUCAAGGUGAGCAGGAACAAAGAGAAGUAGACGCAUCAGUUGAGGAUGUAGAAGCAGAAGAAGAAGAAAUCAAGGUGAGCAGGAACAAAGAGAAGUAGACGCAUCAGUUGAGGAUGUAGAAGAAGAAGAAGAAGAACCAGAUGCUCAAGAGCAAGCCGUGAGAGUUCAACAACCAGAAUUGAGGAGAAGCACAAGAGUGAGGAAGGAUCCUUCCUCUUGGGUAAACACGAGAGUGUACUACAAUGCCCAAGCAGUGGAGCAUCCUUCUCAAGCUGUGUGCUCCUUUGCUCAAUAUCCUAAAGCACAUUGCGCAUUUAUGGUAAAUCUGGAUGAGGGUUAUAUCCCAAGAAGCUAUGAAGAGGCAAUACAAGACAAGGAGUGGAAGGAAUCAGUUGGAGCUGAGGCAGGAGCUAUGAUCAAGAAUGAUACAUGGUAUGAGAGUGAGUUACCUAAAGGGAAGAAGGCUGUGACUAGUAGAUGGAUAUUCACAAUCAAGUAUAAGGCUGAUGGUCAGGUUGAGAGGAAGAAGUCAAGACUGGUUGCAAGAGGCUUUACUCAAACAUAUGGAGAAGAUUACAUUGAGACCUUUGCACCAGUGGCUAAGCUACACACAAUCCGAAUUGUAUUAAGCUUGGCUGUGAAUCUUGGAUGGGGCUUAUGGCAAAUGGAUGUGAAGAAUGCAUUUCUACAAGGAGAGCUUGAGGAUGAAGUGUAUAUGCAUCCACCUCCGGGCUUGGAACACUUAGUAAAGAAAGGGAAUGUGUUGAGACUGAAGAAAGCUAUCUAUGGGCUGAAGCAAUCACCAAGAGCUUGGUAUAACAAGCUGAGCACUACUCUUAAUGGCCGAGGCUUCAAGAAGUCUGAGCUAGAUCACACUCUCUUCACUCUAACUACUCCCUCAGGUAUGAUUGCACUUCUUGUGUAUGUUGAUGAUAUCAUUAUCACAGGGAGUGAUAAGGAAGGUAUCAUAGCAACCAAGGAGUUCCUUAAAUCCAUGUUUGAUAUUAAAGACUUGGGAGAAAUGAAAUACUUUCUUGGAAUUGAGAUAUGUAGAUCCAAGGAGGGUUUGUUCAUGUCCCAAAGAAAGUAUACACUUGAUCUUUUGAAAGGUGCAGGAGCUUAUGGAGGCAAGACAGCAAGGAUGCCUAUGGAGGAUGGCUACAAAGUCCCACGAGAGGGGGAGAUUGAAGACAGCAAACCUUAUCAGGAUCCUAAACUCUAUAGAAAACUAGUUGGCAAAUUGAUUUAUCUUACCAUAACUAGACCUGACAUUUGUUUUGCUGUGAAUCAGGUGAGUCAACACAUGCAAGUUCCUAAGGAGCAUCAUUGGCGGAUGGUGGAGAGGAUCUUGAUGUAUCUCAAUGGCUCACCUGAUCAAGGAGUAUGGAUGGGCUGCAAUGGAAGCACAGAAGUUGUUGGAUACUGUGAUGCUGAUUGGGCUGGUGAUAGAGCUGACAGGAGAUCAACAACCGGCUAUUGCACAUUCAUUGGAGGCAACUUGGUGACUUGGAAGAGCAAGAAGCAAAAGGUGGUAUCUUGCUCAAGUGCAGAAGCUGAGUAUAGAGCCAUGCUGAAGCUUACAAACGAGCUAGUAUGGAUCAAGGGCAUUUUGAAGCAUUUGGGGAUUGAUCAAGCCAAGCCAAUGACCAUGCAUUGUGAUAACCAAGCCGCAAUCCACAUAGCUUCCAACUCGGUGUUCCAUGAAAGAACCAAGCACAUUGAGGUUGAUUGCCACAAGGUGAGGCAGAUGAUUGUACUAGGAGUCAUCUUGCCAUGCUACACUAGGAGUGAAGAUCAGUUGGCUGAUGUGUUCACUAAGGCAGCAAGACAGAAGACUAUGGAGUCCAUUCAUAUCAGAUUGGGACUCAUAGAUCUUGGGAAGGGAAGGAGCUAAUCCUCUAAGUCAUGAGGUCUUUACUCUUUUUCCCUCAUCAAGGUUUUGUCCCAAUGGGUUUUCCUUGGUGAGGUUUUUAAUGAGGAGGAUCUCAUGGCUGUCCAAGCUUAGGCUUUCACAAAGCCAAGCUUGAGGGGGAGUGUUGAGAUGAGUUAUGAGAUAAGAAGAAGCAUGAAGGGAUUAGAGAUUGUGAGAAGGAUGAGGCAUGAAGGGGUUAGGAUGGCUUUAGGAGGAGUGGACCGUACAAGGCCGUACCAUCCGUACAAGGCCGUACAUGAUGGUAACUAUAAGUUACCCGAGUAACUCAUCCGGAUGAAAGGAGCUUGGAGGUAAAGUCUUGGGAGCUUAUCUGAUCCAUCAGACCGUUGAGGAAGUAGAUAAGAGGCGCCUUGACAGGCUGUCACAGCUGGAAAGGCAAAAGCUACUUUAGCCAAAGAUCCCAAAGGCAUCAAACGUGUGAGAGCCUUCAUUGGACAGAUUCAAACUCAGCCAGCCUUUACCUAUUGACUUCACAUGCUUAUGGUCUCUCAUUAGGUUUUCGAAACCCUUGUUGCUCAGACUAUAUAUAUGUAACCUCAUCUCUUAAUAAAGAUUAGACAGUUCAGAUUAUCCUUAGCCUCCAUGGCUUUUCUCUUAAUCUCUUAAUCUCAGAUUCUACUCUAAAUCAUCUCUAAUACUUCUCUAAUCUCUCCUAAACUCUCAGAUUACUCUUUAUACUCUAAAACUUAUAUGGUAUCAGAGCCAGGUUCUUGAGAAUCUGAGUUCUUUGCGUGGGCUAAAGACUAAAGCUUUGAAGGUUCCUCGGAGUCUCUAGCCUCAAGUCUUCCUUGGUUACAUUGUGGUUACAAGAUUGAAUCUUUUGCGUGUGUGUUGUGAGUUCUUGACGUGUUGGUGCAGUCUAGUCUCAAGUUCAAAGUCUUCUACAAGUAGUUCAAGAACAAGCGGUUGAAGAUGGAUGGAGGGAUAAGCAUGCACAUGAAGGUGGCAGUUACUUUCAAGGGGAGUAACUAUUUGGUGUGGUCUCGGAUGGUGAGAACCACAGUGGGAAGUAAGGGUUUGUGGAAGCAUCUUACGGAUGGUGAAGCUCCACAGCUCAUUACUCAGGGAGAAGACUCGGAAGAGGUCUCAAAUGAAACGGCCGUAGAGAAGUGGCAGCGAGAAGACAUGCUUGUGAUGUCCGUUCUUCAUGCCUCUCUAGAGCCGGCGAUCCUAGAGGCUUACAGCUAUUGUGAGUCAGCUAAGGAGCUAUGGGACACCUUGAAGAAGGUGUAUGGGAAUGUUUCAAACCUUCACCGAGUGUUUGAAGUAAAGAAAGCCAUAAACGGCUUGGUACAAGAUGACAUGGAAUUCACCAAGCAUUUGGGGAGGUUCCGGUCCUUAUGGUCAGAGCUAGAGAUGCUGAGGCCAAGCACAACCGAUCCAGAGCUGCUUAAUGAGAGGAGGGAGCAGGAUAAGGUCUUUGGACUAUUGCUUACCUUGAAUCCGGCUUACAACUCACUGAUUAAACACAUGUUGAGAGCGGAUAAGCUACCAGACCUUGAGGAGGUGUGCUCUCAAAUUCAGAAGGAGCAGGGGUCUAUUGGAUUGUUUGGAAGCAAAGGGGAGAUGUCACUUGCAAAUAAGGCUGCGCAAGUCAACUCUGAUGAAGCUCCUCAAGCAAACAAGGCCGGUUACAACAAGUUUGAAGACAGGAAGUUCAAUGGGAGCUGUGAUCAUUGCAAGAAGCAUGGUCACAAGAAGAGCCAGUGCUGGAUACUCCACCCCCAUCUAAAGCCGGCCAAGUUCUUGAAGGAGAGGGAUGCCAGGGCAAAUGUGAGUGAAGGAUCAAGCGGUGCUGGUACCUCAGGAAAGAGCAAUGAUGAAGGAGGAAGGGAGAGUGAUGGCAGGUCAUUGGUGGCAUAUGCAGGCAAUCCAAAUCACCGAGGAGGGGAGCAAGACUACAUUAGGAGAUCAGACAUUGACUCCCUCAUCAAGAUGCUUAAGGAAAACGGUAACACUUAUGGUUAUUCCUUUGGUGCAUCAAUGAUAGUUAAGAAUGAUGAUAAUAGUCUUGAGAAGCAUGGAAUUACUAGUCUUGCUAGGACUGAUCACUCUCUCAAGUCAUCUAGUACACUUUGUCUUAUGGCUAAUAACAUGACUAAAGCAUUAGUAGUUGAUUCUGGUGCAUCUCAUCACAUGAUUAGUGAUACUAGUUUGAUUAAAGAUAUUGAACCUGCUAAUGGACAUGUGAUGAUUGCAAAUGGAGAUAAGAUUCCUAUUAGAGGAAUAGGAAACUUAAAACUAUUUAAUAAACAUACUAGAGCAUUCUAUAUGCCAGAAUUCACAUCAAACUUACUAUCAGUAAAGAAAUGUACUACUGAUCUUCAUUGCAAUGUUAUCUUUAGUCCUAAUGAUGUGAAGUUUCAGGAUAUUGAGAGCAGCCAGUUGAUUGGAAAAGGAGUUACUAAAGGGGAUCUUUACAUGCUUGAAGAAUUAGCUCCUGUUUCUGAAUCAAGCUGUUUAUUUACUACUACUUCAAAUUUGAAUAAGAAUGCUUUGUGGCAUGCUAGACUAGGACAUCCUCAUAGUAGAGCCUUGAAUUUAAUGUUGCCAGGUGUUAAUUUUGAGAAUAAAGACUGUGAAGCUUGCAUUUUAGGCAAACAUUGUAAAACUGUGUUUCAAAGGUCAUCUACUGUUUAUGAAAAAUGCUUUGAUUUGAUUCAUUCUGAUGUAUGGACUGCACCUUGUUUAUCUAGGGAGAAUCAUAAGUAUUUUGUCACAUUCAUUGAUGAAAAAUCCAAAUACACCUGGUUAACCUUAAUCCCAUCUAAAGAUAGAGUUCUUGAUGCAUUUAAAAACUUUCAAGCUUAUGUGACUAACCAUUAUCAUGCUAAGAUUAAAAUUUUUAGAUCAGAUAAUGGAGGAGAAUACACUAGCCAUGCAUUCAAGUAUCAUCUAGCUCAUCAUGGGAUUCUUCAUCAAACAAGCUGUCCUUACACACCUCAACAGAAUGGUGUGGCUGAGAGGAAGAAUCGACAUCUCAUGGAGACUGCUCGGUCAUUAAUGUUUCAAGCAAAUGUUCCCAAAAGGUUUUGGAGUGAUGCUGUGGCCACCGCUUGCUACUUGAUCAACCGGACACCUACAAAAAUCCUUGAAGAUCAGGCACCAUUUGAGGUCUUGAAUAAACACAAGCCGUCAGUAGAACACUUGAGAGUCUUUGGGUGUUUGUGCUAUGUGUUGAUUCCGGGACAGAUGAGGAGCAAGUUGGAAGCAAGGAGUACAAAGGCUGUAUUCAUAGGCUACUCUACAACACAGAAGGGAUACAAAUGCUAUGAUCCAGAAGGAAGAAAAGUUCUAGUAUCAAGGGAUGUGAAGUUUGUAGAAGAAAGAGGAUACUAUGAAGAAAAGAACCAAGAAGACUUGAAAGAUCUAACCUCAGAUAAGGCUGGGGUGUUAAGGAUUAUCCUAGAGGGGCUAGGAAUCAAGAUGUCCCAGGAUCAGAACUCUGGUCAAAGGGAACAACAUGGAGACUCUCACCAUGAUUGUGAGGGGGGAAAUGAGCCUGAAGUUCAAGAAAGUGGCCAAGAAGGAGCCGGCUUGAAUGAGGAAGGGUUGGAGACAAGUUUAGGCCAAGAUGGAGCCGGCUUGAAUCAGGAACAAAGGGAGAUAAGUUCAGGCUCUCACAAUCAAGGUGAGCAGGAACAAAGAGAAGUAGACGCAUCAGUUGAGGAUGUAGAAGAAGAAGAAGAAGAACCAGAUGCUCAAGAGCAAGCCGUGAGAGUUCAACAACCAGAAUUGAGGAGAAGCACAAGAGUGAGGAAGGAUCCUUCCUCUUGGGUAAACACGAGAGUGUACUACAAUGCCCAAGCAGUGGAGCAUCCUUCUCAAGCUGUGUGCUCCUUUGCUCAAUAUCCUAAAGCACAUUGCGCAUUUAUGGUAAAUCUGGAUGAGGGUUAUAUCCCAAGAAGCUAUGAAGAGGCAAUACAAGACAAGGAGUGGAAGGAAUCAGUUGGAGCUGAGGCAGGAGCUAUGAUCAAGAAUGAUACAUGGUAUGAGAGUGAGUUACCUAAAGGGAAGAAGGCUGUGACUAGUAGAUGGAUAUUCACAAUCAAGUAUAAGGCUGAUGGUCAGGUUGAGAGGAAGAAGUCAAGACUGGUUGCAAGAGGCUUUACUCAAACAUAUGGAGAAGAUUACAUUGAGACCUUUGCACCAGUGGCUAAGCUACACACAAUCCGAAUUGUAUUAAGCUUGGCUGUGAAUCUUGGAUGGGGCUUAUGGCAAAUGGAUGUGAAGAAUGCAUUUCUACAAGGAGAGCUUGAGGAUGAAGUGUAUAUGCAUCCACCUCCGGGCUUGGAACACUUAGUAAAGAAAGGGAAUGUGUUGAGACUGAAGAAAGCUAUCUAUGGGCUGAAGCAAUCACCAAGAGCUUGGUAUAACAAGCUGAGCACUACUCUUAAUGGCCGAGGCUUCAAGAAGUCUGAGCUAGAUCACACUCUCUUCACUCUAACUACUCCCUCAGGUAUGAUUGCACUUCUUGUGUAUGUUGAUGAUAUCAUUAUCACAGGGAGUGAUAAGGAAGGUAUCAUAGCAACCAAGGAGUUCCUUAAAUCCAUGUUUGAUAUUAAAGACUUGGGAGAAAUGAAAUACUUUCUUGGAAUUGAGAUAUGUAGAUCCAAGGAGGGUUUGUUCAUGUCCCAAAGAAAGUAUACACUUGAUCUUUUGAAAGGUGCAGGAGCUUAUGGAGGCAAGACAGCAAGGAUGCCUAUGGAGGAUGGCUACAAAGUCCCACGAGACGGGGAGAUUGAAGACAGCAAACCUUAUCAGGAUCCUAAACUCUAUAGAAAACUAGUUGGCAAAUUGAUUUAUCUUACCAUAACUAGGCCUGACAUUUGUUUUGCUGUGAAUCAGGUGAGUCAACACAUGCAGGUGCCUAAGGAGCAUCAUUGGCGGAUGGUGGAGAGGAUCUUGAUGUAUCUCAAUGGCUCACCUGAUCAAGGAGUAUGGAUGGGCUGCAAUGGAAGCACAGAAGUUGUUGGAUACUGUGAUGCUGAUUGGGCUGGUGAUAGAGCUGACAGGAGAUCAACAACCGGCUAUUGCACAUUCAUUGGAGGCAACUUGGUGACUUGGAAGAGCAAGAAGCAAAAGGUGGUAUCUUGCUCAAGUGCAGAAGCUGAGUAUAGAGCCAUGCUGAAGCUUACAAACGAGCUAGUAUGGAUCAAGGGCAUUUUGAAGCAUUUGGGGAUUGAUCAAGCCAAGCCAAUGACCAUGCAUUGUGAUAACCAAGCCGCAAUCCACAUAGCUUCCAACUCGGUGUUCCAUGAAAGAACCAAGCACAUUGAGGUUGAUUGCCACAAGGUGAGGCAGAUGAUUGUACUAGGAGUCAUCUUGCCAUGCUACACUAGGAGUGAAGAUCAGUUGGCUGAUGUGUUCACUAAGGCAGCAAGACAGAAGACUAUGGAGUCCAUUCAUAUCAGAUUGGGACUCAUAGAUCUUGGGAAGGGAAGGAGCUAAUCCUCUAAGUCAUGAGGUCUUUACUCUUUUUCCCUCAUCAAGGUUUUGUCCCAAUGGGUUUUCCUUGGUGAGGUUUUUAAUGAGGAAGAUCUCAUGGCUGUCCAAGCUUAGGCUUUCACAAAGCCAAGCUUGAGGGGGAGUGUUGAGAUGAGUUAUGAGAUAAGAAGAAGCAUGAAGGGAUUAGAGAUUGUGAGAAGGAUGAGGCAUGAAGGGGUUAGGAUGGCUUUAGGAGGAGUGGACCGUACAAGGCCGUACCAUCCGUACAAGGCCGUACAUGAUGGUAACUAUAAGUUACCCGAGUAACUCAUCCGGAUGAAAGGAGCUUGGAGGUAAAGUCUUGGGAGCUUAUCUGAUCCAUCAGACCGUUGAGGAAGUAGAUAAGAGGCGCCUUGACAGGCUGUCACAGCUGGAAAGGCAAAAGCUACUUUAGCCAAAGAUCCCAAAGGCAUCAAACGUGUGAGAGCCUUCAUUGGACAGAUUCAAACUCAGCCAGCCUUUACCUAUUGACUUCACAUGCUUAUGGUCUCUCAUUAGNNNNNNNNNNNNNNNNNNNNNNNNNNNNNNNNNNNNNNNNNNNNNNNNNNNNNNNNNNNNNNNNNNNNNNNNNNNNNNNNNNNNNNNNNNNNNNNNNNNNNNNNNNNNNNNNNNNNNNNNNNNNNNNNNNNNNNNNNNNNNNNNNNNNNNNNNNNNNNNNNNNNNNNNNNNNNNNNNNNNNNNNNNNNNNNNNNNNNNNNNNNNNNNNNNNNNNNNNNNNNNNNNNNNNNNNNNNNNNNNNNNNNNNNNNNNNNNNNNNNNNNNNNNNNNNNNNNNNNNNNNNNNNNNNNNNNNNNNNNNNNNNNNNNNNNNNNNNNNNNNNNUUCAAACCGGUUCCAUGAAGAGGUGAAGGUGAAGUGUGAAGUGUGCGCAAAGCUGUGAAGUGUUGCUGCACCUAUUAGGCCGUGAUCCAGAGCUUCUUGUGUCCAACCACACUGGUUCUAAGGCACAAGAGCUCACUGGCCAAUCCCUAGGCUUUGGAGAGCUCUACUCUUUUUCCCUUGCAAGGUUUUGUCCCAAUGGGUUUUCCUUGUAAGGUUUUUAAUGAGGGAGACUCUUCAGAGUUCCAAGCUUGACUUAGGAUCUCCUAGAGCCAAGCUUGAGGGGCAGUGUUAAACUGAAGAGGAGAUAGAGCUUGUACAUUAAUAGGGCAAGCUCUAGAAGAUGUCCAGAAGAGUUCAAUCAAGCUUCAGGAGUGCCCUGAAGUAUCUAUCUGUAGAGGACAUUGGAGGAGUUUAGGAGGAAAUGGUCGAUGGUGCAAAGUUAGGGUCGUCCGUACAGACGGCCGUACGGACUGUACGGAUCGGUACAGACGAGGACGACCCGAAACACUUUAUCUCGACCAUUUGGAGUCAUUUGGUGUUUGUGCAAUAAUAGGGCACAAGUGUACGGUUCUACCUAUGUCCGUACACCCCCUGAAGUAUGAGCAAGGUCCGGUUUAGCAAAUGGCAUCAAGAAAGCAUCAAGAAGAUGCUUUGUGCAAGUUAUGAACCAAUGGGAGUGGCCUUGGUGGAACCAGCACGUGAUUGGCUCAUCUUGGUCUUUGGACAGGCUGUCACAAGCUGUAAAAGGAAGAGCAAGUUGGACUAUGUACCUGGACUGAUCUAUGGACUGAUUCAGGUGUAAUGUUGGUGCAUUCAUAGCCAAGUAUUCUCUCCUCCAAUCACCAGCCACUACUCAGAUUGCCAAGACCUCCAAGACCUGAUCCAAGUCGUCCAUUUCAAACCAGACAAUUAGGGUUUAUGAGUUACAACUUGUAUUUUCCUAUAAAAAGACCCUUAAGGGGCAUUUGUAACUCUUAAGAGAGUUAGGGGGAUUUCCCCUUCUCCUUCAUAGUCUUUGGUUACUUUGAAUCUCCCAAUCUCUAUUCUCUGGUUACUUAAUCUCCCAGUCUCUCUAAUCUCUCAAUCUCUCACCCAAAGUCUCUUAAUCUCACGCCAUUCUUAUUCUUCCAUCAGUCUCUUUGUUAUUCUCUUCCAUUGUUAAACAAGACUCAGUCCCAACCUGUGGAGGUUGAUUGACCACGCCCACACACAGCCUGUGCUGUGAAAAACUCACAUCUAGUAGAUGGAUCUUUACAAUCAAGUACAAGGCUGAUGGGUCGAUUGAGAGGAAGAAAACUAGACUAGUAGCAAGAGGGUUUACUCAGACAUAUGGAGAGGAUUACAUUGAGACAUUUGCACCAGUAGCCAAGCUACACACAAUUAGAAUUGUUUUAAGCUUGGCUGUGAACCUUGGAUGGGAUUUGUGGCAAAUGGAUGUAAAGAAUGCAUUUCUACAAGGAGAACUUGAGGAUGAACUCUAUAUGUAUCCUCCACCAGGUCUUGAACAUCUAGUGAAGAGAGGGAAUGUACUGAGGUUAAAGAAGGCUAUCUAUGGGCUGAAGCAAUCACCAAGAGCAUGGUACAACAAGCUGAGCACAACUCUGAAUGGCCGAGGCUUUAAGAAGUCAGAAUUGGACCAUACUCUCUUUACCCUUACUACACCCUCAGGUAUGGUUGCUCUCCUUGUGUAUGUAGAUGAUAUCAUCAUCACAGGAAGUGAUAAAGAAGGUAUCAAAGCAACCAAGGAGUUUCUAAAGUCUAUGUUUGAAAUAAAAGAUUUGGGAGAAAUGAAAUACUUUCUUGGAAUUGAGAUUUGUAGAUCCAAGGAAGGUUUGUUCAUGUCCCAAAGGAAGUAUACACUUGAUCUUUUGAAAGAUGCAGGUGCUUAUGGAGGCAAGACAGCAAGGAUGCCAAUGGAGGAUGGCUACAAAGUACCAAGAGAGGGGGAGAUUGAAGACAGCAAGCCAUUUCAUGAUCCUAAACUCUAUAGAAAACUUGUUGGAAAAUUGAUUUAUCUAACCAUCACAAGACCUGAUAUAUGCUUUGCUGUGAAUCAGGUGAGUCAACACAUGCAGCUUCCCAAGGAACAUCAUUGGCGUAUGGUGGAUAGGCUGCUGAUGUAUCUAAAUGGCUCGCCGGAUCAAGGUGUAUGGAUGGGGUGCAAUGGAAGCACAGAAGUGGUGGGCUAUUGUGAUGCUGAUUGGGCAGGUGAUAGAGCUGACAGAAGAUCAACAACCGGCUAUUGCACAUUCAUUGGAGGCAACUUGGUGACUUGGAAGAGUAAGAAACAGAAGGUGGUGUCAUGCUCUAGUGCAGAAGCUGAAUAUAGAGCCAUGCUGAAGCUUACAAACGAGCUAGUUUGGAUCAAGGGCAUCUUGAAGCAUUUGGAGAUAGCACAAGACACUCCAAUGACAAUGCAUUGUGACAACCAGGCCGCCAUUCACAUAGCCUCCAACUCGGUGUUCCAUGAGAGAACAAAGCACAUUGAGGUUGAUUGCCACAAGGUGAGGCAGAUGAUUGUCCUAGGAGUCAUCUUGCCAUGUUAUACUAGGAGUGAAGAUCAGUUGGCUGAUGUAUUCACCAAGGCUGCAAGGCAAAAGACAAUGGAGUCCAUUCAUAUCAGAUUGGGCCUCAUUGAUCUUGGGAAGAGACGCAGCUGAUCCCCUUAGUCAUGAGAUCUUUACUCUUUUUCCCUCAUUAAGGUUUUGUCCCAAUGGGUUUCCCUUAGUGAGGUUUUUAAUGAGGAAGAUCUCAUGGCUGUCCAAGCUUAGUCUUUCACAAAGCUAAGCUUGAGGGGGAGUGUUGAGAUGAAGAGUGUCAAGUGAAGAAUGGAGAUGAGGGUUGAGUAGAAUGAAGAAGAGGAAGGAUAGGAAGGUUUGGGAGCUUUGGGAUCAGCCUGUCCGUACAAGGCCGUACAUGGCCGUACAUGACAGGACAGGCCGUACAAGAUAGGAUCGACCAAAGCUCAACCAAACCUCACCAUAAGUUAUCCGAGUUACUUAAGUAAAGAGGAGAAGUUACCUUGGCCUUUGUGGGUGGAUCAGACCGUUGGAAAGGAUAAGGGAGAGUCUUGGACAGGCUGGCACAGCUGGACACGGAAAAGCAAAAGGUUGAGCCAGCUAAUGAAGGCUCACACGCGCGGCUCACCUCAUUGGACAAGUUUGAAAUGGCCAUUGACUCCACAUGCUUACCUUAUCCUCUUAAGCUACGAAAACCCUAGUCUCUUCUCUUAUAAAGUUGUAAACACUCUCAUUAAUAGAAUCAAGAAAGUUUUGAGUCUUUCUCUUAGUCUUUAAUCUCAAUGGUUCCAUAUUAGACUCAUAAGCUCAUUUCAUACUCUAAUCUUCUCUAAAUCGAUUCUAGUCUUUCCUAAACACUCAGAUUACUCUAAACAUUACUAAGGAUCUCAUGGUAUCAGAUCCAGGUUCGUGAAAACCUGAGUUCGUGUUAGGCUCUUUGGAGAUUCAAGAUUGAAGCUUUAAAGAGUUUGGUUGGUGUUCUUGUGUUCUUGGGAAGUUCCGGGUAUUGUCCGAGUUCAAAGACUAGUUCUUAGUGUGUUGCUAAAGCUGUGAGGUUGAAGACCGAGGCAGUGAGUGUUCUUACAAGUCUCUUAACCCAAGAUCCAGUUUGUGAAGUCUAGAGAAGUCAUCGUUCAUCAUGGAAAGUGGUAUGAACAUGAACAUGAAGGUAGCGGUUUGCUUCAAGGGAACCAACUACUUGGUGUGGUCUCGGAUGGUGAGAACCACAGUGGGAAGCAAAGGGCUUUGGAAGCACAUCACGCCAGGAGAAGCUCCAAAGCUCAUCACCCAAGGAGAAACUGAAGGAGAAGCCGCAAGCAAAGCGGAAGAGAAGUGGCAUCAGGAGGACAUGUUGGUGAUGUCAGUGCUGCAUGCUUCACUUGAGCCGGCGAUUCUAGAUGCAUACAGCUACUGUGAAUCAGCUAAAGAGCUGUGGGAUACGUUGAAGAAGGUGUAUGGGAAUACAUCAAACCUGAGCCGUGUGUUUGAAAGCUACUGUGAAUCAGCUAAAGAGCUGUGGGAUACGUUGAAGAAGGUGUAUGGGAAUACAUCAAACCUAAGCCGUGUGUUUGAAGUGAAGCAGGCUAUAAACAACUUGGUACAAGAGGAUAUGGAGUUCACCAAGUAUCUAGGGAGGUUCAGAACACUCUGGUUCGAGCUGGAGAUGUUGAGGCCAAGCACUACAGAUGCAGAUGAGCUCAACAAAAGAAGAGAGCAAGAUAAGGUCUUUGGGCUACUCCUCACCAUGAAUCCGGCUUACAAUGGUCUUAUCCAACACUUGCUUAGAGAGGACACACUACCUGAUCUUGAAGAAGUGUGCGCAAGGAUUCAGAAGGAACAAGGCUCUAUUGGGUUGUUUGGAAAGAAAGGAGAGCUAUCUCUCGUGAAUCAAGCAACUCAAGAGGAGGGAGGGGAAGCUCCACAAGCACACAAGGCUGCGCAUGGGAAGUAUGAUGAGAGGAGGUUCAAUGGGAACUGUGAUCACUGCAAGAAGCAUGGCCACAAGAAGAGCCAAUGCUGGAUACUCCAUCCCCAUCUCAAGCCAGCAAAGUUUAUGAAGGACAGAGAGGCAAGGGCUAAUGUCUCAGAUGGAGCAAGCGCAAGUGGAGCAGGUACUAGCAAAGGGAAGGAGAUAGAUGGGCGUGAAACAGGUGAUGGGAGGUCUCUUGUAGCCUACACUGGAGCCCCAAGCAACCGUGGGAACUAUGAUCAAGAGUAUCUAAGGAAAUCUGACCUGGAUGCUCUCAUUAAGCUCUUCAAGGAGCAUGGUAACAUUUUUGGGUAUUCCUUUGGGGCUAGGGCUAUAGGGAAUGAUGAGAAUUCAACUAGAAUUGAUAGGAUGCAUGAAAGUGUGAUAGAGAUAAUCAACCAAUCUAGAACGGCUAGUCUUGCUAGGAAUGAUCAUGCAUUCAAACCAUCUAGUAUCCUUGCUCAUAUUAAACACUUUUGUGUUUAGAGAAUGAUUCAAACAACCAUAGAUACUUAGAUUCAAAGAUUAAAGAGAUUAAGAGAUUUUAGUAAGAGAAUCAAGAGAGAGAGACUCAAAACUCCAUUAAUUAAUUUAAUGUCUCAGAUACAAGAUAUAUAUGAAGAGAUAAGGCUAAUACAAAAGGGAUUUCGAAAUCCAUAAGCAUGUGAGGUCAAUGGACAGGCUGGAGCUCCUUUUGCUUCACAUGCUUGGACAGGCUGUAAAAGUGCUUCACUUUUCCAGCUAUGACCAGACCUUAUCCAAACACCUCCUCCCUUAUCCAGACUCAUCUUGGGCGUGAUCCCCUUUACCAUAAGGGUCCAAUGUAACUUCCCAAGCCUUUACCUUAGUUACCACAGUAAAACUAAAGUUACUGUGGUAAAUUCCCAAAGUUACUCUCUGCCCCAAUAGUAACUUCCUAAGCUUUUAACUUAGUUACCACAGUCAAACCGAAGUUACUGUGGUAAAACUCCAAAGUUACUCUCUGCCCCAAUACUCUUUCUAAAUCAAUGUAUCUUCUCUCCAUCCUCUUAUCUCAACACUCCCCCUCAAGCUUGACCAUGUAGAGCAAGUCAAGCUUGGAAACCAUGAAGAUCUCCCUCAUUAAAAACCUCACCAAGGAAAACCCAUUGGGAUAAAACCUUGAUGAGGGAAAAAGAGUGAAGACUCCAUGGUUAAGGGGAUCAGCUCCUGGGAGUAAGAUCAAUGAGCCCAAGCCUAGAAAGUAUGGACUCCAUUGUCUUUAAUCUCGCUGCCUUAGUAAACACAUCAGCCAGUUGAUCCUCACUCCUUGUAUAACAUGGCAGAAUCACUCCUAAGAUAAUCAUCUGCCUCACCUUGUGACAAUCCACUUCUAUGUGCUUCGUUCUCUCAUGAAAGACUGAGUUAGAAGCAAUAUGGAUAGCUGCUUGAUUGUCACAGUGCAUUGUCAUAGGAGUACUCUGCUCAAUCUCCAGAUGCUUCAAGAUACCCUUGAUCCACACCAACUCGUUUGUCAACUUCAACAUAGCCCUAUAUUCAGCCUCAGCACUUGAACAAGAGAUGACCUUCUACUUCUUACUCUUCCAAGUAACCAGGUUCCCUCCAAUGAAUGUACAAUAGCCAGUAGUUGAUCUCCUGUCCACUCUAUCUCCUGCCCAAUCAGCAUCACAAUAGCCCACUACUUCUGUGCUGCCAUUGCAUCCCAUCCAAACUCCUUGACCAGACGUGCCACUCAAAUACCUCAGUAUCCUAUCAACCAUCUUCCAGUGAUGUACCCUUGGCGCCUGCAUAUGCUGACUCACUUGGUUUACAGCAAAACAUAUAUCUGGCCGUGUGAUGGUCAAGUAGAUCAGCUUGCCAACCAUCUUCCUGUAUAGCUUAGGAUCCUCAAACAACUGCUUCUCUUCAACCUCCCCCUCACGCAGAACCUUAUAUCCCUCCUCAAGGGGUGUUUUAGCUAUCUUUCCUCCAAGCACAUCAGUCUCCUUCAACAUAUCCAUAGUAUACUUCCUUUGAGACAUAAACAAAGGUGUUUUAGCUAUCUUUCCUCCAAGCACAUCAGUCUCCUUCAACAUAUCCAUAGUAUACUUCCUUUGAGACAUAAACAAACCCUCCUUUGAUCUGCAUAUCUCAAUGCCCAGAAAAUACUUCAUCUCUCCCAAAUCCUUGAUGUCAAACACAGAUUUGAGAAACUCCUUAGUAGCUUGAAUCCCUGCCUUAUCACUCCCUGUGAUAAUCAAAUCAUCCACAUACACUAGAAUCACAAUGAUCCCUGAAGGUCCUGUCAAAGUGAAGAGUGUGUGAUCUAAUUCAGACUUCCUAAAGCCUCUCCCAUUGAGUGUUGUACUCAGCUUCCUGUACCAAGCUCUAGGUGAUUGUUUCAGCCCAUAUAUUGCCUUCUUCAAUCUCAAAACAUUCCCUGGCUUUACUAGAUGCUCAAGACCAGCAGGAGGAAGCAUGUAUACCUCAUCUUCUAGCUCACCUUGUAAGAAAGCAUUCUUCACAUCCAUCUGCCACAAAUCCCACUCCAAGUUUGUUGCAAUGGACAACACAAUCCGAACUGUAUGUAGCUUAGCUACUGGUGCAAAGGUAUCAAUGUAAUCCUCUCCAUAGGUCUGUGUAAAUCCUCUUGCAACCAAUCUGGUCUUCUUCCUAUCAAUCUGUCCAUUUGCAAGAUACUUGAUUGUGAAGAUCCAUCUACUAGAUACAGCUUUCUUUCCCUUAGGCAGCUCACUCUCAUACCAUGUAUCAUUUUUGAUCAUAGCACCUGCUUCAGCUCCCACUGAUUCUUUCCAUUCCUUGUCUAACAUAGCUUCUUCAUAAGUCCUUGGUACAUAACUCUCAUCCAGACUAAUCAUAAAGGCAUAAUGCUCCUCUGGAAACUCAGCAAAGGAACACACGGCUUGAGAAGGAUGCUCCACAGCCUGGGCAUUGUAGUACACUCUCGUGUUUACCCAGUUGGAAGGAUCCCUCUUUAUCCUUGUGCUCCUCCUCAAAGCUUGAACCUGAUCUUCAGUUUGCACACUAACCGGCUCCACUUGCUCUUCUUCUGAACUGGCCGGUCUGACUUGUUCUUCUACACUAGACUGAACCUCAUCCACUUCUCCACUAGACUGAACCUCAUUGUUCGCAACUUCUUGUGAUGUAUCUUGAUCAUGAAGACCUGAAUCCUCUUGGUUUUGCUCUUGCUCACCAGAUUCAGUUCCAUUCCCCCUCUCAUGAUCAAGAGGAGUUGUUCAUCCAGCUCCACCAGUCUGAUUGGAAGGCUCUCUCCUUCCNNNNNNNNNNNNNNNNNNNNNNNNNNNNNNNNNNNNNNNNNNNNNNNNNNNNNNNNNNNNNNNAGACUCUCUCCUUCCGGUUUCCUGAUCCUGGGAUAAUCCUAUCCCGAGCUUCUCUAACAACACUCUCAGUAUUGUUGCCUUAUCAGAUGGAGCUUGAGACAAAUCCUUCAGAUUUUCCCACUCCUUUUCUUCAUAAUAACCUUUUGUUUCAACAAACUUCACUUCUCUAGAUACCAUCACUCUCCUUGCUUCAGGAUCAUAGCACUUGUACCCCUUCUGAGUGAUAGAGUAACCAAUGAACAUAGCCUUAGUACUCUUUGCCUCCAGCUUGUUUCUCUGCUCUCCUGGAACCAUGACAUAGCACACACACCCAAAGACACGUAGAUGAUCAAUGACAGGUUUGCUCUUGUUCAACACUUCAAAUGGAGACAGAUUCUUCAAUAUCUUGGUUGGAACCCGGUUGAUGAGAUAGCAAGCAGUCUGAACCGCAUCACUCCAAAAACGUUUUGGGACAUUUGCAUGAAACAUCAUCGAUCUAGCAACCUCCAUCAAGUGCCUGUUCUUCCUCUCAGCUACACCAUUCUGCUGUGGUGUAUAAGGCAGCUAGUCUGAUGCACAAUCCCAUGCUUGGCUAGAUGAUUCUUGAAGGCAUUGCUGAUGUAUUCACCUCCAUUAUCUGAUCUCAGUACCUUCACAGUAGCAUUGUAUUGAUUAGAUACAUAUGCUUGGAAGUUCAUAAAUGCUUCUAGCACCCUAUCUUUAGAUGGAAGCAAUGUAAGCCAAGUAUACUUAGACUUCUCAUCAAUGAAUGUCACAAAGUACUUCUGGCUAUCUCUAGACAAACAAGGAGCUGUCCACACAUCUGAAUGAACUAGAUCAAAGCAAUGCUCAUAAGUAGUUUCUGAACUUGGAAACACAGUCCUACAAUGCUUUCCUAAUAUGCAAGCCUCACACUCUAAGUGAUUAAAUGACAUAUUAGGCAUGAUCAAUUCAAUUGCACGAGCAUGAGGAUGUCCCAAUCUAGCAUGCCAAGUCAUACUAUCACACCUAUCAACAGCACUACUUAAGCACACAGAAUCAAGGAGUUUAGAAUUCUUAGCCAUUUGAAGAUGGUAUAGCUGAUUCUUGCUGUCUCCUCUGCCAAUAACUCUCCCAGUCUUCAAAUCUUGAAACUCAACUUCAUCAGGUCUGAAUACUACUUGACAAUCAAGAUCAAUGGUAGCUUUCUUCACAGAUAAUAGAUUUGAAGUGAACUGAGGCAUGUAGAAGGCAGCUGUGUCCUUCUCAAACAGUUUUAGCUUUCCCACUCCUUCUAUUGGGAUCAUAGCACCAUUAGCUAUCAUAACACUCCCUGUUGCAGCCUUGAUCUCACUUAUAAGCCUCCUAUCACUGAUCAUAUGAUGGCUUGCUCCAGAAUCAAUCACAAUGGGUUUAGAAGCUCCGGAUUGUAUAGCAUGCUUCCUGCUUGCUGCUAAGGCUUGUACUUGUUCCAUGAACACUCUCCAUUCUUUCCUUGUGAUGCGAUCAUCAGCUCCACUCCCUUUCUCCUGCUCUUUUAACACCCCACUGUCUUCUACUGAUUCCCCCAUGUAGGCUGAGUAAGAACACUCUCCCACAACUCUCUUCCUACCCUUUCCUAUGUUGAUAGAAGCUUUGGAUAGCAUUCUGCACCUCCUCUUCUUCCGGAAGCCCUCACUCCUACUCCCGGUUAGCCUCCAUGAGCUCUCACUCCUACUCAUGGUUAGCUUCUGGAAGCUCUCACUCCUACUCCCAGUUGGCUUCCAUGAGCUCUCACUCCUACUCAUGGUUAGCCUCUCAUCAUCUCUCAUUAUCUCAUACGCCCUUCUUAUAAGCACACAGAUCUCUUCCAUUUCCGGAAGCUGUUCCCCUCUUAGAACCAUCUCCACCAGCCACCCAUAUGAUGACUCCAUGCUCGCCAAGAGCUUCAAGACUGUCGCUUGCUCUUGUGUAGUAUCCCCAUCCACAUGGGAUCUCAACCCUUGUAGUUCAACCCACAAAUGUUGUAGCUUCCUCACAUGAUUAUUGAACCCUUCUCUUCCUGGUUUAACUUCACUAAUCACCUUCUUGACUUCAUACACUCUCCUAAGACUGAUCUUGUUCUCAUAAACAUCUUCAAUCUUCUCAAGCAGUGUACUUUCUUCAAGACUAAAUCAAUCUCCAUUUGUUUCUCUUGCUGUCUGAUCUUUCUCAGCAGCUUUACCCAUCAAAGACUCUUUCUUCUCAUGGUUUCUCCAAACUCCACACCUUUUCAGUGUUGUUUUCAUCUGUGAGAACCACCCCCACACAUUCCCUCUCUCUUUCUUCUCUUCACGCCAAUCUUCUCAAGCAGUGUACUUUCUUCAAGACUAAAGCAAUCUCCAUUUGUUUCUCUUGCUGUCUGAUCUUUCUCAGCAGCUUUACCCAUCAAAGACUCUUUCUUCUCAUGGUUUCUCCAAACUCCACACCUUUUCAGUGUUGUUUUCAUCUGUGAGAACCACCCCCACUCAUUCCCUCUCUCUUUCUUCUCUUCACGCCUUGUUGUACCAGAUUGAAGCAGCUCCAUUUACUUUAGCCUAAAGCAACAACCUUUAGCCUAGAUCUUCCCCCAAAUGCCUCUAAUCUCACACGCUAAGCUUACCAACUAGCUAGACCCCUCUUCUGACCUUGUGAAACACCUAAACGGACUCCCUUGAAGCUGACUCUCCAAAAGAAACACCAACAGACACAAACUUGACUUUUAAAGGAUCUAGCUCUUGAAAAAUCUCAAGAACUCUCAAGAACACUCAAGAACAUUUAGAAAAACGAAAUCACUCUCUCCUUUUCAAGGAACCUGGCUCUGAUACCAUAAACACUUUUGUGUUUAGAGAAUGAUUCAAACAACCAUAGAUACUUAGAUUCAAAGAUUAAAGAGAUUAAGAGAUUUUAGUGAGAGAAUCAAGAGAGAGAGACUCAAAACUCCAUUAAUUGAUUUACUGUCUCAGAUACAGGAUAUAUAUGAAGAGAUAAGGCUAAUACAAAAGGGAUUUCGAAAUCCAUAAGCAUGUGAGGUCAAUGGACAGGCUGGAGCUCCUUUUACUUCACAUGCUUGGACAGGCUGUAAAAGUGCUUUACUUUUCCAGCUAUGACCAGACCUUAUCCCAACAUCUCCUCCCUUAUCCAGACUCAUCUUGGGCGUGAUCCCCUUUACCAUAAGGGUCCAAUGUAACUUCCCAAGCCUUUACCUUAGUUACCACAGUAAAACUAAAGUUACUAUGGUAAAUUCCCAAAGUUACUCUCUGCCCCAAUACUCUUCCUCUAUCAAUGUAUCUUCUCUCCAUCCUCUUAUCUCAACAAUGAACCUCAAGCCAAAGCUCCUUGUCCAAGAGCUUAUCACAUCCGGAUACAAGAAAGACGAAGCUAAGAUGAAGCCGGUUUGAUGUAUGAAGAAAGGAGGGGCCUUUUGGGUGUGAGAAACAAGAAGGAGGCCGUGGACUGAAGGAGAAGGAGGUGGGUGACGAUCCAGACUCCUUAAUCCAACCAAAUCAUGGCCAGAUUGCCUUUGGAGACUUAAGGAACCAACCUGGUUCCUUGUGUAAGCGAUUCUUUAAAACCUUCUUGAUACUGAGCUUGUGUUGUGACUGUGCCUGGUUAUUGUGAUGUGUAUUGAUUGAAAAACCUGAGGAUAAUGUGUGAUUGCUAAAUAUAAUUAGUUGAAUCUGUCCCUGGAUGCUUUAAAGGCUUGUUUAGUGUUUAAAGAGUAAAAUGCUUGCUCCUGUUAAGUAAUGAGUUUGCUAAAUGUGAAAUGGUAUUGUUUGAAGCUCAUGAACUGAAAACAGAUUGAAGGUAAUGCAUUGUCUGAUGUUAAGUGAUGAUAGUAAUGCUUAGCCUAAGUUAUAAAUGAAUGUGUGAUGGAUUAUAUUGUUGCAUUCAUGAAUUGAAACUGGUUAAGGUUAGUGCAUACUGUCAAAUGGCUGACUUACAUUGAAGCAUUAGAUUCAUGUCUAAAUGCUGAGUAAAGAAGCUUUAAAAAUUGCCUAAGUAGCUUGUAUUGAAUCUGUUAGGAUCAUGCUAGUGCUUAGAGAGGUUGCUUGCAAAGAUUAGAACUUGAAAAUGUCUAGUUUAAUCUGUUGCAUUGCUUAAAGACAUUGGUGUUCAAACUUGAUGAUGCAUCAAGGGUUGACCCAAUGCACUUGUGUCUUAUCUUUGCUGGAGUUUGAGUGAUGUUUCAGGUUCACAAGAGGUGUUCUUGGUUCACCAUCCAUCCGAGUUGAAAGAGGAAGACUUUGCCCAUUGUGUGGAGCAAUGGAGAGUUNNNNNNNNNNNNNNNNNNNNNNNNNNNNNNNNNNNNNNNNNNNNNNNNNNNNNNNNNNNNNNNNNNNNNNNNNNNNNNNNNNNNNNNNNNNNNNNNNNNNNNNNNNNNNNNNNNNNNNNNNNNNNNNNNNNNNNNNNNNNNNNNNNNNNNNNNNNNNNNNNNNNNNNNNNNNNNNNNNNNNNNNNNNNNNNNNNNNNNNNNNNNNNNNNNNNNNNNNNNNNNNNNNNNNNNNNNNNNNNNNNNNNNNNNNNNNNNNNNNNNNNNNNNNNNNNNNNNNNNNNNNNNNNNNNNNNNNNNNNNNNNNNNNNNNNNNNNNNNNNNNNNNNNNNNNNNNNNNNNNNNNNNNNNNNNNNNNNNNNNNNNNNNNNNNNNNNNNNNNNNNNNNNNNNNNNNNNNNNNNNNNNNNNNNNNNNNNNNNNNNNNNNNNNNNNNNNNNNNNNNNNNNNNNNNNNNNNNNNNNNNNNNNNNNNNNNNNNNNNNNNNNNNNNNNNNNNNNNNNNNNNNNNNNNNNNNNNNNNNNNNNNNNNNNNNNNNNNNNNNNNNNNNNNNNNNNNNNNNNNNNNNNNNNNNNNNNNNNNNNNNNNNNNNNNNNNNNNNNNNNNNNNNNNNNNNNNNNNNNNNNNNNNNNNNNNNNNNNNNNNNNNNNNNNNNNNNNNNNNNNNNNNNNNNNNNNNNNNNNNNNNNNNNNNNNNNNNNNNNNNNNNNNNNNNNNNNNNNNNNNNNNNNNNNNNNNNNNNNNNNNNNNNNNNNNNNNNNNNNNNNNNNNNNNNNNNNNNNNNNNNNNNNNNNNNNNNNNNNNNNNNNNNNNNNNNNNNNNNNNNNNNNNNNNNNNNNNNNNNNNNNNNNNNNNNNNNNNNNNNNNNNNNNNNNNNNNNNNNNNNNNNNNNNNNNNNNNNNNNNNNNNNNNNNNNNNNNNNNNNNNNNNNNNNNNNNNNNNNNNNNNNNNNNNNNNNNNNNNNNNNNNNNNNNNNNNNNNNNNNNNNNNNNNNNNNNNNNNNNNNNNNNNNNNNNNNNNNNNNNNNNNNNNNNNNNNNNNNNNNNNNNNNNNNNNNNNNNNNNNNNNNNNNNNNNNNNNNNNNNNNNNNNNNNNNNNNNNNNNNNNNNNNNNNNNNNNNNNNNNNNNNNNNNNNNNNNNNNNNNNNNNNNNNNNNNNNNNNNNNNNNNNNNNNNNNNNNNNNNNNNNNNNNNNNNNNNNNNNNNNNNNNNNNNNNNNNNNNNNNNNNNNNNNNNNNNNNNNNNNNNNNNNNNNNNNNNNNNNNNNNNNNNNNNNNNNNNNNNNNNNNNNNNNNNNNNNNNNNNNNNNNNNNNNNNNNNNNNNNNNNNNNNNNNNNNNNNNNNNNNNNNNNNNNNNNNNNNNNNNNNNNNNNNNNNNNNNNNNNNNNNNNNNNNNNNNNNNNNNNNNNNNNNNNNNNNNNNNNNNNNNNNNNNNNNNNNNNNNNNNNNNNNNNNNNNNNNNNNNNNNNNNNNNNNNNNNNNNNNNNNNNNNNNNNNNNNNNNNNNNNNNNNNNNNNNNNNNNNNNNNNNNNNNNNNNNNNNNNNNNNNNNNNNNNNNNNNNNNNNNNNNNNNNNNNNNNNNNNNNNNNNNNNNNNNNNNNNNNNNNNNNNNNNNNNNNNNNNNNNNNNNNNNNNNNNNNNNNNNNNNNNNNNNNNNNNNNNNNNNNNNNNNNNNNNNNNNNNNNNNNNNNNNNNNNNNNNNNNNNNNNNNNNNNNNNNNNNNNNNNNNNNNNNNNNNNNNNNNNNNNNNNNNNNNNNNNNNNNNNNNNNNNNNNNNNNNNNNNNNNNNNNNNNNNNNNNNNNNNNNNNNNNNNNNNNNNNNNNNNNNNNNNNNNNNNNNNNNNNNNNNNNNNNNNNNNNNNNNNNNNNNNNNNNNNNNNNNNNNNNNNNNNNNNNNNNNNNNNNNNNNNNNNNNNNNNNNNNNNNNNNNNNNNNNNNNNNNNNNNNNNNNNNNNNNNNNNNNNNNNNNNNNNNNNNNNNNNNNNNNNNNNNNNNNNNNNNNNNNNNNNNNNNNNNNNNNNNNNNNNNNNNNNNNNNNNNNNNNNNNNNNNNNNNNNNNNNNNNNNNNNNNNNNNNNNNNNNNNNNNNNNNNNNNNNNNNNNNNNNNNNNNNNNNNNNNNNNNNNNNNNNNNNNNNNNNNNNNNNNNNNNNNNNNNNNNNNNNNNNNNNNNNNNNNNNNNNNNNNNNNNNNNNNNNNNNNNNNNNNNNNNNNNNNNNNNNNNNNNNNNNNNNNNNNNNNNNNNNNNNNNNNNNNNNNNNNNNNNNNNNNNNNNNNNNNNNNNNNNNNNNNNNNNNNNNNNNNNNNNNNNNNNNNNNNNNNNNNNNNNNNNNNNNNNNNNNNNNNNNNNNNNNNNNNNNNNNNNNNNNNNNNNNNNNNNNNNNNNNNNNNNNNNNNNNNNNNNNNNNNNNNNNNNNNNNNNNNNNNNNNNNNNNNNNNNNNNNNNNNNNNNNNNNNNNNNNNNNNNNNNNNNNNNNNNNNNNNNNNNNNNNNNNNNNNNNNNNNNNNNNNNNNNNNNNNNNNNNNNNNNNNNNNNNNNNNNNNNNNNNNNNNNNNNNNNNNNNNNNNNNNNNNNNNNNNNNNNNNNNNNNNNNNNNNNNNNNNNNNNNNNNNNNNNNNNNNNNNNNNNNNNNNNNNNNAGUUUCUCUGUUUGGGAAUAUGACAACUUCUUCGUCAUUCUAAUCAAACCAGGAUGAAUCGCGAUGUAAGAACCUUCAUUUGGAUACAUAAAGUAGUGUAGAAAUCACCAGGAAUUGAAUAAAUCUCAUAGGAGUUAGGAUGAAUAAGUUUUCCCACUUUCAAAUAAGGUGAUCCCAGUUUGCCUAUUUGGGAAUAUGACAACUUCUUCGUCAUUCUAAUCAAACCAGGAUGAAUCGGGAUGUACAAAGCUUGAUUUGGAUACAUAAAGUAGUGUAGAAAUCACCAGGAAUUGAAUAAAUCUCAUAGGAGUUAGGAUGAAGAAGUUAUCCCACUUUAGGAGUUAGGAUGAAGAAGUUAUCCCACUUUAGGAGUUAGGAUGAAGAAGUUAUCCCACUUUAGGAGUUAGGAUGAAGAAGUUAUCCCACUUUAGGAGUUAGGAUGAAGAAGUUAUCCCACUUUAGGAGUUAGGAUGAAGAAGUUAUCCCACUUUAGGAGUUAGGAUGAAGAAGUUAUCCCACUUUAGGAGUUAGGAUGAAGAAGUUAUCCCACUUUAGGAGUUAGGAUGAAGAAGUUAUCCCACUUUAGGAGUUAGGAUGAAGAAGUUAUCCCACUUUAGGAGUUAGGAUGAAGAAGUUAUCCCACUUUAGGAGUUAGGAUGAAGAAGUUAUCCCACUUUAGGAGUUAGGAUGAAGAAGUUAUCCCACUUUAGGAGUUAGGAUGAAGAAGUUAUCCCACUUUAGGAGUUAGGAUGAAGAAGUUAUCCCACUUUAGGAGUUAGGAUGAAGAAGUUAUCCCACUUUAGGAGUUAGGAUGAAGAAGUUAUCCCACUUUAGGAGUUAGGAUGAAGAAGUUAUCCCACUUUAGGAGUUAGGAUGAAGAAGUUAUCCCACUUUAGGAGUUAGGAUGAAGAAGUUAUCCCACUUUAGGAGUUAGGAUGAAGAAGUUAUCCCACUUUCAAAUAAGGUGAUCCUAGUUUCCCUGUUUGGGAAUAUGACAACUUCUUCGUCAUUCUAAUCAAACCAGGAUGAAUCGGGAUGUACAAAGCUUGAUUUGGAUACAUAAAGUAGUGGAGAAUCACCCAGAAGACUCUUCAUAAGUAAUAAGCUUUGGGGCUUCACUCUGCGUAAUGUGUCCCCAUAGGCCUUUACUCCCCACUGCAGUCUUCACCAAACGAGACCACAAAAGAUAGUUACCCCCCUUGAGCGUAACCGGAACCACAGCCUUGUUGUUUUCCAUCUUGAAACCGUUAGGAUGAGAGAUGAGUAACUGAUGUGUUCUUGAGUCUUCUUAGCAAUCAAACCCAGAUUAUGAGCAACCUGGCUCUGAUAUCAUAUAAUCUUUUAGAGAAUCUGAGUUUGGAAUGAGAAAAGAGAGAGAUUAGAAAAGUUUAUAAGUGAUUUAGAACAAGUUUAGCAAGGUGUCUAGUGUAUGAUCAUGAUUAAGAGUCUUUGAGUCGAAGAGAAUGUUUUGUGUCAAGAACUGUCUGAUUAUCAUUGAUGAAGAGUCUACAAUUUAUAUGAAUGGAUACAAGGGUUUUCCCUAAAGGUAAAGUAAGCAAAGCAUGUGAAGUCAAUAGAGAGCUAGGCGCCGGAUUCAAACAAAGCCAAUGGGAGACUCCGCAUGUGUGGGAUGAAUGGAUAAGGUUGCUUUCCCUUUCCAGCUGUAUACAGCCUGUCAAACCGCGGCCUUAUCCUUCCCUCAACGGUCUGAUCACCCUCUGGUAACUCCUCAUAGUUACCCUUUCACUUAUCACAAGUAACUCUCCUGAAUAGUGAAGUGUGUUCAUCCCAAAGCCUGUACGCCCAUUCCUCUUGUACGGCAUGUACGGAUUGUACGGACUGGACAUCCUCCAUCCCGUCCCUCCUAGUGCUUCACUACUUCAUAUCCUGUCCUCAUACACAUUGCUCAACACUUCAUCAUAUGAUCUCAUCUCAGUAUGAUCUCAUCUCAACACUCCCCCUCAAGCUUAGUUUUGUGAAAGUCUAAGCUUGGAUAGCCAUGAGAUCCUCCUCAUUAAAAACCUCACCAAGGAAAACCCAUUGGGACAAAACCUUGAUGAGGGAAAAAGAGUAAAGAUCCCAUAGCUAAGGGGAUCAGCUUUUUCUGGUGAGAUCAAUGAGUCCUAGCCGGCUAUGGAUGGACUCAAUUGUCUUUUGCCUUGCUGCCUUUGUGAAUACAUCUGCUAGUUGAUCCUCACUCUUCGUGUAGCAUGGCAAAAUGACUCCAAGAAGUAUCAUUUGCCUCACCUUAUGGCAAUCAACUUCAAUGUGCUUGGUUCUCUCAUGGAAGACUGAGUUGGUGGCAAUGUGUAUAGCAGCCUGAUUGUCGCAAUGCAUAGUCAUAGGCGUGGCUUGAAUGAUCUCCCAGUGCUUCAGUAUCCCUUUGAUCCAUACAAGCUCAUUAGUCAGCUUCAGCAUCGCUCGGUAUUCAGCUUCAGCACUUGAGCAAGAGACCACCUUCUGCUUCUUACUCUUCCAGGUUACUAGGUUCCCACCAAUGAAUGUGCAGUACCCUGUUGUGGACCUUCUAUCUGCUCUAUCUCCAGCCCAAUCCGCAUCACAGUAGCCAACCACUUCAGUACUUCCAUUACACCCCAUCCACACUCCUUGAUCAGCUGAGCCAUUGAGAUACAUCAAGAUCCGGUUCACCAUUCCCCAAUGAUGCUCCUUUGGAACUUGCAUGUGCUGGCUUACCUGGUUUACAGCAAAACAAAUAUCAGGACGUGUGAUGGUUAAGUAUAUAAGCUUACCCACUAGCUUUCUAUAAAGCUUUGCAUCCUUGAAUGGUGGACUGUCUUCAAUCUCACCCUCACGUGGCACCUUGUAUCCAUCUUCUAGGGGAGUCUUGGCUGUCUUUCCAUCAAGCUUACCUGCAUCUUUCAACAGAUCAAGUGUAUACUUUCUUUGGGAUAGAAAUAAACCUUCCUUGGAUCUACAUAUCUCAAUUCCAAGAAAGUAUUUCAUCUCUCCCAAGUCUUUAAUCUCAAAAACAGAUUUAAGAAAUUCCUUAGUAGCUUGUAUCUCUUCUUUAUCACUACCUGUUAUGAUGAUAUCAUCCACAUACACAAGUAGAACAACAAUACCUGAUGGCGUGUUGAGUGUAAAGAGAGUAUGAUCAAGCUCAGACUUCCUAAAGCAUCUCCCAUUCAAGGUUGUGCUUAACUUGUUGUACCAUGCCCUUGGUGACUGUUUCAGACCAUAGAUGGCUUUCUUGAAUCUGAGAACAUUCCCUUUCUUCACCAAGUGCUCAAGACCCGGAGGUGGCAGCAUAUACACCUCAUCUUCUAGUUCUCCUUGUAAGAAUGCAUUCUUUACAUCCAUUUGCCACAACCCCUACUCAAGAUUCACAGGAAGAGAUAGAACAAUUCUAAUGGUAUGUAGCUUAGCCACAGGUGCAAAUGUAUCUAUGUAAUCCUCUCCAUAGGUUUGUGUGAAUCCUCUUGCAACCAACCGAGUCUUCUUCCUAUCAAUCUGUCCAUUUGCUAGGUAUUUGAUUGUGAAGAUCCAUCUACUAGACACAACUAUUUUCCCUUUAGGUAGCUCACUCUCAUACCAAGUGUCAUUCUUUAUCAUUGCAUCAGCUUCAGCUCCCACUGAUUCCCUCCAUUCUUUGUCUUGCAUAGCUUCCUCAUAUGACCUUGGUACAUGGCUCUCAUCUAAGCUAACCAUAAAGGCACAAUGUUCUUCUGGAUAAUGAGCAAAGGAACACACAGCUUGAGAGGGAUGUUCAACAGCUUGGGCAUUGUAGUACACUCUCGUGUUUACCCAGUUGGAACUAUCCUUUCUCACUCUGGUGCUUCUUCUCAAUGGCUGCACUGCUGGUUCUGAUUCAGGCUUAGUUGUAGUUGCAUUGUUUUCCUCUUGAUCGUGGCUUGAUGCCUCCUCAUCUUCUUGUAUCACACUUUGAUCAUGAUCACCUGAGCCUUCAUGUAUUUGAUCGUGAGUUUCAACAUGUACUUCAGCAGAUUCAGGUGUUGUUUUCCCCCCCCCCCAUGUUCUAAGUGUAAUGCCCCGGUAGGUUGCGUGGUUUCCAGUGGAAUAGUGUUUGUUGCACAACGUCUCUCCUUCGGAUCCUGGGCAGUUGGUAUUCCAAGCCCCUCUAGAAUGCUUCUAAGGCUAGCUGCUCUAUCUGUCUCUCUUGUCAGCUCCCACAGCUCCUCUUGAUUCUUCUCUUCAUAGAAACCUUUAGCUUCAAUGAACUUCACAUCUCUAGACACCAGCACUCUUCUUGUAGUAGGAUCAUAGCAUUUGUAGCCCUUUUGACUAGUAGAAUAGCCCACAAACAUAGCUCUUGUGCUGGUAGCUUCAAGUUUGUUUCUCAACUCCCUUGGCCUGAGAACAAAGCAUAGACACCCAAAGAUGCGCAUAUGCUCCAAUGAUGGCUUGUGCUUGUUCAAGACCUCAAAAGGGGACUGGUCAUGUAGAAUCCUGGUUGGAAUCCGGUUGAUCAAGUAACAAGAAGUAGCCACAGCAUCACUCCAAAACCUCUUUGGUACAUUCAUCUGAAACAUCAUAGACCUUGCCACCUCCAUGAGAUGCCUAUUCUUUCUCUCAGCCACUCCAUUUUGCUGAGGUGUAUACGGACAGCUCGUUUGGUGUAGAAUUCCAUGUUGAGAUAGAUGUUGCUUGAAGGUUUGGCUCGUGUACUCCCCACCAUUAUCUGAUCUCAAAAUUUUAAUCUUGGCAUUGUAAUGGUUAGUAACAUAGUUUUGAAAAAAUUUAAAAGCUUUAAGAACCCUAUCUUUAGUUUGAAUUAGGGUUAUCCAGGUGUAUUUCGAUUUUUCAUCUAUGAAUGUGACAAAGUAUUUAAAACUAUCCCUAGACAAGCAAGGAGCAGUCCAAACAUCAGAGUGAAUCAGGUCAAAGCAAUUGUCAUAGACAGUAGAUGAAAUGGGAUGCUUGCCUAAAAUGCAAGCUUCACAAUCCUUAUUCUCAAAUACCACACCUGGUAACAUCAAGUUUAAAGCCCUAACAUGGGGAUGACCUAGUCUAGCAUGCCACAAAGCAUUUUUAUUCAAUAUAGAAGCAGAAGUAAAUGAGCAAGUGUAAUCAGAAACAGGAGCAAGUUCUUCAAGCAAAAUGCCUAUUCUUUCUCUCAGCCACUCCAUUUUGCUGAGGUGUAUACGGACAGCUCGUUUGGUGUAGAAUUCCAUGUUGAGAUAGAUGUUGCUUGAAGGUUUGGCUCGUGUACUCCCCACCAUUAUCUGAUCUCAAAAUUUUAAUCUUGGCAUUGUAAUGGUUAGUAACAUAGUUUUGAAAAAAUUUAAAAGCUUUAAGAACCCUAUCUUUAGUUUGAAUUAGGGUUAUCCAGGUGUAUUUCGAUUUUUCAUCUAUGAAUGUGACAAAGUAUUUAAAACUAUCCCUAGACAAGCAAGGAGCAGUCCAAACAUCAGAGUGAAUCAGGUCAAAGCAAUUGUCAUAGACAGUAGAUGAAAUGGGAUGCUUGCCUAAAAUGCAAGCUUCACAAUCCUUAUUCUCAAAUACCACACCUGGUAACAUCAAGUUUAAAGCCCUAACAUGGGGAUGACCUAGUCUAGCAUGCCACAAAGCAUUUUUAUUCAAUAUAGAAGCAGAAGUAAAUGAGCAAGUGUAAUCAGAAACAGGAGCAAGUUCUUCAAGCAAAUAUAAAUCUCCUUUGGUAACUCCUUUUCCAAUCAAUUGGCUGCUCUCAAUAUCCUGAAACUUCACAUCAUUAGGACUGAAUAUAACAUUGCAAUUAAGAUCAGUAGUGCAUUUUUUUACAGAUAAUAGAUUUGAUGUGAAUUCAGGCAUAUAAAAAGCUUUAGACAUUUUAUCAAACAGUUUUAGCUUGCCUAUUCCUCUAAUUGGGAUUUUAUCCCCAUUUGCAAUCAUCACAUGUCCAUUUAUAGGUUCAAUGUCUCUAAUCAAGUUAGUAUCACUAAUCAUAUGAUGAGAUGCACCUGAAUCAACUAUCAAUGGUUUCAAUGUGUUUUGAGCAAUGUGAGACUGUCCUUGCAUACUAGUUGGUUUAUAAGCAAUGCUUGAAUGAUCAGGUUCUCUAGCCAGUCUACACGAUUCAUAUGAUGCACCAAAAGAAUAUCCAAGAGUACCGAGACUGUUACCAUUCUCCUUUAGCAUUUUGAUGAGGGAGUCAAUGUCUGAUCUCUUUAAGUACUCAUGCUCGCGGUUGUUCUGAAGGCUUGGUUGAGCUGUAUAAGUCACCAGGGCCUUGCUGUCUCCACUCUCACGUGUACUGCCCUCUCCAGCUUGGCUUGAACUCCCAGCACCACUUGAACUCCCCGGCUCACCUCCAUUUUUCUCUUUAGUGAACUUAGCCGGCUUGAGAUGAGGAUGCAGAAUCCAACAUUGGCUCUUCUUGUGACCUUGCCUCUUGCAAUGAUCACAAUUUCCAGUGAACCUCUUUGCUUCAUACUGAUUAGAACUUGCUCGGUUUGCUUGUGGAGCUUCAGCAUGGUUCACUAGAGUGACCUCUCCUUUCCCUCCAAAGAGACCAAUGGAUCCCUCUUACUUCUGAACUUGUGCACACACCUCUUCAAGAUCAGGUAGCGUCCCGUACCUCAGAAUGUGUAUGAUGAGGCUGUUGUAGCUUGGAUUCAGUGUAAGCAUCAAUCCAAAGACCUUAUCUUGCUCGCGCCUCUCAGCUAACUCAUCUUGGUUGGAUGUUCCCGGCCUCAGCAUCUCUAGCUCGGACCACAAGGCUCUAUGUCUUCUUGUGCCAGGCUGUUGAUGGCUCGCUUCACUUCAAACACGCGGCUCAGGUUGGAAGUGUUGCCACAAACUUUCUUAAGCGUGUCCCAAAGAUCCUUUGCUGUCUCACAGUAACUGUAAGCCUCCAUGAUAGACACUUCAAGAGACCGUUGGAGUAUAGACAUCACCAGCUGUUCGUCUUGCUCCCAUUUCUCUUCAUCACACUCGACAACCUCCUUGUCGUCUUUAUAAGUAAUAAACUUUGGGGCUUCACUCUGCGUAAUGUGUCCCCAUAGGCCUUUACUCCCCACUGCAGUCUUCACCAAACGAGACCACAAAAGAUAGUUACCCCCCUUGAGCGUAACCGGAACCACAGCCUUGUUGCUUUCCAUCUUGAAACCGUUAGGAUGAGAGAUGAGUAACUGAUGUGUUCUUGAGUCUUCUUAGCAAUCAAAACCAGAUUAUGAGCAACCUGGCUCUGAUACCAUAUAAUUUUUUAGAGAAUCUGAGUUUGUAAUGAGAAAAGAGAGAGAUUAGAGAAGUUUAUAAGUGAUUUUGAACAAGUUUAGCAAGGUGUCUAGUGUAUGAUUAUGAUUAAGAGUCUUUGAGUCUAAGGGAGUGUUUUGCGUCAAGAACUGUCUGAUUAUCAUUGAUGAAGAGUCUACAAUUUAUAUGGAUGGAUACAAGGGUUUUCCCUAAAGGUAAAGUAAGCAAAGCAUGUGAAGUCAAUAGAGAGCUAGGCGCCGGAUUCAAACAAAGCCAAUGGGAGACUCCACAUGUGUGGGAUGAAUGGAUAAGGUUGCUUUCCCUUUCCAGCUGUAUACAGCCUGUCAAGCCGCGGCCUUAUCCUUCCCUCAACGGUCUGAUCACGCUCUGGUAACUCCUCAUAGUUACCCUUUCACUUAUCACAAGUAACUCUCCUGAAUAGUUAAGUGUGUUCACCCCAAAGCAUGUACGGCCAUUCCUCUUGUACGGCAUGUACGGAUUGUACGGACUGGACAUCCUCCAUCUCGUCCCUUCUAGUGCUUCACUACUUCAUAUCAUGUCCUCAUACACAUUGCUCAACACUUCAUCAUAUGAUCUCAUCUCAGUAUGAUCUCAUCUCAACAGAAUCACGAUGUAAGAACCUUCAUUUGGAUACAUAAAGUAGUGGAGAAUCACCAGGAAGUUGAAUAAAUCUCAUAGGAGUUAGGAUGAAGAAGUUAUCCCACUUUCAAAUAAGGUAAUCCCAGUUUCCCUGUUUGGGAAUAUGACAACUUCUUCGUCAUUCUAAUCAAACCAGGAUGAAUCGUGAUAUAAGAACCUUCAUUUGGAUACAUUAAGUAGUGGAGAAUCACCAGGAAGUUGAAUAAAUCUCAUAGGAGUUAGGAUGAAGAAGUUAUCCCACUUUCAAAUAAGGUGAUCCCAGUUUGCCUGUUUGGGAAUAUGACAACUUCUUCGUCAUUCUAGUCAAACCAGAAGAAUCGCGAUGUACAAAGCUUGAUUUGGAUACAUAAAGUAGUGGAGAAUCACCAGGAAGUUGAAUAAAUCUCAUAGGAGUUAGGAUGAAGAAGCUAUCCCACUUUCAAAUCAGGUGAUCCCAGUUUUCCUGUUUGGGAAUAUGACAACUUCUUCGUCAUUCUAAUCAAUCCAGGAUGAAUCCCGAUAUAAGAACCUUCAUUUGGAUACAUAAACCAGUGGAGAAUCACAAGGAAGUUGAAUAAAUCUCAUAGGAGUUCGGAUGAAGAAGCUAUCCCACUUUCAAAUAAGGUGAUCCCAGUUUGCCUGUUUGGGAAUAUGACAACUUCUUCGUCAUUCUAAUCAAACCAGGAUGAAUAGCGAUAUAAGAACCUUCAUUUGGAUACAUAAACCAGUGGAGAAUCACCAGGAAGUUGAAUAAAUCUCAUUGGAGUUAGGAAAAAGAAGUUAUCCCACUUUCAAAUAAGGUGAUCCCAAUUUGCUUGUUUGGGAAUAAGACAACUUCUUCGUCAUUCUAAUCAAACCAGGAUGAAUCGGGGUGUACAACGCCUGAUUUGGAUUUAUAAAGUAGUGGAAAAUCACCCAGAAGUUUAAUAAAUCUCAUAGAAGUUAGGAUGAAGAAGUUAUCCCACUUUCAAAUAAGGUGAUCCCAGUUUCCUUGUUUGGGAAUAUGAAUACUUCUUCGUCAUCCUAAUCAAACCAGAAUGAAUCGCGAAGUAAGAAGCUUUAUUUGGAUACAUAAAGUAGUGGAGAAUCACCAGGAAGUUGAAAAGUAUGAUUUUUAGGAAUGUAAAGGAUAAUCUGAGUUUAGAAAGGAUUAGAGAAGGAGAAUAAGAGAUUAAGAGACUACUUAGAGACUAAUGGAGAAUCAUAGUGAAAUGAGUAUAGAGAAAGAUUGUUUUGAACUGUCUAAUCUUUAUUAAGGGAUGAUAUUACAUAUAUAUAGGUCCAUACACUUAGGGUUUUCGAACUCAUAAAGAUAAGUAAGCAUGUAGAGUCAAAGAGGAGCCUAAGCUUUAAUUUGAACCGGCCAAUGAGUGUCUUCACACGUUUGGAGCAUCUUCUUGAUCCAAGACUCGAUGCUCUUCCUUUCCAGCUCUUGUCAGCCUGUCUUAGCUGUCAAGCCGCGUCUCCCUUAUCCUCUCAACGUUCGGAUAAGGCCUUGGCCGAGUGUAACUUAAGCUCAGUACAUACAAGUUACUCGGAUAGUUACUUGGUCUCUUUUACCUUGUACGGAUGAUCACUUGUACGGCCUGGUACGGCCUCUCCGUCCGUACCAUCCCUAUCAACCCAUUCCUCCUCUUAUCCCCUUUGCUCUCUUUAUGUUCUCAACUCCUUUGUGUCUUUACCUCAAAUGUCUCAACUCAUCUCAACAAAAAGAUCUCAUAGGAGUUAGGAUGAAGAAGUUAUCCCACUUUCAAAUAAGGUGAUCCCAGUUUCCCUGUUUGUGAAUAUGACAACUUCUUCGUCAUUCUAAUCAAACCAGGAUGAAUUGCGAUGUAAGAACCUUCAUUUGGAUACAUUAAGUAGUGGAGAAUCACCAGGAAGUUGAAUAAAUCUCAUAGGAGUUAGGAUGGCGAAGUUAUCCCACUUUCAAAUAAGGUGAUCCCAGUUUGCCUAUUUGGGAAUAUGACAACUUCUUCAUCAUUCUAACCAAACCAGGAUGAAUCGGGAUGUACAAAUCUUGAUUUGGAUACAUAAAGUACUGGAGAAUCACCCGGAAGUUGAAUAAAUCUCAUAGGAGUUAGGAUGAAGAAGUUAUCCCACUUUCAAAUAAGGUGAUCCCAGUUUCCCUGUUUGGGAAUAUGACAACUUCUUCGUCAUUCUAAUCAAACCAGGAUGAAUCGCGAUGUAAAAACCUUGAUUUGGAUACAUAAAGUAGUGGAGAAUCACCAGGAAGUUGAAUAAAUCUCAUAGGAGUUAGGAUGAAGAAGUUAUCCCACUUUCAAAUAAGGUGAUCCAAAUUUCCCUUUGUAUGAAUAUGACAACUUCUUCGUCAUUCUAAUCAAACCAGGAUGAAUCAUGAUGUAAGAACCUUCAGUUGGAUACAUAAAGUAGUGUAGAAUCACCAGGAAGUUGAAUAAAUCUCAUUGGAGUUAGGAUGAAGAAGUUAUCCCACUAUCAAAUAAGGUGAUCCCAUUUUCCCUGUUUGGGAAUAUGACAAUUUCUUCGUCAUUCUAAUGAAACCAGGAUGAAUCGCGAUAUAAGAACCUUCAUUUCGAUACAUAAACCAGUGGAGAAUCACCAUGAAGUUGAAUAAAUCUCAUAGGAGUUAGGAUGAAGAAGCUAUCCCACUUUCAAAUAAGGUGAUCCCAGUUUCCCUGUUUGGGAAUAUGACAACUUAUUCGUCAUUCUAAUCAAACCAGGGUGAAUCGCUAUGUACAAAGCUUGAUUUGGAUAUAUAAAGUUGUGGAGAAUCACCAGGAAGUUGAAUAAAUCUCAUUGGAGUUAGGAUCCACUUUCAAAUAAGGUGAUCCUAGUUUCCCUGUUUGGGAAUAUGAAUACUUCUUCGUCAUCCUAUUCAAACCAGAAUGAAUUGCGAUGUAAGAGUCUUCAUUUGGAUACAUAAAGUAGUGGAGAAUCACCAGGAAGUUGAAUAAAUCUCAUAGGAGUUAGGAUGAAGAAGUUAUCCCACUUUCAAAUAAGGUGAUCCUAGUUUCCAUGUUUGGGAAUAUGACAAUUUCUUCGACAUUCUAAUCAAACCAGGAUGAAUCGCGAUGUACAAAGCUUGAUUUAGAUACAUAGAGUAGUGGAGAAUCACCAGGAAGUUGAAUAAAUCUCAUAGGAGUUAGGAUGAAGAAGUUAUCCCACUUUCAAAUAAGGUGAUCCCAGUUUCCCUGUUUGGGAAUAUGACAACUUCUUCGUCAUUCUAAUCAAACCAGGAUGAAUCGCGAUGUAAGAACCUUCAUUUGGAUACAUAAAGUAGUGGAGAAUCACCAGGAAGUUGAAUAAAUCUCAUAGGAGUUAGGAUGAAGAAGUUAUCCCACUUUCAAAUAAGGUGAUCCCAGUUUCCCUGUUUGGGAAUAUGACAACUUCUUCGUCAUUCUAAUCAAACCAGGAUGAAUCGCGAUGUAAGAACCUUCAUUUGGAUACAUAAAGUAGUGGAGAAUCACCAGGAAGUUGAAUAAAUCUCAUAGGAGUUAGGAUGAAGAAGUUAUCCCACUUUCAAAUAAGGUGAUCCCAGUUUCCCUGUUUGGGAAUAUGACAACUUCUUCGUCAUUCUAAUCAAACCAGGAUGAAUCGCGAUGUAAGAACCUUCAUUUGGAUACAUAAAGUAGUGGAGAAUCACCAGGAAGUUGAAUAAAUCUCAUAGGAGUUAGGAUGAAGAAGUUAUCCCACUUUCAAAUAAGGUGAUCCCAGUUUCCCUGUUUGGGAAUAUGACAACUUCUUCGUCAUUCUAAUCAAACCAGGAUGAAUCGCGAUGUAAGAACCUUCAUUUGGAUACAUAAAGUAGUGGAGAAUCACCAGGAAGUUGAAUAAAUCUCAUAGGAGUUAGGAUGAAGAAGUUAUCCCACUUUCAAAUAAGGUGAUCCCAGUUUCCCUGUUUGGGAAUAUGACAACUUCUUCGUCAUUCUAAUCAAACCAGGAUGAAUCGCGAUGUAAGAACCUUCAUUUGGAUACAUAAAGUAGUGGAGAAUCACCAGGAAGUUGAAUAAAUCUCAUAGGAGUUAGGAUGAAGAAGUUAUCCCACUUUCAAAUAAGGUGAUCCCAGUUUCCCUGUUUGGGAAUAUGACAACUUCUUCGUCAUUCUAAUCAAACCAGGAUGAAUCGCGAUGUAAGAACCUUCAUUUGGAUACAUAAAGUAGUGGAGAAUCACCAGGAAGUUGAACAAAUCUCAUAGGAGUUAGGAUGAAGAAGUUAUCCCACUUUCAAAUAAGGUGAUCCCAGUUUCCCUGUUUGGGAAUAUGACACUUCUUCGUCAUUCUAAUCAAACCAGGAUUAAUUGCGAUAUAAGAACCUUCAUUUGGAUACAUAAAGUAGUGGAGAAUCACCAGGAAGUUGAAUAAAACUCAUAGGGGUUAGGAUGAAGAAGUUAUCCCACUAUCAAAUAAGGUGAUCUCAGUUUUCCUGUUUGGGAAUAUGACAACUUUUUCGUCAUUCUUAUCAAACCAGGAUGAAUCGCGAUGUAAGAGCCUUCAUUUGGAUACAUAAAGUAGUGUUAAAAUCACCAGGAAGUUGAAUAAUCUCAUUGGAGUUAGGAUGAAGAAGUUAUCCCACUUUCAAAUAAGGUGAUCCCAGUUUGCCUGUUUGGGAAUAUGACAACUUCUUCGUCAUUCUAAUCAAACCAGGAUGAAUCGCGAUGUAAGAACCUUAAUUUGGAUACAUAAAGUAGUGGAGAAUCACCAGGAAGUUGAAUAAAUCUCAUAGGUGUUAGGAUGAAGAAGUUAUCCCACUUUCAAAUAAGGUGAUCCCAGUUUCCCUGUUUGGGAAUAUGAAAACUUUUUCGUCAUUCUAAUCAAAGCAGGAUGAAUCGCGAUGUGAGAACCUUCAUUUGGAUAUAUAAAGUAGUGUAGAAUCACCAGGAAGUUGGAUAAAUCUCAUAGGAGUUAGGAUGAAGAAGUUAUCCCAGUUUCAAAUAAGGUGAUCCCAGUUUCCCUGUUUGGGAAUAUGAAAACUUCUUCGUCAUUCUAGUCAAACCAGAUGAAUCGCGAUGUACAAAGCCUGAUUUGGAUACAUAAGGUAGUGGAGAAUCACCAGGAAGUUGAAUAAAUCUCAUAGGAGUUAGGAUGAAGAACUUAUCCCACUUUCAAAUAAGGUGAUCCCAGUUUUCCUGUUUGGGAAUAUGAAAACUUUUUCGUCAUUCUAAUCAAACCAGGGUGAAUCGCUAUGUACAAAGCUUGAUUUGGAUAUAUAUAAAGUAGUGGAGAAUCACCAGGAAGUUGAAUAAAUCUCAUAGGAGUUAGGAUGAAGAAGUUAUCCCACUUUCAAAUAAGGUGAUCUCAGUUUUCCUGUUUGGGAAUUUGACAACUUUUUCGUCAUUCUAAUCAAACCAGGAUGAAUCGCGAUGUAAGAACCUUCAUUUGGAUACAUAAAGUAGUGGAGAAUCACCCGGAAUUUGAAUAAAUCUCAUAGGAGUUAGGAUGAAGAAGUUAUCCCACUUUCAAAUAAGGUGAUCCCAGUUUGCCUGUUUGGGAAUAUGACAAUUUCUUCGUCAUUCUAAUCAAACCAGGAUGAAUCGCGAUCUAAGAACCUUCAUUUGGAUACAUAAACCAGUGGAGAAUCACCAGGAAGUUAAAUAAAUCUCAUAGGAGUUAGGAUGAAGAAGUUAUCCCACUUUCAAAUAAGGUGAUCCAUUUGGAUACAUAAAGUAGUGGAGAAUCACCCGGAAUUUGAAUAAAUCUCAUAGGAGUUAGGAUGAAGAAGUUAUUCCACUUUCAAAUAAGGUGAUCCCAGUUUCCCUGUUUGGGAAUAUGAAAACUUCUUCGUCAUUCUAAUCAAAGCAGGAUGAAUCGCGAUGUGAGAACCUUCAUUUGGAUAAAUAAAGUAGUGUAGAAUCACCAGGAAGUUGGAUAAAUCUCAUAGGAGUUAGGAUGAAGAAGUUAUCCCACUUUCAAAUAAGGUGAUCCAAGUUUUUCUGUUUGGGAAUAUGACAACUUCUUCGUCAUUCUAGUCAAACCAGAUGAAUCGCGAUGUACAAAGCUUGAUUUGGAUACAUAAAGUAGUGGAAAAUUACCAGGAAGUUGAAUAAAUCUCAUAGGAGUUAGGAUGAAGAAGUUAUCCCACUUUCAAAUAAGGUGAUCCCAGUUUCCCUGUUUGGGAAUAUGAAAACUUCUUCGUCAUUCUCAUCAAACCAGGAUGAAUCGCGAUGUAAGAACCUUCAUUUGGAUACGUAAACCAGUGGAGAAUCACCAGGAAGUUGAAUAAAUCUCAUAGGAGUUAUGAUGAAGAAGCUAUCCCACUUUCAAAUAAGGUGAUCCCAGUUUCCCUGUUUGGGAAUAUGACAACUUCUUCGUCAUUAUAAUCAAACCAGGAUGAAUCGCGAUGUAAGAACCUUCAUUUGGAUACGUAAACCAGUGUAGAUUCACCAGAAAGUUGAAUAAAUCUCAUAGGAGUUAGGAUGAAGAAGUUAUCCUAACUUCAAAUAAGGAGAUNNNNNNNNNNNNNNNNNNNNNNNNNNNNNNNNNNNNNNNNNNNNNNNNNNNNNNNNNNNNNNNNNNNNNNNNNNNNNNNNNNNNNNNNNNNNNNNNNNNNNNNNNNNNNNNNNNNNNNNNNNNNNNNNNNNNNNNNNNNNNNNNNNNNNNNNNNNNNNNNNNNNNNNNNNNNNNNNNNNNNNNNNNNNNNNNNNNNNNNNNNNNNNNNNNNNNNNNNNNNNNNNNNNNNNNNNNNNNNNNNNNNNNNNNNNNNNNNNNNNNNNNNNNNNNNNNNNNNNNNNNNNNNNNNNNNNNNNNNNNNNNNNNNNNNNNNNNNNNNNNNNNNNNNNNNNNNNNNNNNNNNNNNNNNNNNNNNNNNNNNNNNNNNNNNNNNNNNNNNNNNNNNNNNNNNNNNNNNNNNNNNNNNNNNNNNNNNNNNNNNNNNNNNNNNNNNNNNNNNNNNNNNNNNNNNNNNNNNNNNNNNNNNNNNNNNNNNNNNNNNNNNNNNNNNNNNNNNNNNNNNNNNNNNNNNNNNNNNNNNNNNNNNNNNNNNNNNNNNNNNNNNNNNNNNNNNNNNNNNNNNNNNNNNNNNNNNNNNNNNNNNNNNNNNNNNNNNNNNNNNNNNNNNNNNNNNNNNNNNNNNNNNNNNNNNNNNNNNNNNNNNNNNNNNNNNNNNNNNNNNNNNNNNNNNNNNNNNNNNNNNNNNNNNNNNNNNNNNNNNNNNNNNNNNNNNNNNNNNNNNNNNNNNNNNNNNNNNNNNNNNNNNNNNNNNNNNNNNNNNNNNNNNNNNNNNNNNNNNNNNNNNNNNNNNNNNNNNNNNNNNNNNNNNNNNNNNNNNNNNNNNNNNNNNNNNNNNNNNNNNNNNNNNNNNNNNNNNNNNNNNNNNNNNNNNNNNNNNNNNNNNNNNNNNNNNNNNNNNNNNNNNNNNNNNNNNNNNNNNNNNNNNNNNNNNNNNNNNNNNNNNNNNNNNNNNNNNNNNNNNNNNNNNNNNNNNNNNNNNNNNNNNNNNNNNNNNNNNNNNNNNNNNNNNNNNNNNNNNNNNNNNNNNNNNNNNNNNNNNNNNNNNNNNNNNNNNNNNNNNNNNNNNNNNNNNNNNNNNNNNNNNNNNNNNNNNNNNNNNNNNNNNNNNNNNNNNNNNNNNNNNNNNNNNNNNNNNNNNNNNNNNNNNNNNNNNNNNNNNNNNNNNNNNNNNNNNNNNNNNNNNNNNNNNNNNNNNNNNNNNNNNNNNNNNNNNNNNNNNNNNNNNNNNNUUGAAUAAAUCUCAUAGGAGUUAGGAUGAAGAAGUUAUCCCACUUUCAAAUAAGGUGAUCCCAGUUUUCCUGUUUGGGAAUAUGAAAACUUCUUCAUCAUCCUAAUCAAACCAGAAUGAAUCGCGAUGUUAGAACCUUCAUUUGGAUACAUAAAGUAGUGUAGAAUCACCAGGAAGUUGAACAAAUCUCAUAGGAGUUAGGAUGAAGAAGUUAUCACCCUUUCAAAUAAGGUGAUCCCAGUUUCCCUGUUUGGGAAUAUGACAACUUCUUCGUCAUUCUAAUCAAACCAGGAUGAAUCGCGAUGUACAAAGCUUGAUUUGGAUACAUAACGUAGUGGAGAAUCACCAGGAAGUUGAACAAAUCUCAUAGGAGUUAGGAUGAAGAAGUUAUCCCACUUUCAAAUAAGGUGAUCCCUGUUUUCCUGUUUGGGAAUAUGACAACUUCUUCGUCAUUCUAAUCAAACCAGAAUGAAUCGCGAUGUAAGAACCUUCAUUUGGAUACAUAAGGUAGUGUAGAAUCACCAGGAAGUUGAAUAAAUCUCAUAGGAGUUAGGAUGAAGAAGUUAUCCCACUUUCAAAUAAGGUGAUCCCUGUUUUCCUGUUUGGGAAUAUGCAAACUUCUUCGUCAUUCUAAUCAAACCAGAAUGAAUCGCGAUGUAAGAACCUUCAUUUGGAUACAUAAAGUAGUGGAGAAUCACCAGGAAGUUGAAUAAAUCUCAUAGGAGUUAAGAUGAAGAAGUUAUCCCACUUUCAAAUAUGGUGAUCCCUGUUUCCCUGUUUGGGAAUAUGAAUACUUCUUCGUCAUCCUAAUCAAAUCAGAAUGAAUCGCGAUGUUAGAACCUUCAUUUGGAUACAUAAAGUAGUGUAGAAUCUCCACGAAGUUGAAUAAAUCACAUAGGAGUUAGGGUGAAGAAGUUAUCCCACUUUCAAAUAUGGUGAUCCCGGUUUCCCUGUUUGGGAAUAUGACAACUUCUUCGUCAUUCUAAUCAAACCAGGAUGAAUAGCGAUGUACAAAGCUUGAAUUGGAUACAUAACAUAGUGGAGAAUCACCAGGAAGUUGAACAAAUCUCAUAGGAGUUAGGAUGAAGAAGUUAUCCCACUUUCAAAUAAGGUGAUCCUAGUUUCCCUGUUUGGGAAUAUGACAACUUCUUUGUCAUUCUAAUCAAACCAGGAAGAAUCGCGAUGUAAGAACCUUCAUUUGGAUACAUAAGGUAGUGUAGAAUCACCAGGAAGUUGAAUAAAUCUAAUAGGAGUUAGGAUGAAGAAGUUAUCCCACUUUCAGAUAAGGUGAUCCCAGUUUCCCUGUUUGGGAAUAUGAAAACUUCUUCCUCAUCCUAAUCAAAUCAGAAUGAAUUGCGCUGUUAGAACCUUCAUUUGGAAACAUAAAGUAGGGUAGAAUCACAAGGAAGUUGAAUAAAUCUCAUAGGAGUUAGGAUGAAGAAGUUAUCCCACUUUCAAAUAAGGUGAUCCCAGUUUCCCAAUUUGGGAAUAUGAAUACUUCUUCGUCAUCCUGAAGUUAUCCCACUUUCAAAUAAGGUGAUCCCAGUUUCCCUGUUUAGGAAUAUGACAACUUCUUCGACAUCCAAAUCAAACCAGGAUGAAUCGCGAUGUACAAAGCUUGAUUUGGAUUCAUAAAGUAGUGGAGAAUCACUAGGAAGUUGAAUAAAUCUCAUAGGAGUUAGGAUGAAGAAGUUAUCCCACUUUCAAAUAAGGUGAUCCCAGUUUGCCUGUUUGGGAAUAAGACAACUUCUUCGUCAUUCAAAUCAAACCAGGAUGAAUCGGGAUGUACAAAGCUUGAUUUGGAUACAUAAAGUAGUGCAGAAUUACCCGAAAUUUGAAUAAAUCUCAUUGGUGUUAGAAUGAAGAAGUUAUCCCACUUUCAAAUAAGGUGAUCCCAGUUUCCCUGUUUGGGAAUAUGAAUACUUCUUCGUCAUCCUAAUCAAACCAGAAUGAAUCGCAUUGUUAGAACCUUCAUUUGGAUAUAUAAAGUAGUGUAGAAUCACCAGGAAGUUGAAUAAAUCUCAUAGGAGUUAGGAUGAAGAAGUUAUCCCACUUUCAAAUAAGGUGAUCCCAGUUUUCCUGUUUGGGAAUAUGACAACUUCUUCGUCAUUCUUAUCAAACCAGGAUGAAUCGCGAUGUAAGAACCUUCAUUUGGAUACAUAAAAUAGUGGAGAAUCACCAGGAAGUUGAAUAAAUCUCAUAGGAGUUAGGAUGAAGAAGUUAUCCCACUUUCAAAUAAGGUGAUCCCAGUUUCCCUGUUUGGGAAUAUGACAACUUCUUCGUCAUUCUAAUCAAAGCAGGAUGAAUCGGGAUGUAAGAAGCUUGAUUUGGAUACAUAAAGUAGUGGAGAAUCAGCCGGAAGUUGGAUAAAUCUCAUAGGAGUUAAGAUGAAGAAGUUAUCCCACUUUCAAAUAAGGUGAUCCCAGUUUGCCUGUUUGGGAAUAUGACAACUUCUUCGUCAUUCUAAUCAAACCAUGAUGAAUCGCGAUGUAAGAACAUUCAUUUGGAUACAUAAACCAGUGGAGAAUCACCAGGAAGUUGAAUAAAUCUCAUAAGAGUUAGGAUGAAGAAGUUAUCCCACUUUCAAAUAAGGUGAUCCCAGUUUGCCUGUUUGGGAAUAUGACAACUUCUUCGUCAUUCUAAUCAAACCAGGGUGAAUCGCUAUGUACAAAGCUUGGUUUGGAUAUAUAAGGUAGUGGAGAAUCACCAGGAAGUUGAAUAAAUCUCAUAAGAGUUAGGAUGAAGAAGUUAUCCCACUUUCAAAUAAGGUGAUCCCAGUAUCCCUGUUUGGGAAUCUGACAACUUCUUCGUCAUUCUAAUCAAACCAUGAUGAAUCACGAUGUAAGAACCUUCAUUUGGAUACAUAAACCAGUGGAGAAUCACCAGGAAGUUGAAUAAAUCUCAUAGGAGUUAGGAUGAAGAAGCUAUCCCACUUUCAAAUAAGGUGAUCCCAGUAUCCCUGUUUGGGAAUCUGACAACUUCUUCGUCAUUCUAAUGUUUGGAAAUAUGACAACUUCUUCGUCAUUCUAAUCAAACCACGGUGAAUCGCUAUGUACAAAGCUUGAUUUGGAUAUAUAAAGUAGUGGAGAAUCACCAGAAAGUUGAAUAAAUCUCAUAAGAGUUAGGAUAAAGAAGUUAUCCCACUUUCAAAUAAGGUNNNNNNNNNNNNNNNNNNNNNNNNNNNNNNNNNNNNNNNNNNNNNNNNNNNNNNNNNNNNNNNNNNNNNNNNNNNNNNNNNNNNNNNNNNNNNNNNNNNNNNNNNNNNNNNNNNNNNNNNNNNNNNNNNNNNNNNNNNNNNNNNNNNNNNNNNNNAUUUGGAUACAUAAAGUAGUGGAGAAUCACCCGGAAGUUGAAUAAAUCUCAUAGGAGUUAGGAUGAAGAAGUUAUCUCACUUUCAAAUAAGGUGAUCCCAGUUUCUCUGUUUGGGAAUAUGAAUACUUCUUCGUCAUUCUAAUCAAACCAGGGCGAAUCGCUAUGUACAAAGCUUGAUUGGGAUAUAUAAAGUAGUGGAGAAUCACCAGGAAGUUGAAUAAAUCUCAUAGGAGUUAGGAUGAAGAAGUUAUCCCACUUUCAAAUAAGGUGAUCCCAGUUUCCCUGUUUGGAAAUAUGAUAACUUCUUCGUCAUUCUAAUCAAACCAGGAUGAAUCGUGAUGUAAGAACCUUCACUUGGAUACAUUAAGUAGUGGAGAAUCACCAGGAAGUUGAAUAAAUCUCAUAGGACUUAGGAUGAAGAAGUUAUCCCACUUUCAAAUAAGGAUAUCCCAGUUUCCCUGUUUGGAAAUAUGAUAACUUCUUCGUCAUUCUAAUCAAACCAGGAUGAAUCGGGAUUUACAAAGCUUGAUUUGGAUACGUAAAGUAGUGGAGAAUCAGCCGGAAGUUGAAUAAAUCUCAUAGGAGUUAGGAUGAAGAAGUUAUCCCACUUUCAAAUAAGGAUAUCCCAGUUUCCCUGUUUGGGAAUAUGAUAACGUCUUCGUCAUUCUAAUCAAACCAGGAUGAAUCGCGAUGUAAGAACCUUCAUUUGGAUACAUUAAGUAGUGGAUAAUCACCAGGAAGUUGAAUAAAUCUCAUAGGAGUUAGGAUGAAGAAGUUAUCCCACUUUCAAAUAAGUUGUUACAACCUUCAUUUGGAUACAUAAAGUAGUGUAGAAUCACCAAGAAGUUGAGUAAAUCUCAUAGGAGUUAGGAUGAAGAAGUUAUCCCACUUUCAAAUAAGGUGAUCACAGUUUCCCUGUUUGGGAAUAUGACAACUUCUUCAUCAUUCUAAUCAAACCAGGAUGAAUCGCGAUGUAAGAACCUUCAUUUGGAUACAUAAGAGUAGUGGAGAAUCACCAGGAAGUUGAAUAAAUCUCAUAGGAGUUAGGAUGAAGAAGUUAUCCCACUUUCAAAUAAGGUGAUCCCAGUUUCCCUUUUUGGGAAUAUGACAACUUCUUCGUCAUUCUAAUCAAACCAGGAUGAAUCACGGUGUAAGAACCUUCAUUUGGAAACAUAAAGUAGUGGAGAAUCACCAGGAAGUUUAAUAAAUCUCAUAGGAGUUAGGAUGAAGAAGUUAUCCCACUUUCAAAUAAGGUGAUCCCAGUUUCCCUGUUUGGGAAUAUGACAACUUCUUCGCCAUCCUAAUCAAACCAGGAUAAAUCGCGAUAUACAAAGCUUGAUUUGGAUACAUAAAGUAGUGGAGAAUCACUAGGAAGUUGAAUAAAUCUCAUAGGAGUUAGGAUAAAGAAGUUAUCCCACUUUCAAAUAACGUGAUCCCAGUUUCCCUGUUUGGGAAUAAGACAACUUCUUCGUAAUUCUAAUCAAACUAGGAUGAAUAGGGAUGUACAAAGCUUGAUUUGGAUACAUAAAGUAGUGGAGAAUCACCAGGAAGUUGAAUAAAUCUCAUAGGAGUUAGGAUAAAGAAGUUAUCCCACUUUCAAAUAAGAUGAUCCCAGUUUCCCUGUUUGGGAAUAAGACAACUUCUUCGUAAUUCUAAUCAAACUAGGAUGAAUAGGGAUGUACAAAGCUUGAUUUGGAUACAUAAAGUAGUGGAGAAUCACCAGGAAGUUGAAUAAAUCUCAUAGGAGUUAGGAUAAAGAAGUUAUCCCACUUUCAAAUAACGUGAUCCCAGUUUCCCUGUUUGGGAAUAUGACAACUUCUUCGUCAUUCUAAUCAAACCAGGAUGAAUCACGAUGUUAGAACCUUCAUUUGGAUACAUAAAGUAGUGGAGAAUCACCAGGAAGUUGAAUAAAUCUCAUAGGAGUUAGGAUGGAGAAUUUAUCCCACUUUCAAAUAAGGUGAUCCCAGUUUCCCUGUUUGGGAAUAUGAAAACUUCCUCAUCAUCCUAAUCAAAUCAGAAUGAAUCGCGCUGUUAGAACCUUCAUUUAGAUACAUAAAGUAGGGUAGAAUCACAAGGAAGUUGAAUAAAUCUCAUACGAGUUAGGAUGAAGAAGUUAUCCCACUUUCAAAUAAGGUGAUCCUAGUUUCCCUGUUUGGGAAUAUGACAACUUCUUUGACAUCCUAAUCAAACCAGGAUGAAUCGCGAUGUACAAAGCUUGAUUUGGAUACAUAAAGUAGUGGAGAAUCACCAGGAAGUUGAAUAUAUCUCAUAGGAGGUAGGAUGAAGAAGUUAUCCCACUUUCAAAUAAGGUGAUCCUAGUUUCCCUUUUUGGGAAUAUGACAACUUCUUCGUCAUUCUAAUCAAACCAGGAUGAAUCGCGAUGUACAAAGCUUGAUUUGGAUACAUAAAGUAGUGGAGAAUCUCCAGGAAGUUGAAUAAAUCUCAUAGGAGUUAGGAUGAAGAAGUUAUCCCACUUUCAAAUAAGGUGAUCCUAGUUUCCCUUUUUGGGAAUAUGACAACUUCUUCGUCAUUCUAAUCAAACAAGGAUGAAUCGCGAUGUACAAAGCUUGAUUUGGAUACAUAAAGUAGUGCAUAAUUACCCGGAAUUUGAAUAAAUCUCAUAGGAGUUAGGAUGAAGAAUUAUCCCACUUUCAAAUAAGGUGAUCCCAGUUUUCCUGUUUCGGAAUAUGAAAACUUCUUCGUCAUCCUAAUCAAAUCAGAAUGAAUCGCGCUGUUAGAACCUUCAUUUGGAUACAUAAAGUAGUGGACAAUCACCAGGAAGUUGAAUAAAUUUCAUAGGAGUUAGGAUGAAGAAGUUAUCCCACUUUCAAAUAAGGUGAUCCCAGUUUCCCUGUUUGGGAAUAUGACAACUUCUUCGACAUCCUAAUCAAACCAGGAUGAAUCGCGAUGUACAAAGCUUGAUUUGGAUACUUUAAGUAGUGGAGAAUCACCAGGAAGUUGAAUAAAUCUCAUAGGAGUUAGGAUGAAGAAGUUAUCCCACUUUUAAAUGAGGUGAUCCCAGUUUCCCUGUUUGGAAAUAUGACAAGACUUUCUAAUAAGGUGAUCCCAAUUUCCCAGUUUGGGAAUAUGAAUACUUCUUCGUCAUCCUAAUCAAACCAGAAUGAAUCGCGCUGUUAGAACCUUCAUUUGGAUACAUAAAGUAGUGUAGAAUCACCAGGAAGUUGAAUAAAUCUCAUAGGAGUUAGGAUGAAGAAUUUAUCCCACUUUCAAAUAAAGUGAUCUCAGUUUCCCUGUUUGGGAAUAUGACAACUUCUUCGUCAUUCUAAUCAAACCAGGAUGAAUCGCGAUGUAAGAACCUUCAUUUGGAUACAUAAAGUAGUGUAUAAUAACCAGGAAGUUGAAUAAAUCUCAUAGGAGG
rnacentral:lncRNA from 1 species